UUUUUUUUUUUUUUUUGUUUUUGUUUCUUGUGUUAUUUUCCAAACAUUUUCAUGGAUUUUUUUUUUACUUUAAAUAUAAUUUAAUGACAUAACAAAUAAAAAAUAUAGAAUUCACUGAAAUAUAAAAAAUAAUAAUUUUAAAAUUUAAAUAACAUAGGACAUAUUAACAACCUAAAUUUGGAAGAUAAAAAUAAUAUGUAAAUUUAAAUAUUGAGCGGACUAAAAUUUAAAAUUAAAUUAAACAUAUAAAUUUUAAAAAUAAAUAAAAGUACAUUCUGAAAAUUUGAGAAUUAGCAAGAGAAGAAAAAAAAUUUAAAAAUAUUGAACAUAUAUUAAAGAUUAUUAAAGAGGCCGAAAAAAUAAAUUAAAAAAAACAAGUUAAGAAGGAUGAAAGAGAAAUAAAAUAGGGAUUUUUGCAAAAAAAAAAAAAAACAAAUUAUGAUAAUAUAAUUUAUGUCACAAUAUUUUCUAAAUUUGUAAAAGUAGCAAAUUUAAAAAUAAUGAUGAUAGUUUUAUAAUUAUCGUCUGAUAUCAUCGUAAUAUGCAAAAGAAAAAUGAGUUGAAUGUUUUGAGCUGUUUUUUUAAAAAUGUUUUUGUUAUUUGAUGCAAUCUUUUAAUAAAAUAAUCUAUUAAAAUUAUAAAUAGCCUAACGGUGAAUGUAGACCUAUCUCCUCGGCCAACUAGAAAAUAGAGACUAUGGAUAGUAGUUUUUCUAUUUUUGUUCAAUUUUUAGAAGCUUUAUUAAAUUUUGAAAACAAAAAAAAUGAGAACCGUUUCCUUGAAAUUCUCAUCAUAUUUUCUGAAAUCUGAAGUCUGUUUUUGAUAGGUCACAUUUUCUCUCUUCCAAGGAAAAAUCCAAAUUUCACAUUUGUGGAAUUCACAUUUGGUUUGUUUUAAGGAUUUUUUUCCCCAUAGAUAAUGAAUUGUUAAAACAAAAGGGGGAUUUGAAGGCAAUAAAUAAACACAAAACCAAUACAACAAUACAACAAAAAGAAAACCUAAACCUAAAGGGGAAUAAAGCCCCACACACAACCUUACAAAGAGCGGUUCCAAGGAAGAUACUCCACACCCUUUUAAUCGUAUUGCUGUUUAUAUUUAUUGAAUGUGACGGUCCAUUUACUAACCACACCUUCAAAACAUAUUUAAAGCAUACUUUUCAUUAUGAACUCAAAAACGUAUACUUUAUUUGUUUUGAGAGUCUAAUUAGGCGCAAUUUUUAUAACUAUCGAUGGUAAAGUUUGUUGGAAAGAAGGGAAAAAAAAAAAAAAGAGCUUUGCCGACACAUAUGAUACUAAGUUUUUAACUUUAAUAAAAUAAAAAGAUGAUCGGUCAAUGCGAAGACAAAUGGCUUCCGGACAAAAUCCCCUCCACGGCCCACUUGCCCACAUUAACUUUCAUUAUUAUUAGGAUUAAAUGCUGUUUUUUCUUUGUUGCUCCUUUUCUUACUCACCCAUUUGUUCAUCAUUCCUGACAAACAAACAAGAUCCGAUCAAAAAGUAAAGUAAACCAACAACAAAACACUGCUGCUGCUCUCCAUUUAACUAUUGCUUCUCACCCAACAUACCAAUUACACAACACCCCUUUGAUUUAAUUCCCAAAAUCCUGCUCAAUCAUCGAUUAUAACCUCUUCCACUUUCCUUCUCUUACAACAGUUUUAUUGCGUACAUCAUAUUCAAACCACCUGCUUCAACUUCAAAUUGGGGUCACCUGAUCGGAUCAAAUCCCGGCCACUCUCACUCCCACUCCCACUGGGACAAUUAUUUUGGAUGUUGGUCAGAUUAUACGGCGACCUAUCCAGAGCCAACCACUGCUCCACCGUGAACAGUUGUUGAUCGCACGGGCUAUGAACCCCUGUUGUGGUCACCUCCAGAUAGUUGCAGUACCAACCAUGGUGCGGACCCGAUCCAUCAGAGGUCAGGUUCAAUGAACACACGGGUCCGCUCAGGCAUGGACCUCUUCCACUGAAAAUAUCGAGAUUACCUCUCUCGAAGUAGUUGUAGCCGGGUCCCAUCAACCCGCCCCAUUUCUCCAGAUCCAUAAUCCUGAUUCCAUCCCCGGCAGCCGUGUAGAGCGUGGCGGUAAUCACCGAGUCCGUCCCUGCUUUCAGGAUCGACCCUGUUCUGAUAUACACCGUGUACACGCAAUCUGGAUUCUGCAUCAAACAAAUCCAAAAUGUACAUCAGUUAUUUUUAUUUCUUUCAAAGGGCAAAAAAAAAAAAAAAAAAAAACGGAGGAGAGUAAGUGGAAAUACAUCGGAGAAAGCUAUGGCAGAGAAGGAAAGGAGAAUGGAGAAGAAGAGGGCAGAUUUGGUGGCCAUGGUUGUGUUGUGGAAUGAUGAGUAUGUUUUGUUCUUGUAGAUAUUAUUAUAUAUAGAAAAUCUAAUUGCUAAAACCAUGCCAACUCAAUUGAGAUUCAUCGGACGGCUGCAAUCAUUUGAUGGCCCACUAUUAAUGGUGAAUGUCAACAAUUUGAUAAUCUUUCAAAUGAUUCAUCCAAUCAUCUGUCUCCACGUACUCACAAAUAAAUGGCAUCGUCUCGAUUCUUCCGAUUUCUCCCUCUUCUUUUCUAAAUAAAUGACAAUAACUACUGACUCAGUAUAUUAUGAAUCCAACAUAAUUAAUCCUCAAAAUAUAAUGCUUGUGAGCAUUUUUUAAAUGUUUCAAUUACUUUUUAUUUCAUCUCACACCACGAAGACCUAAAUGAGAUGGGAAUGGAUGUAGGAUAAACAUGUCAUCGUUUGGUUCAAGUUUUCGUAGAAUCCAUUAUAUAAAUGUCUAUGAACUAUACUCAUUCAAAAUUAUAAGUUUGCAUGGCUAAACACUUGAAAUUCAAAUUCGUCGAACAUUUAACUCUUAGUGAUCCCGAUCCAAAUUGGCUCAAACUCACCUUGUGAAUCUUAGCAAAACAUUUUCUGUCUUUAGUCACGAUCGAACACAACUCUAUAAUUGCUUUAAGAGCCCUUAAAUUUUCUCUUUUAGCCUUCAAUCCCGGUCGAAAUUGUCUUAGAGAUGGCUUAAGAUCUCCUUAGACUUGUUUCUCUACGUCCAAUCUCGAUCGAACUUUGUCUGAUAUUGCUCAAGUUCCCCUGUCCUUAAGCAUUCUUUCCUUCAUCUCGAUCGAAAAAGCACCAAUAUAGUCUCGAGAUCAAUAUAAACUCACAGUUGGUUAAUGACCAAUAUGAUUAACGUAAUAAGAACUAAUUUUUUAAAUAAUUUUAUAACUAGUUUACCAUUAAUUAAUUAUAAUUUAGUACUUCCUAAUUAUAUACCUUCAUCAAAUUUAUCUUAUCAAAUUACUCGUUUUACAAAUACUAGUAAUUAAUAUUAUUAUUUGAUUGUUAAUAAUUAAAUUUUCUUUAAAAGUAUGAAUUUGAAUGUAUUAAAAUUUGAAUGUAUUAAAAUUUUAUUAGAGUUUUCACGAUUAAUUUUACAAAUAAAAUAUAUAAAAAAAAAUUCGUUUAUUCUUAACCAAUCACAGACAUCCUUAAUUAUGAAUGUAAUUCCAAAUACAUCAAUUUAAACGGUUCUAUAUUAUUAACCGAUUGAUAACAAAUUGACUAAUAACUUACCACUUGUAAGAAAUUUAAAUUUUGAUUAGAGACGUUCAAGCUAUAAAAAAAAUAUUUAAUCAAAUUAGUUGAGAAAUCUUAUCAAUGCCUUAUGCUUUAAAAAAUAAUUUUUUAAAUAAUAUUCUGUAUUCUGUAAUCUCCAUUUAUCAAUUUCAAAAUCUAUUGCAUAUUUACUAUUUUGCAGUCUUCAUUUUUUAUUAUUUGAUAGGGUUUUAGCUAUUUUUUAAAAAAUAAAAUAAUAUGCAUUUAAAAAAAAUAGAAACAAUUAAUAUUAUAAUUUAAACUAAAAUAUCGUGGAGAGCCAACUUUCACAAUUAUAACUCAACUACAAUUAGUUAGGUAGAUGAUAAAUAUAAAUGUGACUUUUUAAGUUUAAAUGUAUUUAUGAAAAUUUUGAAAAUUUUAGGGACAUUUUUAUACCAAAUGUAAAAUUGAUAGUCAUCUUUUUUUUUUUUUUUAUUGUGUAAUUUAGCCUAAGAUUAAAUGCUACCUUUUCAUUAUUGCUCCUGUUGGUAAUGGAAAAUAUAAACCAAUUAUUGUUCAUCAGACAAAAGAUCGGAUAAAAAAUAAAGCAAAAAGAAUACAUUACUCUCCAUUAAACUAUUACUUCUUCCCCAACAUACCAAUAACACAACUCCACACAAAAACCACAUCCAUUUGGUUUUAUUCCCCAAAAUCCUGCUUAAUCAUCUCGAUCAAGCCCUUAUUCUACAACAAUUCUAUUACAUCAAUCAUAACCCACACCACCUACUGCAAUUUCAAAUCACCGCGGAUUCCACUCCCACUCAGACACUCAUUCCGGAUGGCGGUCAGCUCAUAAGGCGACACAUCUAAGGCCAACCACUGCUCCACCGUGAACAGGGUUUGCUCGCACGGCAUGUGGACACCCGUUUUGGUAACCUCCACAUAGUUGCAGUACCACCCAUGGUGCGGACCCGAUCCAUCGGAGGUCAGGUUUAACGAACACACCGGUCCGCUCAGGCAUGGACCUCUUCCGCUGAAAAUGUCGAGAUUGCCCCUCUCGAAGUAGUUGUAGUCGGGUCCCAUCAACCCGCCCCAUUUCUCCAGAUCCUUAAUCCGGACUUCGUCCCCAUCCGCCGAGUAGAGCGUGGCGGCAAUCACCGAGUCCGUCCCUGCUUUCAAGGUCGACCCUGUUCUGAUGUACACCGUGUACACACAAUCUGCAUCCUGCAUAUAGAUCAACCAAAACCAAAAUGUGUAUCAGUCUUCUUUUAGGUUUCCAGAUGAAGAAAAAAAAACACAGUUAGUGGAAAUACAUCGGAGAAAGCUAUGGCAGAGAAGGAGAGGAGAAUGGAGAGGAAAAGGAGAGAUUUGUAGGCCAUGUUUGUGUUGUGUGGUAAUGAGUAUUAAUGAGGAGUUGUGUUUUUCUUGUAAUUGAUAUUUCUAUAUAGAGAUUUGAAUCACCAAAACCACGACAGCUCAUCACAGAUUCAUCUCUGCUUUAUUAUAAUCCAUGGCCAUCUUUUUCCAUCUGAAAAUAUCAUUAAUUUUAUUUAAGUUCUUAAAAAAUAUUAAGUUACUAUUUUAUUUCAUAAUAGAUAGACCUAUUGUUUACGAGUUUUGGUAACGAAUUGACUAAUGAUAUAUAAUCCAUCUAACAAGUUUAAAAAUUGAUUAAACACGUUAAAAUAAACAUUUGAUCAAAUUAGUUGAGAAAACCUCAUGAAUAAUAAUGUUAUGCUUAAAACAGUAAUUUUUUUUCAAGAAAAUGAUUUGUUGAUUUUGAAGUGACGUACAGUUGAUUGGUAAGUAGUAUAAUAUUUAUGCAAAUUAAAAUUAAUAAAUGAGAAUAUCUUAUGGAGAAAGGCAAUGAAUAUAUUCCAAAGGACAUGUGAUGCACGUUGUUGUUCUCUAAACACUGAUCUUCAACUUCCACUUGGUCAAUGCUUACCUUAGAGUAUUACAAAAGCUGCCAAACCUAAAAUAAUACCCCCCAUCAAUUUCAUCUAUUAUUCAAUUUAUCUUUACCCAUUUACCCAUUCAAUUAAGCUUAAAUGGUAUUUGAGCAAGUUGGUUUAGGAUCUUGAUGUUUCUGUAUUUACAUAAAAUUGAGAUUUCAAUGUUCCUAUCUUCUCUUUCACUGCUCCUUGAACCAAAUUAUUCAUUUUCAAGAAUAUUUCACCUAUUAAUAUGGCAAAAUAUGUCAAAAUCUACCAAUGGUAGGAGCCCAACUAUGCAGCAAAUAUGGGUACAUUAAUAAUAAAUCAUGAGAGUCUAUUUAAAAAAAUACAUACUUGGAUAAUUAUUUAAAAAAUUGUUGUUGAUUAUACUUACCCCUAAAACAUUUGUCAUCUGCCAGAAUGGGCUUUAGGAAGGGACUCUCCAUGUUGGAGGCCGAACCCAACCAAUUCCAUUGUGUUGGACACGCGUUUGGUAAUGGAUUUUGGGCCUUUAGCCCAUUUCAGAAUUAGUUAAAUAUUUGGGCUGGAUCAAGGAUAAGGCACACCCAACCAUCGGCUCGAUAUUAAUGAUUGCGCUGAGCACACUACUUUUAUAUCAUAUUAUUUCCUUUUUCAUAUAAGAUAAAAGUUGAAUGAUCAUCCAAUACUAUGAGCACAACACUUCUAUGCUUCCUGCUAUUCACCAUUAAAACUUUUGAGUUAGCGAUAAAAUAAGUAACAUUGUCAAUUUUAGUAAAAUGUUAAAGCCAUGGUUGAAUGGAAUAUUCGUUUAUCUCGAUCCACAAAGUCAAUGAAAUUUCUCUUCUAACCUUUUGAAAAGUUCUCAUUUUUAUCAUAAAAAAUCUUUGUGUUAAAUGUUAAUUAUAUAAUUACUCUCGUCACGGUAUAAAAUCAGUGUCUCGUCACUGUAUAAAAUCACACUGAUUAAUUGAUUGAUGUGGAACCAAGAGCUAAUUUCUUCAUAUAUUUUUGUAAGCUUAUAAAGAGAAAUGGAAGGUUAAGGUUGAUAAUAUAAUAUCAAUAUAAGCUAUAAUAGUAUUUCUAAAGUUUGUAGAUUGUGCGAUUCUCUAAAUCCAUGAUUAAUUAUUUGUUAGAUAAACAAUACGUAAAUCUAAUGUUAAUGUGUAAAGCAGAUAUCUAGGGAAAAAGGAACUGGAAUCCAUAUAGGUUUUAUUAAUUAUAAUAUAUAUGGAAAAGAGUAUAUAGUUGUGUAAUGUAACCUAAUAAUUGUGAUUGUUUAAGCGAGAGAGAAAAUAAAGUGAAAUAAUAUAAGAAAAGAAAAUAUGUAUAGUAUUGGUAUUGAAAAAGAAAAGGGAGAAACUUUAAAAAGGGAUGUUACAGAAAGGAAGGGAACUUUACAAGUGUUAGAAUUUAGAACACUGAUGGGUGGACAUUUCAGAACUUAAAAACUUUGGCUUUUACUUUACAACAAAAACACUUUAUAACUUGGCUAAUUUAGAAAUUAUUCAAACCAAAAAAAAAAUAAAAAGGGUUUUGUGUUUCCCACCUUUUACAAAUCAACAUCUCCACAUGGUUAGUUGAAAACCCUGCUUCUCCAUUUUUAUAUAUAUAAUAACCCACCUCUUUUUAUUUUCCUUUAAUUUCUUUCCCACUUCCAAAAAAUUAAAAUAAAUAUGCAUGGCAUGGGCAACAUUAAAAAUGAAAGAUUACACUACACUAGUUGAGUCUGGAAUGGGCAAUAAAUAUAUAUAUUCAUAUAUACAAAAGCUGCUUGUGUGUAUCCAUUGAGGCAAUCGAGGCAAUGUUCGAAAUAUGGUUCUGAAUCAAUGAAUCAAAGAGAAGAGAUGAAGGAAGUUCUUUUUGUAAAUCAGUUAGCUGCAGAACUCAUUUAUGACAAUUCAUUGCAUUGUUGACUGAUACCAAAUAAAUCUAAAAUUUGCAUUAGGCAACGUGUCAACAAAUAAUGAACAGAAGAAGUAGAUAUUAGGAGAUGAGUAGAUAGUAGUUUUUAGGAGUGGGUGCAUUUGGUUCCCUGUGAGAAAGGCAUCUGGGGGCACAUGGGAUUCCAUGUGAGUCUGAAUUUAAAUGGCAGUGUCCACUACACACACACACACACACAAGAAAAUUAGAAAUGAAGAAAAGAAAAGAGAAGAAGAAGAAAAAGAAAACGGCUCGACCCUCAAUGCGGGGACCAACUUCACAUCACAAUAUGUGCACACACGUGUAACAUAUCUAUUUCCAAUUUAAACACCCAUUAUUGGAAGGGGAAGGGAUUUGGUUUGGUAAUGGUAGGCGCCCCCACACACACAUAUUAUUUCAAUUUCUGAUAUAAGAUUUUAUGUUUUUAUUGUUUAUGUGUGGUACCAAUAAUUGAAGCUUCACAAACGGAAAAGACAAUAGUUUUAUUUGAGUUAAGGCACCAAUGAUGGGGGGAAGUUUGAAAUAUAAAACUUAUAUUUAUAUAUUUAUAUAUUUAUAUAUAUAGUGGGAUGUGGAGUGUAUCUUUACACGUCUUAAAGAAAGCAGCAGGGGGGUAAGGGUUUUUGUUUAAAAGGUUAUAUGGAUAUUAAUGUGAGUGUGAGUGUGAGUGUGUCUCUCUAGCUACUUGUAAAACUUCCCAUGUGUUUUUCUCUCCUUCAAUUCCCCUACCUAAAGCAAAGCAACCCUUCUUUUUAAGUGGAUUCCAACUCUUCCCUUUCUCCCUUUCCCCUAAACCUAACAAUCAAAACAAACCCCAUUCCCUUAUUACUUAUUAUUAUUCCCAACCCCACACCCUCUUUUUUUUAAAUUUAAAAAAAAAAACCCUUAAGCUUUCCAAGCAGAGAUUCUCUCUUGUGGGGUUCUUUCAAAUCUAAACACACAUCCAAUACCCACCACUUUUUCCUUUUCUUUUCUGUUUCUCAUAUUCAGCCUUCUGCCCUACUGCUUUGGAGUUCCACCCAACCCAAAAGAUUAAAUAUACAACUCUCACACCCAUUCAAACACACAUAAACAGUCAUUUUUAUUACUCUUAAUCAAUAUGUAGCAUAAAGUUCUAUAUCAAAAAUAAAAACGGAUAACUAUCUAGCUUUAUCUAUUACUAGCUAAUAAAAAGUAAAACAAUUUUCUUACUUUAAAUUUGUAUUAAAUCAACCAUUUAAAUACUAUGUUGGUUGAGAUAUAUUUGUCUUUCAUACGUAUUUUUGUACUUUUGGCAUUUUUUUUUUUUGUUUGUUUGUAUGCCACUCACUCUGAAUAUUCUCUCUUGUUUAUGUAUAAUUGGCUUGCAUUAAUUAUUGUCAAGAAAUCUAAUCGGGUUUAAUUUCUUUGGAACAUUAUUAUGGUUGGAACCUUCCCAUUGGGAAGACUACCGAAGAUUCUUUCUAAUGCAUUAAUUAAAAAUAAAGAUGUAAGUGAAGUCGAUGGUAUUUAAUAAAUAAAAUGGUGCUUUCAGUUAAUCCAAAUCAUAGCCACUUCUGCUCCCUACGUAGCUACCUCCCCCCAGGGGAAGAAAAUCUCUAACACAUUAAAGCCAUUAGCUUAGCGCCAUAUAAUUGAGGCAUUUCAUCUUAACUAUACAAAAUUUAUUAAAUGUACUUUAUGGCAACAAAUUGAGAUGAGUGGUUCUUAAAAUAAUAAUAUUAGAAUUGUUUAAAGUAGAUUAGAGUGUGGAUGUGAAGUGGAUUGCGUGGUUCAUGCCGGCUUAGACGCUUGCCUACAUUCUUUUAUUUCAUUUACUUAUUUGACGUCUGUUCUCUCUCUCUCUCUCUCUUUUUAAUACAUAUAUAUGUAUAUUCUUACUUAAUAUUUGUUCAACACCUGAAAUUAAAAUAUUUAAUGGUUUUGAACAGAUCACAUGGUUCUUCGAUGCAGUAUUUUAAUUGUUAAUUUAAUAUAUGUGAUGAACACCUAUUUAAGUUAAUGGGACAAAAUAUUUUUAAUGCAAAACUUAGAAAUAGUGUACAACAAAUAUAGAGAGAGCAUGUAUGUGUUACCAAAUCUCUCCUAUGUCCAUUUUGUACCUUUUAUUUUUAAGUAUAUAUUCAAAAUAAUAGUUCUAAUUUCUUUUAUGUUAUCGCAAAUUCAACUUUCUUUUUAAGAGUAUAAACAAUGUCUCACCUUAGUCAAGAUAUGACAGUUAAUAGAUAGGUGGGUGGCUAUGUCUAUAUAUUAUAAAGAUGUGAAGUUUUUCUAAUUCGUGUAGAAAGGAUUUGAAAAGAUUCAUAAAUAUCCUCCUUAGGUUAAUUUUUCAAGUGGUUAUUUUAAAAUAAACACUUAUUUUUAUGUGUGAUUAUUUUUAUAUAUCGUUUUAGAAAGAAGAUUUUCAAAGUUUAUUUUAAAAUGUUUUUUUUUAAUCCAAAAUCUUUAAAUAAAUUUUUUAAAAAGAAAUAUUUUAUUUUCUCUUAAGCAUCUGUAAAUAAACUGAAAGACGUUUGGCCAUGUAUCUAGCUAUACGAGGCAUUCACUGUGCUCAAGUGUUACAGUAGUAUUAUAAAUUUUUAGGUAUGAACUGUAUAUGCUCCAGACAAAAGAAAACUAAAGUGGGAUUGACCAGCCUAAUUGUUAGAGGACAAGAAAAUUCUGAGAGCCCUAACAUUAUAUGCCCAUAGUUUAUGUAAUAACACGUUGAUUUUUGUCGUUAUGCAUACAAUAUUACUUUUUACAUUUGAAUCAAACGUCCUCUGAAAAAAUCACUUAUAAUAACGAAUAAUACUUCCCUGUUCGCGUUGUAAAUAAAAAAUGAAAAUUGAUCGCAAACUCUUGAUUGGAGUAAAGGAAGUGAAGGAAGAAGGUAAGGUGGAGAAGAUAAGAUAAUUAAUAAUUAGAUUAAUACCAUUAAUUAACAUGGAUUAAGGUGCAUAUAAUUGCAAAUUUUGGUUGUCUUCCUUUCCCCUGUACACAGAGUUACAAGAUGUACAAGGCCAUGAAGCCAAAGAAAAAGAAAAAGAAAAAAAAAACCAGAGUUCCCACCCAGCUACCUUUUUUGUUCUCUAUUUCCAUAUAUAUAUCUAACUAACAUAUUUUUGAACAAUUAUAAGUUACAUAUAUAUAUAGACCGACCAAUCCCAACCAACCAACCAACCCUCCUCCUCUUUUCCUUAAUAUAUAUUCUAAUUUAUUGGCUGGGAAAAAAAGAAAAGGUAUAUAUAUAUAUAUAUAUUUUAGCUUUUCCUUUCUUUUUUUCCCAUUUCCCUUUCUUCUCCUUCUUAAAUUUCUUUCACAUCUGGCACUGCCCUGGCAGUGGCAAUAUAGAUCUCUUCUUCCACUCAGCCAAGCGUUGCAAAAAGUUCAUAACCUGUGUAUAUACCAAAAUUAAUUAAAAUUCACAUAAUUAAUUUUAUAAUGAGACAAAAAAUAAGACAUUGUACAUAAUUAAAGUAUAUUUGAUGAGGUAUAUAUAAUAAAUACUUGUACUUGCCUCAGAAGGUUCCCGUAGAGAAUAAGAAGCACUCGUUUCCUUUGGAAAUUUUGACACAAGAAUGCCAAACCCUUGUCCUCUCUCUCUUAUUAUCUGCUCAAUUUUUUUUAAAAAAAUAAUUUAGAUUCAUCACGAGCAUGAAACAAAAAAUACAUCCAUUUCUUAUUAUUACUGUUACUAUUAUUUUAAUAUAUGUUGUUUACCUUAAAUGCAUCUUCAUCCGUUCGAUCAUCUCCGAUAUAUACCGGAAAAACAUCCGAACAAUUGUUGAAUCCUGUUAAUUUAUUUAUAUAAAAAAGUUAUUAUUAUUAUGAGUAGGAAAACUUUUCAUUAUUGGUAAAAGGGUGAAAAAGCUCACCAAGUGACUCUAAUAAGAAUUCUAAGGCCUUCCCUUUGUCCCACUUAAUGGUUGGACGAAUCUCUAAUACCUGCACUUCCACUUCAAAGUUAGAAGGAGGGAUUUGGAAAAUAAUAAUUAUGGUAAUUAAUUAAUUAACUUUUCGUAUAUACCUUUCUUCCUUGGGUUAGUCGAAGCUGUGGGAAAUCUUUCAACACAGAUUUAACUUGUUGGGCUAAUUCACUCCAUUUCUGUAAUAAUGAUCAUAAAAAGACAAAUUACAAAAUUAAUCACUAGGACAAGAGUAAAUAAAUAUGAACAGUAUAAAGAGGUGAUAGCAGAUGGUGACAAUGAAAUAUUCAUUAACCUUUUCUUCAACACAACGGUAGUGAACAGAGAGACAAAACUUGUUGUUCUCCACCUUAGCUCCUGGAGUUGAUUUGGUUUUUUCAACCAGCUCUUUGUAAACCUGACAAAAUAAUGAUAAUAUUAAUAAAUAUUAUGAGGGUUUCAUUUAGUUGAUUUAUUUGGAAUAUAUAUUUGGAGGUAGAGUAUUAAAAAGGAAAAUUAAUUAAUUCACCUGGUCGAUCAUGGGAAGAAACUCACUGGCAGGUUGAAAGAGAACAGAUUGGGUACACUGAAACAGUAAAAGAGAAGAUGAGGGGUAAAGAGAGAAUAUAUGUCAGGUAAAAGAUGGUAAAAAUAAAAUAAAAUAAAAAGAAGAAGAGGCAGAGAGAGUCACGCACUUUCUUGUAAUUGGAAUCUUUUGUCGGUCCUUUAAUAUCCAUCCCAUGGCUUCCUGCAUAAUACAGUUCUCCUAGUCUUACAAACCCAUAAACCUGCAAUAAUCAAAAUAAUUAAAAACACACCAUUCCUAUUUUUAUUUUAAAUUUAAUCUCAUCUCAUGUAUUUCCAAACUUCAUUUUAUACCUUGUCUCUACGUCUCCCGCUCACUAUUGCAGUAGGGAAGCUUCUCGCUACCGUUUUUACCGUUUUUCUCAUCUGUAAAUUGUUUUUAACCACAUGGAAGGAAAGUUGAGUUAUUUAUAAAAGAAGAGAGAUUUAAAAAAAAAAAAAAAAACAAAACGUAAGGUAAAUUACGGACCGCAUCGGACAUGAAGGCACGAUCUGGGUCAUCGACAAUUGGGGAAAGUGUGCCAUCAUAAUCCAGAAACAUCACUAUUUGUUUCCCUUUAGAAGCAUCAAUGAUUUGGUCAAACAUGUCCAAAGCCGAAGGAUGGUGGAGCUGUUACAUUGCACAAUAAUCAGAUCAGAUCCCACUCUUGCAUAUUAUAUAUAUUGUAUUUUAUAAUAUAAGUUUAUAGUGAUUCAUUGAGGGAGUACCAUCCAAGAGGAGUUAUUGUCAUGGUCAUGGUCGGAGAGGGAAGGAGUGGGUUUAAUACGACUUGGAGAUGAGGCUCGCAUUGAGUCCACCCAUGUCUUGAUUCUUGCUCUCCCAUCGGGCUGCUGCACCAAUUUUGUGGACCGAGAUAUUGAGAUGUAGCCACCGCCGGUGGUUGAGCUGGGGCCAGCCGGUGGCUUUUGAGCUGUUGCUUGGAAAAUCGACGAGUUUGAUACUGUGACAGUGAUGGCCAUGUUGAUGCUUGAUUUACUCUCUGAAAUUACUACAUUCGGGUUGUUCGUCAUCCUGUUUUUACUCCCCUAGUUCCUUUUUUUGUUUUUAGUUUCUUUCUCACUACUAACUGCAUCGUACCCACAUCAUGAAACGAAGAUCAGUGAAUUAGUAAUAUAAAAUUAAAGAAAAGAAAAAGGCUAGUUGGAAAUUUGAAGAAGAAGAAAACUUACAAUUGUUUUGAAAGAAGAGAGAAGAGGGAAGAAUAAUAUUAAUGGGGGGGGAGAAGCAAAGAGAGAAGAAAUGGAGAGUGAGAGUAAGAAGAGGGGGAAGAGGGGAUUUAUAGUUAAAACAAUGGGGCCCAGUUGGAAAAAUCCAGUAGGCCCCACAUUAAAAACCUCAUCCUUUUUUUUUUUUUUCUUUUCUAAAAUUUAAAAUAUUGUUAUUAUUAUUAACACUUGAGAGACGCCGUUGCUGUGGUGGGGUGAGGGUGGGGGUGGACACGGCCUUAAGCUUAAGCUUCUUCCCUUUUCUUUCUCCCUUCUUGCCAAACCGCCACUUAUGGGUUGUCUCCACGUGGCCAACAUUCCUCUUCCAAGUCAAACCAACCUGGUUUCUGCCCACGUGGCUUUUCUUUUCUUUUUAUAUAUAUAUUUGUUGAUUAUAAUAAAGUUCUCCAAAUAAUUCCUUUUUUGAAACACAAAUUAUUAAGUUCUACCAAAAUUUUGGCAAUGAAGUAGUAGAUAUCAAUUAAUUAACCUCUAAAAAAUUGUUAGAUUCAAAUUAUUGCAUACCAAUUUUCCUAAAAGAUAUCUUAAAGUGAACUGGAUUAAGCUGUAUUUAUUAAAUAACUAAAUACAUUUUUUCCUCCUAGCAAAAAAGCUAUUUAUCAUAGACUUCUGCCUCCAUUAUCUAAAUUAUUUCUUUAUCAUCAAGUGUACUACAUUAAUGAUAUUAAUUGACACUAAAAAGGAAACAAUAGGUAUAAGUAGCCAACCAUAUUGCAUUAUAAAAAGUAAAACAGAUUUUAUCUAUAAUCAUUUGAUCUUUCCUAAAACAAUAUAUACUAUAAUUACUUAAUUUUUUAGUUCAUGAAAAUUCUUCAUUUGCUCCCGUUCUUAAAAGCAUAGUAAUUCUUAACACUUAUUUGCUUUUAGAAAAUAAUAUUUCACGUAAAAUUAAGACUAAGGUAAUAUUAUUGAUGUUUUUUAUUUCUACGUUUAAAAAAUUAUAUUCACAGCACAAAUUUACUUACUUUUGUAAAAAUGACAAAAAAAAAAAAAAAGUUGAUACACAAUUGAUACAUUAUUAAUACAUAUUUGAUACAUUUGAAAAAUAGGAGGGAGAGGGGAGUAAUAGAGUGGGAGCAUUGAAAGCAGUGGAAAGGAAAAGGUGAGUGGGUUUAUUAAGGGAAGAGCUGUUUUGCGAAUUGCUAUAAAUAGUGUGAGUUCAUGUUAUGGGCGGUUGGUACCUUACCUAAAAUUAGAGAUUACAUAGAGAAACUUCGUCGGAUAAAAAACGCCCCUUGUAAAUUCCACCAAAAACAGCGGCGUCAAUAGCCCUAUGUGCUUCGCAUUGCAUUUCCCUCUCCUCAUUAAAAUAAUAAUAAUAAUAAUAUCACCAAUUAUUAUUGUUAUUAUUAUUCUUCACCAUUGUACUCUAUUUAUUAAACAUCAGAGAACUCAAUAAUUGAGCUUGUACUGACCCUUUUUUCUUUAUCAAAUUUAGUCUCUUUAUUAGAAUAUUCACCUUUUAAGUGAAAAAUUAAUUAGUAUAUAUAUAGAUGGAAAUAAAAGGUACUAAAGACUUUGAUUAUUAACACACCUGUCUCGAAUCAACCAAUCGGCCUUGACUUUCACUCAUUUUUUAAAACAUAUAUAUAUGUUUUAUUGAGAGGUAGAGAGUAAUGCAGAACAAGGACAGGGUGCCUAUCUAGCUAGCCUAACUUUUGUAAUUAUUAAUUAUUAUUGUUAUUAUUCUAAGGUCACAUUUAAUUAUGUCAAUAUUAUAAUGUAAUAGUUAAGGGGAGGUGUUUCAAAAAGUCUUUGUUGGGGUUGGGGUUUGGAGAAGGUGGAAAAGAAAGGGUAUAGGAUACAAAAAGAUGUGUGUGUAUGUGUGAGAAUUAGAGUGAAUGUGGUUUGAAACUAAAGGAAAAUUCGUCUCUCUGUACUUUUAUGGCUUCAAUUCCUUUUGUGUGUAUUAGAGUAGAGGCAGCAAAAUCAUCCAUUUUUCCUCUCUUUUUCCUCUUUUGUCCCACGCCAGGGAGAGUAUAUUCCAAAUACCCUCUACACUUGGAAAUUAUAAUAUAUACUUCUUUUCUACUAUUUCAUUUAUGUUCUUUCCUUUUUUAAAAAAAAAAUUAAUAUCAAAUUUCUAUUGAAGUAAGACUUUUGUUUCCUUUUUAUGUUUGGAAAUAUCAACAAACUUCUUUCUAACAUUCAACUACAUUUAAGAUGCACAAAUCAACUAAAAUCACACCACAUAUACAUUCAAAAGCUAACUUACAUGCCCUCUUUAACUCAUUUUGCCGAAUAAUCUUUCUAAUUCCAUAGCAUUUGGUUGUCAGAAAAUUUUAUAGGAUAUUUAAUUCUAUGCACGGGGAGUCGAUGAUCACCUUAUAUUGAACUCAUGAUCUCUUAUUCCUUUUAUAUAAAAAUAGAUCCUUAAAUGAACUAUGAGAUAUUACCAAUACAUUUACCCGAUGCAUUUUAUUUCUCAAUGACAAAAUCAUAUAAACUUUAAACGAAAAACAUUUUUUAGUCUAAAAAGGGCCAAUGUCAAUUUGUGAGAUGAUAUUUUCUUUAUUUAAGACAAAUAAAUGACAUUAUCAAUUCAUAUUGAAUAGAUGAAUAUAUCCUUGAAGUUGCAAUUCUAUAUUACAUUAAUAAAAAUCAUAAAAAUAUAAGUAAAGAAUAAUAUCAAUAGACCUAAUUACCCAAGAAUAAAUACAAGAUCACAUAAUGGUAAUGAUAACUAGAUAAUUAUUGUCUCAAUGAGUCACACAUUAAAAUUUGCUAAAGAAUUUAAAGUAUGUAUGUGGGUAUAGUAGCCUAUUUUAGAUACAUUUUUGUUCUUGAAACAUGUGGAUAGAGACAAAGUGAUUUGUCAAUUAGAUCUAGACCAUAUUAAAGAAAAAUGAAAAUUUCUUUGAAAUUAUAAAGAUACAAGUUGAAUGGAUAGGUCAAAAGUCAUAAGAAUCAAAAUCAUUUGUCUAGGAAACACGAAAAUGUAAACUCACAAUUAUUGUUCAUUUGAUAUGAGCAAAAGUGGACAAACUUAAUUCUCCAAAAAAGGUUAUAAAUAUAUUUUCCUUUUACAUAUUUUUAUUAAUUUAAAUAUGAUAUUUUUUUUCUUACAAAAUAAAGAAUAGACGUACACAAAACCAUUUAUUAGACUUUAACAAAAGUAAAGGUGAGAAAGUUGAAAACAGGAAUAAAAAUUGUGAAAUGACUAGGCAUUUCUUUUUUCUUAUAAGUGAUGAGACUUUGAUGAUGAUGAAGGUGGUGAUGAUCAUGGUUAUUCAUAAUAAUAAAUGAAAGAGAAAGAGAGUUUGUUUGGAUAGUUGUGAAAAAUAGUUCCAUUUUUUUUCUUCCUUAAAAUUGUUUUUAUUGACAAUAUAAUGUUUUUUUAAAAAAACAUUUUUUGUAUUAUUAAAAUUAUUUUCAAAAUCAAUUAUUCAAGACAAUAAAGUGGAUCCAUUUAAGUUAAUAGAAUAUAAAUGGACAAUUCUAUUUUAUCAAUUAAACAUUCAAUUAAAAAAAAAAAAACAUCAACGACAGUAACCAUAAUAUUUUAUUAUUUAUUUUAGAUAGACAGAUUUAUCAUUUAGUUUUCUUUUUCUUCAUAUUUUUAAAAAUAUAACUAUCUACAAUAUUAAUAUUGUUUUAAGGUUUGUAAGCACAUAUUUAGGAAGUUGAGAUUUCCACCUUACAUGAUUUAGAAUGAUAUUAAUGGCAUUAAUAUCUAGACAUUAUGUAUACAUGAAAACUCUUAAUUGAAUUAAAAGAAAGACACAUGUAAAAGUAAUAAUCAUGUUCUAGUUUGAAUUAAGAAAACGGAGGAAAUCCUCCUACUCCCUUUGCAAGCUUAUGAAAAAAAAGAUUAAAAUAAAACAAAAGAUUCUAAAGAACAUAUGAGCAAUAUGAGCAAUAGAGUCAGAAUGAAUCACAUGCAACAAUGUAAUUUAAUGAGUUAAAUUGUGCGACCCAAAGUCAUGAUAUGUUUGGUAGCAUUUGAUGGAUAUUUAUUCUAUUUAGUUUCACAUUAACUUUAUAGGGAUUAGAGAUAUUAUUUUAACUCAAAAAUUUAGAGUUGAAGGUUGAAGUUUGACUAAUAAAAACACCAAAGUCUUAAGCUUGAUUUAAAAAAACAAUAAAAAUAAAAAAGCAAAAGAAUUAAAAUAAUUAGAAUAUAGUUAUAAAGAAAUAGAUAUUCCAUGGAACUCGGCUGGAUCAACGCUUAAGAUAUGGAGAAAAGAAAGUGGAGUUGCAGUUGAGGAGUAUUAUAGUAUUUAAUUUAGGGCAGGAAAGCCGAACCCGAACCCAUCCGCCAAUCAAAUGUUGGCAAUCCACCCAACAAGAAACAUCCAAAAGGUUCAAAUGGUUUAGAGGGGUACGUGGCCCAAUCAGGGAUUAGGUCUUAAGAAAGACUUAAGGAAAUUAAAGAGGAAAGGAACAGAGCAUUAUUAAGCAUAAUCACACGCUGGACGUCACACGUGUGUCGGCUGUCGCGGCACUGUGUAAUGUAUACACGUUGCAGAAUUAACACACACAAAAUAAUUCAUUUAUGUAAUUAUAAAGUUUUGUUACUAAAAAAUAAUUCCACUAUGAAUGAUGCUAUGGCCGGCGGGAUUCUGGGAACCACAAACAAAUUACUCACACUCUUCUCACGUGCAGUACAGCUACUCCUUCCUUCUCUACCUUCCUCUUCUAUAUUUCUCUAACCUGUUCAUUUUUUUCACUCUACGUACCAAACCCCAAACCCCAAACCCCCCCCCCAAUCUCAUAUAUUAAUUCUAUCUUAUAAUCUUUCUAAAAUACAUUCAUUACAUUCCAAUUAUUAAUUCAUUUUUUAAAUUCAAUCUCAUUUUUAUCUAAUUCCUUCACACCUCUCUACUCUUAUAAUAUUAUUAUUCUCAUUUUUCUUUUAAUUAUGCAUGUGCCUCUUUCCUCUCACUUAUAUUCUUUGGGUUAUGCACCAAAUCAUUUCUUAUGUAUAUUAUUAAUCAUAUAGUCUGUGAGCAUUAAUUAUAAUCUCAAUUUCCAGCACGAUUUAAAGCUCUUCAUAUGUAUUACUGAAUUAAUGUGCAUUAUGUUCCUUUAUUAAUUAUUUGGAGUUUGAAACUAUAUAUUAUUUUAGUGCAUCAGAUGCGUGGUAGUGUGUAAACCAUGAUGUCAAAAUACAGAUGUCAUGACUUUAAUCAAUUUUUGCCGGCUUGGAAACAGUUAUCUUUACUUCCACUUCUCCUCUCAAAUUCUUAAAAUAAAUACACUUUUUAAAAACACUCUUACAAUUUUAAAUUUUUUUAACUUAGAUAUAAUAAGAAUUAGAAGAUUGGAUGACAAAACAUAGGAGGUGAAAGUAUUAUAUAUAUAUAUAUAUAUACAAAACUAAAUUGGUUAAAGUUAGUUGAACUAAAAAUGACGUUUAUAGAUUUUGAUUUUCAAAAUGCAAAGGAUUAAUCAAACGGAGUUAUGUAUUCUUAUUUAAGAUUAUGGUUGAUUCUUUAAUUUAAUUUUUUUUAUGUUUAUUAUUCUUUUUCACGACGGUCUUCUAAUAAAGAAAAGUUGGUGUUAUAAAACCAUAGAGUUACUGAGAAAAUAUAUCCUAUUAAAUGUUACUCAUUAUUAAUCAUGUGAGCACUACUGUGUUAUAUGUUAUAAUAAUAUAAUUAGAUAUAGGUAAAAAAUGCAUGGAAUAUAGAAUGCGUCAACAAUGACUAGAUUAUUGGUUAAAAUCCCCAUGGUUAAAGUACUAAAGAAAAGGAGUUUAGGUACAAUAUUGUGUAUCAGUCAUCUUUAAUUGACAUUGGGUUGCCUACUUGACAACUGGACUCGUGUCACCAAAAAUCAAAAUAUUUCGAUCUUAUACCAAACUCCUUUAGCAUCAAUAAUCAUUUAGGACUCACCUAAUUUUACUUUAAAAUCUAAACGUUACAUCAAAUUGUUUGAAAUAUAAUUUUCUUGGUUAAGAUUAUAUGAAAAGUCGUGUUCUUUGUAGAAUAUUCCAACAAAACCUCGAUUACAAUGCCUUUCAUUUUAUUGGGUCGGUUUGUGGACCCUUUUUCAGAGAUAUACAAUUCAUUUAUUUUCCUUCAAUAAAAUUAUUACUCUCAUUUGUCACGUACAUUUUAAUUGGGUUAGUUAGGUUUCGUUUAUUCAUUUCUAAUUAAUUGUGUCCCAUUGGAAAAUUCCACUAUUCUAUCAAAAUAUUUAGAUUUAUUGAAAAGUGGUCAUAUAUAUAUAUAUAUAUAUAUAUAUUAGAUUGAGAGUAAUUAAACUUCCAAAACAAUAUUUAACUUACUGAUGGGUUAAAGAUUAACAUAACAACGAGGCACAUUAGACAGUGAAAUUACACUCUAAACAAAGGUGUGUCUUCCUUUAUAUUAUUAUUUAAAUUUAUAAAACAUAGUAAAAAAAUUUAAGAUACAUAAACAGUGUAUGAAUUUGGGAUCAUGAAUUCUAACUAUGGCUAACUUUAGAGACUUUGAAUACAAGUAAAUAAGAUAAAGAGAAAUUAUUUGGUAAAUAACUUUGUGUUUAGGAAAUAUAUAAUCCCAAAGAAAACAAAAAACAAAAAAAAACAGAAAUUGAAAAGGACGAGUGAUAAAUAGUUUUAUAUCACAACCAGACUUCCACACUAAUAGAUGUAGUUGGGAUUUCAAAAGAGAUUUAACUAAAUCAUUUAAAUAAUAGUUAGGCUUUUUUUAAUCCUUCUAUAUGGAAGACAAUGGAAGUCUCUAUCUUCAUAUUUGUCGAUUAUAUAUAUUCUCCACAUUUAAACUUUAGGCCCACAUAAUUAGUUUCCUUUCUAAAGUGCUUAUAUAUAGUGUGUUAUUAAAAACCAAUAUCUACAAUCAUAUAGAUUUUAAAAAGUAAUUGCUGUAAUAUUUUCCUCAGACUAUUUUCAUAAAUAGCUUACUAAAUUGAUGACUAUUAAAGGAUUAUUAGAAUCCUAAAGCAAGGAAUUGAAUGAUAAUUAGAGUUAACACAUAUUAUAAUGUUGGAAAAAAGUUGAAAAUUAAGAAACACUUUUAAAAGGCAGAGAGAGACAGUACCACUUUCUUUCUUUCUUUUUUUUUUUGUUUUUGGAGUAAGACAGUGCCACUUAUGUACUUGCUAUUUGUGGUCGGCAGGUGCAUCCAAUUAAGUCUUGUUUUCGUGUCAAAAUUAAAGCCAACCUUAUGGUUUAUUUUUCCCCCCCUCUCUCUGACCUUCCUUUCAAAAUUGUCUCUUACCCUCAAAAUCAUUCCGACUCUUUUCUUUUCUUUUUCUUUUAUUAAUCUCUCGAUUCUCUCCUUAUUAUCAUAAAAUUAUUAUAGUUUAAUUAACCGGCCACUUGCUCACUCCUGUCUACAAUUUACAGCACCCCAAAGACACACCUUUAUUAUUUCAACCCACACACCACCACAGUUAGCUACUUUUGAAUUCAUAGUUCUGUGUUCACACAACACAUGCAUUUCUAUGAAAACACAAUGUAUAUUUGUCAUAUAUUUAAAACUCAUAUAACCUCAUCUCAUUUGAUCCAUUUAAUUAACAUGAAUUUCUACAUUCUACUUGAUUAUUGGUUCUUUUAGCUAGGUACAAAUAGUUCAAUGACAAAUUAAACUAAAACAACAUGAAAAGCAAGGGAGUAAAAAUAUCAGUGUGAGGGAGUAGUUUUAAAGUGGGGAAGGUGGUAAGUUCAUUAUCGUGAGAUGACAAGAAAAGAAAAGAAAGAAAAGGGAAAAAACUGAUUUGGAUAAAAGUGAUUAUCCGUUGUGAUGGAGUACGUUUGUGUGUGUGUGUGAGCUUUAGUUGAAAUUGAAAUUUGAAGAAGAAUGAAGUUGAAGAAGAAGCAUAAUUUGAAGGAGGUGGUUAAGUGAUACAUAGGUGGGACCUUCCUAGUAAUGUCCAGGUCGGUUUCAUGGAUUUCCAAGUAAUCAGAAUCUUUGUCGGGAUUCAUCAUUCUUUUUUAAAAAAAUAACUUCCAUAUAUUAUUCCCCUAAAUAUAUUUAUAUAUACAACUCCAUAAUUUCCCUCCUCAAUCACUUUAUUCCUAAUUUUAAUCACUCCUUUUUCAUAUUAAUUAUGACGACCUUAAAUACACCAAAACUUUGAUACUCUCUUUUAAUUUCUUAAUUAAACACCGAAUAUUGAUAUUUCAUCUUUCCCCCCCAUUCUAGAUCAAAACAAGCAUUCAAUUCUAUAUCCUAUCCCCAACCUUUUUUUUUUCUUUUCUUUCUUUCUGCAUGCACCGAAUAUAAUCUAUCCUAAUUUAAAUUAGUUUCUCUAAUCAUGUUUAAUUUUGUAUCAAUUACAUCGGGCCAAUGUUAUCGAAUUAAGUACACCAUGUUCAUAAUAAUAAUAAUAAUUUUGUAACACUCCCUCACCUUAUAGACAUGCAACCGAAUAAAGAUUGAAAUCUUUAACAUAAAGUAAAACAGUUUUUAGUUUAUAAUAUAAAAAAGGUGUCCUUUGCCACGAGGAAUAUAUAUAUAUAUAUGGUAUAUAUGUUAUAUAAUAAUAACCCACCACACCAUUAUCUUGGUCUAAAGAUCAAGAUUUACUAUAUAUAAAAAGAUGUUUUUGAGUAUAUAAGAACGGCUACUUUAUAGUGAAACUCCUCCACAUAUGCGCAUGCCACAAGAUAAAGUUAAAGUAGUUAGGGAAACUAGGGGGCUAAACAUUUAUUUAUUAAUUAUUUCUCAUGCAAUAAAACUAAAUUCUUGUUCCUUUUUCUUUUUUGUGUUUGGGGGAAGUGAUUGAUUUAUGUUGGUUUGAAGUGAGACGAAUAUUGAUGACUGAAAUGAAAGUUUUGUAAUUAAAAUGAUGGUGGGAGUCCUCAAGGGCAAGGUACAACAUUUCAUUUCAUUAACCCAUUUCAAUGGUUGUAAUUUAUUCAUUUGGCAUUAUUUUUACUUCUGUUAAGAAAUAGAAUAUGGAAUUUUUGAAAAUAUGUCUAUUUAUGAUUCACAUUGGAACCCAACCCUCACAUAAAUCUCUCUUUCUUUUGAACAAAAAAUGUUCCUUUCUUCCGUUGACAAUUUUAAAAUGGGACUCUUUGCCUAGCUAUAUAUAUAUAUAUGUUGAAACCCUAGAUUUUCAUUAUUGCCUUGGUAUUUUCUCAGCCAUGGAUUUUUGAUGCUUUUCAUUUCAGCCAUUGGAAGAGGUAACUUGUCAAUUUUGAUUGUGAGAAUAUAAUAACUUUAAAGUCUGAAUAUCAAAUUACUUUUAUAAGAUAAUGAUUUAAUUAGUGGGCUCAAAACAAGUAGUUACCUCACACUUAUUUCUAUAAUGUGUUACAUUAUUCUCUCAAUAUACACACGCACACAUAUAUAUGCCUAUAUAUAUAUAUAUAUAUAUUUUCCCACAAUAAUUAAAUUAAAAUGAUCGAUGCACAUACAAGUGACAUAUGAUAAGAUGUAUUCGCUUCUCUCAUUUCUUCAUAAAUGGGAAGAAAAAAACAAAAACAUCAAUCCUUCAUUACUUUAUCUUGCACAUAUUCAUAACUUUAAACAUAAAGGGUUGCAAACAUCCAAAUUGAUUUUAAAAAAAUGAAUAUGACAGAAUAAAAUAAAAUUUGAAUGAGAUAAUAUGUGUUAAUUUAUACCCAAUUGGGAAAAUUACAAAUCUAAUUAAUAGGAAGUAUAUAACACCAACCAACAAUUACAGUCAAAGUCAAAAUAAUUUGUUCCUUUAUUUGCUGCAAUAUAUUCCAGUGGUUGCUUUUAUCUAAAUUUGGACUGUUCAUGAACGUUCUAAAAUUAUGGUGUAGAGUUUAGAAUAGUAAAAAACUGUGGUCAAAUAAUGGAUGCCAUUCCCUUAUCCUUUGAAAUGAGGGUAUUAAAAUAUGAUAUAGUUAUUAAGAAUGGAAAUACUUUUGUAAUAGCUAGCCGGUGAAAGAGACACGGUCUAACCAAAAACUAAUAGCAGAGUCAUGUUCAUGCAUCCACACACAUUGCUCAAAUAUGGCAAAAAGAGACCUCUCCAAAACAGACAGCCUUAAAUAUCCAAAUUACAUGGAAUCUCUUUUCUUUCAACUCACUCAUCUUUUUAAUCCUUUCCUUACCGAAAAAGUCCAUUCAAAUUGGUUUAAUUAUUAUUGGACCACCUACGCUCCAAACGUAUUCUGAUUAUUUAUAAAUGAAAAAAACGUGUUUAUAAAUUCUUAGAAACUCAAUCCAAACGUAUCUUAAAUGUAAGGAUUACUUUAGCUAUCUACUAAAAGUAAAGCCUUCAUUUUAUUGUAAAUAAUUCUUCUAAGAUAUUUAUGAAUUAUUGCAUUAGUUGAUAUAUAUAUAUUGAAUUAUGGAAACAGAAGUCCAAAUUGUUCACCUUUUUCAAGAACAAUUAACUUAAGUCCAAACUGAAGUCCAAAUACAUUCUCGAAUCAACUACAUGAAUUGUGGGAAUUUAUAUAUAUAUAUAUAUAUAGACCAGCGCGGUACCAUGGGAGUUAAUCUUGGUGGAGUCUAUUAGAGAUGGCUCUACGUUGAUGAACAACAUAGUUAAUCUUGGUGGAGUAUUAAAAUUCACGAACAAGCUUGGAUAGUUCGCAGUUGUUGUUACAUAAUUAGUAGUUAUAUAUCCUAUUGGAAGUAAACAAUUGUUUUUAAUUAGUAUUGAGCUAGGAGAAUUCAUACACUUUUUCUUUUUUUUCUUUUUUUUUAAAAAACAAUAAAUAAAAGUUUAGCAUCAAUUAAAUAAGGAGAUGUUCGUGCAUUUAUAAAUGAAGACAGUCAUCUUUAAGGAUAUGAGAACUUUUGGAUGAAACAGAAGCAAAAUAACGAAAGACAUGUAUGCUCAAAGUAGACAAUAUUAUAUUAUCACGGAGAUAUAUGAAGUUCCAUCGUGCUAUUAACAAUUGGUAUUUUAUUAAAAAGAAAAAAUAGUUAAGAAAUUUGUUACAAACCAUGCUAGUAGCUCUAAAAUAAUUCUUACCAUACCUACAUGUACUGUUUAAAAAUUAGUUCAGCAACAAAAACCUAAUGGUUAAAAUUUAGAAAUUUAGUUGUUUGUUUAGGCAACAUAAUGAUUAUUAUCUUUCUAUUGUAAUAAUCGUGAAUGUUGGUAUAAUAAAGUCUCUCAAUACUCAAUCGUCACUAUAACGUGUCCAAAAUAUAUUUGAAUCAUCGUAAUAAGUAGCAAUUUUAUAAAUAAUAACUAAGUAUUUGGUAAAUCUUAGCAAAACUAAUAAAUCAAUAUUUGGAAUAUGCUCGUAAACUUUGAUAUAUUUGUACUAUAUUUAUAUAUAAAUAUUUUUUAUAAAGUUGUUAUAUAGAUAACUAUUUUAAAUCUAAUGGCAUUGUUUGCAAGGGUUCCAAUAUUUUGCUUAUUUGACGUCUAAAUAUGUUUUGGGCUCCAGUCUGUUGGACUUGAUUGAUUUGCUUUUUGUUGGGCCCAAACGAUGGCUAAAGUCCACGAGUUUGACAUUCCGGGCCUACGGAUCUCCAGCCCCAAUUUGAUGGAUGCACCCAAUGGAUCAAAAUUAGUUAUUAAGGUGAAUCAAUAAAUGUUAUAUAUAAUACUCAUCAACUUCAGAUUGAUUUUAAAAGUUUAUGGACAUAAUUGAAAUCGGAAGGAGAGGUCAAGUUGUUAGUGGGGGAAGGUAGCAGAAAUUAAAACUUCUUUUUUUUUUCAUGAAUGAAUAUGGACAUUAAGAUACAAAAUUAAUUUCAAACAGAUGAAAUCAGCCUUUCGUCAAGCUACUAACCUCUUUGUUAUCUGAAAAGUACACCAUUAUUGAACAUGUACAAGCAAAUAUAUAUGAUUUUCAAACUUGAUAAAUAAAUGAAUGAAAUCUUCUCAUGGAUUGAAAAUAUGUCAGACUAUACACUCAUACAUUUCUAUCAAUUGGAUUAUUUAUAGAUUUAUAUCAAUUACUUUAACACUCUAUUAAACUUCUAUUAGUUUUAAUCACUAGUAGAUUUUUUUGGAGUGUAAAGAAAGUAAAAAAAUUGUUAUAAGUUAUAAAGAGUUCGACUAAUUUUUAUAUUUUUAAAGAAUAAUUGAAGAAAAAAAUAUUUGUUUCUCUAACGUAACUUUACAAAAUACUUGCAAAGUUGAGAUAUAUUUAGAAAAAAUUUGAAUUGUAAGGAUGUUUAGAAAGAGAAGAAAUCAUAAUGAGUGAUGAAUGGUAAUUUUGGGUUGGUUUGACCUACCAAGAAGCUUCUUUAUAGAUUUAGAUUAGAUGAGAAGGGAUUCUUUUCUUCUUUUGAAAAAAGAUUAGAUGGAAAUUAGAUGCUUAACUUAGUCCUAAUUUAGCAUUUGAACUAAAUAAAGGCAAUGAAAUCGCAAAUGCCACAUCACUAGGACCUGUAAAGCAAACUAGGAUGCCUCCAAACCCUUUUUCUACCCUUAAACCCACCAUCCAUAUAUGACUUUACUGUCUAUGUUUCACAUUACUUUUAAAAUUCCAAAACCAAGGGGUGACGAAGAAUAUGAUCAAAUUUUAAGAUAUUGUUUUCUUUUCCACACAAAUAUAUAUUGAUCCGAACAAAAAGAAGAAGAAAAAAAAGUGACAAGGAAUGGCCAGGAUUCAGUUUAUUGUCAAGUUUCAACCCGGGGAUUCUCCAAAUAUGAAACGGUGACUUGAGAGAGCCCACUCUUUUUUUCUUUUUAUUACUAAAACAACAAAUGUAUUGUAAGACUUUUUCCUUUUUGUUUGUGACUCAAAAACUUUGUCUUUGGCGUCACCUAAAGAACGGGAAUAUGAUGCUCCUCUACAUCUUCCUUCGCUUCCCUACUUCAUAAUUCCUUGGCCUUACCCACCAAAUCCAAACGGGAUUGGACCCUUAAUUUAAUUUGAAUCCAACUAACACUCUCCAGAACUUUACACAACCAUGAAACAAGAAGAAGAAGAAGAAGAGACUACAAGAGACCAACAUGUGUAUAUUAAAAACACGAAGUGCACAUAAUUACAUUUUUUUUUGACGUCCAAAAUGGCCAUGCAAGAGAAGAAAAAACAACCUGCAGACCAAAAUGGAAUACAACCCAUUAAAGACGAACCACAAAUCUCUUUAAAGAGGAUUCUUUUUUCAUGGACCGACUCCUAAACUUUCAUUUUAACACAAGAACUCUGCAAAUGCCUAAAAUUUCACUGCAGAAUCUUUGUAACAAAGUUGACAACAUUAUCAAAAAGCACAAAUUACAUUGAAAACAUUACUAAUUAACACUCUGAUUCGGCCAGCUGACUCAGGGCUGCCCAAUCAAUCUCGAUAGAAGGAAACUUUUCCAAACAGAAUGCUUCUACUCCUUCACCCCAUUGAGAAUCUGAAAAAUCCAAGAAACUGAUACUUGAAUCAGGGGAAGAUCCGGUGGAAGUGGAAUAAUCUUCAGACCGUGAAGGAGAUGAGGAUGAAGAUGAAGAUGAGGUUUCCACUUCGCUCUUCAAUUCUAGCUCGCAGAAAUUGUUAACUGCUGAGUUUGAUUCGGAUGGAAGUGGAAUGGUCGUUGGUUUUUCAUCCUCAACAGAACAGACCUCUGUUUUCCCCUGUUUCAAGCUCUGACAAAUCGAUUGAAGUUUCGCGUCCACAGAAGGAUGAAGAGGUUUGAAGUCUCCGAAUUGGUGUUUGAGAUGUGGAAAAUUGAGCCUAGCAAAGUCCCCACGGAGCUUAUAAGCAGCUUGAUCAUAGGCCAAAGCAGCCUCCUCGGCCGUAUCGAAGGUCCCAAGCCAGAGUCUAGUUCGGUUCUUGGGGAGUCUAAUUUCAGCCACCCAUUUCCCCCAGUGCCGCUGCCGGACUCCCCUGUAGAGUUUAUUAGGUUUAGGUGGAGAGCCCAUGUGCUUCAUGGGAAAGGAUUUGGGGGUAAGGAAGUUAUGGUAUUGGGAUUGGAAUGAAGAAGAAGAAGAGAAAGAAGACAUAGUUGGUGAGGGCAGUUGAAUUUGGGCUUGAAUUUGGAGAAUUUGAGAAGGGGUGGGAUUGUUUAGCCCGAUUGGACCUGAUUGCUCAAAACCCAUUUGUUCAAUUCCCGAGAACCCUUGAGAAAACAAGCGGGUACUCGACGGGGAGCAAAAAUCAGGGAUUAAUCUAGGCUGAGAAGAAACAGAAGGAUGAGGAGGAGAAGGAGAAGAAGAAGGAGAAAAGGAGGAGGAGGUUGAAAUAGCACUUUUCAUAAAAGGUUGAAGUGCUUUCAUUAAUUCUUCGCUAAAAGGAUCCGAAUAGUAAACCGGCGUUGAGGUUCCACCGUAAACAUCUAUAACUGCUGCCAUGUGAAUUGUGAAAAGAAACUUACAAAACUAGCAAAACAAAGUGUUAAAAGAUCCCAAGAAAACAAAAUUAUAGUUCAAGAGAAGGAGAAGAAAAACAAGUUUGUUUCUACAAUCAACUUGAGGGACUUAAAAAAAAACACCCUCAAAGCCGAUAAAAACAGAAAAUAUUCACCAAAGAAACAGAGAAAUCUGGAUCUCUAUUCAGAAUCACCUGAGUUCAAAGAAGCAGCCUUCUGGGUGUAGAACAACAGAAAAUGCAAAAUUGAAAAAUUACAAAGACAGAGGAUGAUGACAGAAAGGGAACUCAAAGAAACGGGGAAAUCAGAGAAGGGGGGGAAAUGGAAGAAGUUGAAAAGAAGAGAAUAAUUGCAGAGUAAAAAGAAAGAAAAAGAGGAGAGAAAAUAGUAAUCCCUGUUUUGGGUGUAUGAGCGUAGAAUGAAAUCUGGGCUUGAAAAGAGAGGUAGGUUUGAGAGUGUAUAUAUAAGACCAAAAAUGGCCGUCUCUCUCACAAAAGAGCCACCAGUUUUGUGACUCAAAGACCGCAUUUUGCUCCGGGAAGUUAUCUCGUCAACUUCAAGAUAACAUAAUUCGAGGUGGGAUUCCCAAUGAAGUGAUGCCACGUAAGCAACUUAACACGUGGAGGUGGGGGAAUAGCAUUGGCCCACUUCGUGAAAUAUUCAGUUUAAUUGCAUUUUGUACAGACCAUAGUGGUUUGGUUUGGUUUGGUUUGGUUUGGCACGCGCAGCCAUGUCUUUUUCUUUAUUCCUUAUCCUUUCGAAUCAAUUUUGAUCAUCCCACCAUACAUCGCCCCUCCUCUCCUUCCAAUUUCUAUUUUAUAAUCAUAAUAUAUAUCCCAAUUUCUCUACUACACCUAUAACAUUUUUACAAUUUUGAUAUUUAUUGAUUGAAGACAAACUACAGGUGUUGACCUAAAAUCAAGUGACCAAAGGCUUGGUUUUCCAGAAUAAAUAAUGAAGUUUUCAGAUAUAAAACUAAUAAAUCCAAAAUGAUGUUCCACUCUAAUAUAUUUAAUUAAGGAGCAGAUGUGUUUAAAAUAGAAUAUAUUGUAUACGCGUGUGAUUAUUCACUCUGAUUAAAAUAAUAUUCACUUACAAGUUAAACGAUGAAUUCAGAAUCCAAAGCUAUAAAGUAAACACAAAUGGGUCACUAAUAAAUAAAUAGGACCAUUUUACUGCAUUCUUAGCAUGAUCAUAUAUGUCUGUAUAUAUAUAUAUAUAUAUUUGGUAUUUGAUUCUAUAUUAUAUUCCACAAACUAUUCUUGUAAAAUAUCACAUAUAACUAAUCCUUCCAUUUCAAUUUAAUUAUAAAAAGGUUAAAUAUUUUAUUUAUUUUAGGAAUAUCACUUUAGAAUUAUGUCGUAUAAAAGAUUCAAACAUUCAAUAGGAAUACAUUCACUAAACUCUAUUUUUUAAGUCCACUCUUAUAAAAGCAAUAUAUUAAACCAUUAAUAUCUGAGAUGGAAAAUAUUUUCCCCAAAAGUUCAUUUCCUUUUAAUUUUCUUGGAAGAAACUGACGAUAUUACUCACCCUAAACCUAAUAUUGAAAUAUAAUUUAAUUGAGGAAUUGAAUUUGAAAUCUUUGUUAUCGGUAUUAGCAUGUUAGAAUUAUGAAUCAAUCUUAUUUAUUGUUAUUGUCAUUGUUACCAUUAUCCUACAUUAUCGAUAACAAUAACAAUGGAUAAAUAUGAUAGAUUAUAAUUAACAACAAUAACAAUGAUAAUGAUAACAAUAAAUGUGAUAAAUUUACGAUUGAUUUUUCAAAAAAAAUUAUUAGGAUUAUACUACUUUUUCAUUACAUUUUGGUAACACUAUCACGUUACAUACAUAAAUGAAAAUGAGAGAUUCAUAUAAACAUAAGUAACAAAUAGCAUUGGUGGAAUGGUGGGGAUGUGAAUAAAAACAAAGGAGAAAGUGACAGAAUGGUCAAUUGCGGCGCCAUACAUUUCAAAGUAAGAGUUGGGGGAUGAAUGCUUUUUUCUUUUUUCUUCUUUUAUCAUUUUUUUUAUAUUUAUUUUAAAAGAAAGUAAAGCUUCAAAAAAAAUAAAAGAAAAAGAAAAUAGAAUAAUAGAAUAAUAAAAAAAUAAAAAGGGAGGAAUUAUGAUAGUUGAAUGCAAUUAAGAAUUAGUAAAUUGGUGAAUGAAAGAGUGAAUAUUGAAGGGGAAAGGGGUGGGGGGCUCCUACGCAUUCACCAAGAGCCAAGUUGGGAUGUUCACGCAAACCAAUGACCUUUCCCACUUCUUAACCAUGGUUAAAUAUCGUGGGUUUAGAGAGAGAGAGAGAGGAAUCGGAAUCCAAACGCGUGGAGAGCAUGCAGUUACCACGGAGCGUUGCCUUUUGUCUCAACUGUUGGCGUAAAGACGAAGCGAAUGCCAAAACACAAAAACACACAUCACCAUAUGCCAAAUGGCAAGUGGGGCCUCCCAUUCCUACGUGGGAUUUGCCAACUCAAACGCGCUUUCCUUCCCUUCCCUUCCCUUUCCAUUCUCCGAUUCUUUCCUUUUUCUUUUCAUUUUUACAAAUCUAUAUUAACUUAAGCUUCUCAUUAUAUUUGAUUUCAUUUUCACCCAUCAAUUCUUAACUCUAAAUAAUUCCAAUUUGCUUUACAUAUUUUCUUUCCAACAUAUGAUUCCAUUCCAUCUAUACCAUUAUACUCCUACUUCCUAUAUAUAUAUAUAUAUAUAUAUAAAUCUCUCCAUGUUUAUAACUAUUAAAUUCAUAAAACCAAAAUAUAAAUAUGUGAAUAUACACAGUACAUAAGUAUAGGAAUUAAAAUAUCACUCUAUUUUAAGAUUCUUUCUUUUAGUAUUUUAACAUUCAAUUUGUUUUACUUACAAAUUACCUUUUUUUUCUCUCGCUCCUUCUGUUCUAAAUCUCUUUAGGCAUGAUGCAUGCCAUAUAAGAUUAUCAUCCAUCUAUUUUAGCAUUCAUGAGAAAAAAAGGAAUUACAAAGUUUACAUUGUAAAAUUUUGAAGAAAAAAAAAAUACAAAGUAAACUGAAAAAUAACUAACUAUUAAAUCAUAGAACAUAUAUUUAGUGGAGCUCAUUAUGAAAAUAGAGUAUAGUGUUUGAAAAUAGACAUUUAUAGACUAACUAAGAUCCAAUGCUUAGAUUAUAAGUAACAAGUGUUUGAAAAUACAAAUUUAAUAGUUUUUCUUGUCUUUAAAGUUUAAAUUAAACCCUAAACCAAGCAUUAUUGGUAAUAUUUAAUAAUUGGUAUUUGGUAUGCCACAAGAAGAGAGAUGGUUUGACCUUUAUCUCAAAAAAGGAAUACACACAUUGUCAACCUAAAAGAGGGGUCCAACCAUUAUAAACCCACUACCAAUGCCUCUUUUUGCAUGCAACGACUAUCAGCAUUACAAUAUCUAUUUUUAUUGGAAAACAUUAAACAAAAAUUAACUUUUCAAUAUUUUUUUUUUCUUAAUGGAAAAUGGAAAAGGGAAAAAAUGUCCUUGAUGUCUAAGUUCACUAAUAUUAACUUACAUGCAUCAAAACUCCCCCUAUUUUCGUACUUUCUUAUUGUCACAAUGCAAUCCGUGAAAAAGAAAAGAAAAAUAUGAUUAUUGAGUUAACACGAAAUUGAAAUCAAAAUUAAGAAAAUUUAACUGACAUAAAACUUAAAUUAGAUCGUAUUAUAUAUUUUACAUGAGUUGGAGGGUGAAAGGAAACUUCCUCCUCUUUGACAUUAGGACUUUUAUAAUCAAAAUGUACACAACUCAUUCAUAUUGACUUUCUUUAUUAUAUUAUGCACAAAUUUCUUCUCUUCUUUUAUAAAUUUUCCACCAAAACAGUGGGAAACUGGUGAACUAAGUAAUUAAUGGAAUGCACUAAUUAAUUGGAUUUCCCAUAUACAAUAAACAAUAAAUUAUUCCCAACUUUCUUUUCAUUGUGUUAGUAACAACUACAAAGAGGUUAUUAAAAUAAUCAAACUUAAAUCUGUUAAAGAAGCAACAUUAUCGUUAGAAAAACACAAAAUAUAAAUAAACAUUCAUUGCCAAAUUUAAAUAUAAAGAGAGGAGGGUUCAUUACUCCCUCUUUUGUGUUUGUAUCUAUUUAAUUUUUUAAAAGUUUUUAUUUUGUGGUUUUACAAUUUAAGAAGUGUCCAAUAUAUUCAUGAACUUUUAAUUGUGUGUCAAGUAGGUUCUUUAACUUUAAAUACUAACAAAUUAUUGAACAACUUGAUGUUUUGAACAUUCACAAACCCUAUGAAACACAAUUUAAAGUUCAACAAGACAAAUUUCAAUUUCAUAACUAAUAAAUCAAAUUUUAACUUUUAUUAAAUACAAAAUUGAAAGCUCUAACUACUUCAAACAUUUUUAGAGAUUAAGGAUACAAAUCUAAAAGUUGAGGCUAAACUUCUAAUUUAACCUACUACUACUCAAAAUAAUGACACCCACCAAACACAUUAAAUAACUUUAGACUUACUCUAAAAGAUCAAGUAGUGGUUGAAAAUGGUGCACACAAUAUAUUUUAUUUUUUUAAAAAAAAUCAAAACUAAUGACCAAAAUAACUAAAGGAUUUUUUUAGAACUUAGAUGAAUAUAAGAAAAAAGAUUCAAAAGAUUCCAACUGAUUGAUAAUACAUAAAUUGAGGAAAGAAAUUGCUCAAUUUCAAACUUCAAACUAGAAAAUGCAAAAAAGUUUCAAAAGGUCUUGUUAAUAUACAAAAUAGCUGGAUUAAUUGAAUAGAAAAAGGGAUUAGAGAGUACAGGACAAAAAAUGAAGCUAAUAAAAUUGGUGGAUAUUAGGAUUCAGUCAAAUUAAAGAUAUUAAACAAAAGGGAAUGAACAAAACCAAAAGGCAAUUAAAAAUAGAGGUGCACCUGAACAUAUGAAGCACCAACGAAGCACUCGCAAUGAGCGUUAAGGGUAAUUAAAGUAUUAAACAUGAUGAAGGUUUUUGUGCUAAAGAAGUCAUGGAAUUGGAGAAGAGAAUGGAAGAGGAUAACAUAAAGAAUUCCUAAGUUGACAUUGAUUAAAAAAAAGGUCAACCUGAUGUAUUGCAAUAAUAACGAGGCAUCAACCAACCACUAUGUGGUUGAUAAAAAAAAAAAGAAUGUGGAUUGUGGAGCACAUAUAAUUAAGAAGAUGCAAAUGCCGGCUUACUCUGCUUCGCAUCUCUUUCUCAAGGCUUCCACAACCACAACCACAGCCACAACAUUUCAUUAUUUAUUUGAUAAUGUAAAAUAUUUACAUAUAACUUAUAUAUAUAGUUCAAGCAUGGAUUGAAACGAUAAGUUCUUUUUAUGUUUUGAAACGCUUGCAAAAACUACUGUGAAAAAGUUUAAUAAAAAAGAGUUCGAAAGAAAUAACUUUUUUGAACAGACAAUUCAUUUCAGUCAGCCAUGUAACUGUAUUUGACCAUAUAACUUAUCAUGAGAUAAAAUGAAAUAAAAAUAAUUAUAUAUGUCCCUUUUGAACUACAUUCCUUCCAGCAAGUCUUUCUUUCUUUUCUUUUCUUUUUUUUUUUUGUAGAAGAUUUGAAUUUUAGCCAUUAGUAUCCAAAACAGUUGGGAGAUGAUCUUGAAUUUCUUAAUUCUCAAUAAAAAUAAAAAAAAAAGAAAAACAGGAGUGAUUUUACGGAUAAUGUCUAUAGCAAAAAUGAUUUGCUCAAUGUUUGGGUUAUACAUUUUUUAUUUUUAGACAAUCAUAAAUGAAUUAAAUGAUUGAGAGCAUGUUUGUAAAUGGAUUUAGAAUGAGUGUUUUAGGCAUAAAUGAUUUGUUGAUUCUUUUACUAAGAAGUGUACAAUUAAAAAUCCUUUGUCACGAUUAAUGCUUGUUUACAAAAGUGGUUUUGGAAUCAUGAAAUUACAAACAAAAACUAUUGACAGGAAAAGAAAUUAAAAAUAAAAAAGGCAAAAAAAAAAAAGGAAGAAGAAGAAGAAAAAGAAGAAGAAGAGAGAGAGAGGGCAGUUAGGUAAGAAAUUUAAAAGGGAGGGGCAAAGACUUAGAGGGAGACGAUAAAUUUGUAGCACUUGAAAAAAUGAGAUAAGAUUAGAGAGGAACCAAAAAGUUAUUCUAGAGAUAAUGUUAAGUGAGAUUUAUAAAAUAUUUAGACAAAACGUGUGAAAAGGGAAUAUAUGCGAGACUAAAGUUAGAAGUAGAAAUAUAAAAGUUCAAAAAAAAAAAAAACAUUAGUAAAAAAAUGGAAUGAAAAAAAAAAAAGUUUUUCACAUAAUUUAAGAAUAAAUAAAGAGAGGAAUUUUCUUUAUUUAAAGAUUAGUCAUUUUGAAAAGAAAAAAAAAAUUACAACUCUAAACUUUUAAAGUUUUUAAAGUUUAUAUCAAUUUUGAAGAUUAAACUUUUAAACUCUAUAAUAAAACCUCAAAAUAGUUGAAACUGAUAUUUGCCUUUCCAAAUAAAAAAAAAACAAAAUCUCAACCAAUUCAUUGAGAAUCACCUGAGUAAUGACCAACAGCAGUUUAAAAUAAUCCUGUACCCUCUCAAAAUGAUAACUGUAAACAAACAUUACCAUCUAAAAGAAACUAAUUUUGAACCUUACAAAUAAGUUCAACCAUUCUAAAAUAACUCCAAACAUGCUCGUUGUGUAUUAAAUUGAAUUAGGUCAAAUGAUCCUUUUAACCUAUGCCAAUUACACAAACGGCAAGUACGAACAAUCACGAUUAGACCAUGAACAAACAUUAGGCAUAGGUUAAUUAAAUUUGUUAAAUAAUAGUGAAAAGAUUGGUUUCUUGAGCAUCUAUCUAUUUAAACAUUACGACAACUGGAAAUCAAAUUUUAUUUUAUAAACAAUUAUAUUUCGAAGGCUUAAAGAAUUAAUUUCUAAAGAUUGUUACAGUAAACUCUAGACAGAUUGAUUGAUUUCAAGACCUUAUAAACCAAUCUGCUAAGUUCAGCCUGUUCUUCUCACCCAGUCAAAACCUACAAGUCACUUUUUAAACACUCAUGACCCCCCUAAAAUGCAUUUUCUCAAAUCUCAACUAUGGAAUAGCAAUCUUAAAAGAGCAAGUUCAAACAAGUUACCUGUCUUCAUAGCAGAUGUAUCAAAUAUCUCAAUCUAAUUCAAGGCUGUCAUGCAUUCUGUAAAUAAAAUAUAAAUAAACGUUUAUUAACAGAUAUUAGUCCUAGUAAUUCGUAAUUUUUUAAAGAACUUGUCAUUCCUUAUUAGGAGGUGGGAUGAUUUGAUAUUAUGAAAUAUGAUUCUAUUUAAAAGAUGUCAACCCUUGAACAUUUAUCAAAUCACCUAAUCCAACAGAAUUUGAUAAGCCAUUAAAGUCUAACAUCAUUCAAAGACCAAAGUUAAAAAUAUACAGGAAAACCGAGUAGGAAAGAAGGAUGAAGACAUGACAUGGUUAUUAAAAAAUAGAAUGGAUGAUUUUACAUGUAUUCCAAAUCUAUAAUACACCUACCCUAUCCAUAGCAAGAAGUUCAAAAGUACAGAUAUGGACAGCACAAGUGACUAACCACACGGCCCAAAACCAUCAGACUGGGAGGAAAAACAACAGCACGCUAAUGCUUCUCCAUGGGCAUGGCAUUAAACAUUUCCAAAUUCAUCUUGCAAUCCUCUCUCAGAUCUUUCAGGCUAACAAAACUGCUUUGCUGUAGACCAAGUGAAACGAGAAUUACCACUGCUAUGUCUUUCCGAGAUUCAAGUAAAUGAAAGUGAAGUAGAUAUUCAAGAAUGUAAAAGACUGUACUUUCAGGCCUACACUAGUGAAUCCCUCCAUACCAACAAUGGCAUAAAAUUGUUAUUAAUUUCGUUAACUAAACUCUUUCAGAUUUCCAACAAGGUUCCUCCUCCUUAAAUUGAACAUUUCAAGAGAUCUACAAUAACUUCAUUCUUUCGUAGACAGGGUACUUGAAAAGAUCAAAGUUCAAAGGUAGAUGUACAUUUCUGAUGGGAAAUAGUCCAUACAAGUAUAAAAGAUCCGUACUUACAAGUUGGUUUCCUUCAUGAGCAAACGUAUCUUCCAUAUGACGGAACAGAGACAUCCAUUGACCACAAAGAUCAAGUUCUAGCUUUGAGCUGGAAGAAUUUCCUUGACCAUGAUAAGUCUCUUUCUCUUUGCUGCUUUUCUGAGCCAAGAUGCUUGCAUCUUUCUGGCUUUUCUUAAGUGCUAAAAGAAUGAAAAUACCAUGAUAAUCAAUAAGAAGGAAUAACCCAAGAAGCAUGGUAUUAUGACCACACAAGGAAGAACAAUUUUACCUGAAAUACGUCCUUUAAUGUCCUGGUAAUGGAGAUCUGACCAAAUGUAUGAUGCUGAUUACAAAACAGACCAAUUUAGAUUUUCUGAACACAAAUUUUAAAGAACCCCUAGUUACAUACAUAACUAAUGAACUAAAUAAACUUGCAUUCUAAUUACCUUUCAAGCAGAACGAACAAGAACAUGUUUUAAGCAAGUCGUCAUACAUGUCUGCAUUAGCACAGUUACUAGUCUUAAGUCCUGAGCACCUAUCCAAUCCCAGAGACUUGGAACCCUCUGAAAUAGGCAUCCUCGACCAUUCCGAGGAGUCAUGGUUGCUUGAGCCAAUUAUCCCAACGUCAAUAUCCUUUUCGUCAUUACUUAAAACAGGAUCAACUGCUUCCUCGUUAUUAUCAUUGUUUAGCAUAAUUCCAGGACACUCUUUCUUGUUAUCCUCAGAGCAAGUAGGGACUACAGAUGUGGGCAAGCAAGGAACUCCCAAAGCUUCACUAUCUGUAAUUCUGUGUUCACCCUCAUGCACAAGAUGUGGUUCGUCAAUCGGCAAAUUACACUGCACAGAUUGUUUUGGCAUCUCAGAAAAAGCAGUAUCAGCUUCACUCGAAGCCAGUGAGCAAUCAGAUUCCUGCUGCUCCUUGCUAAAUCUAGACAGCGCCAUUGAAUAACAUUGUUCUCCGCUCGAGCGUUUACAGUUCUCCUUGACAUAUUCGUCUUCCCCAUCCACAGUUUUCCCACAUACAUCCCUUGGUUUAGCACCUGAAUGACUCAAAAUGGAGGAAAGCUUUCGUUUGAGCGGACGAUUGGUUAGGUUUCCAAGGGCCAGACGAUUGUGGCCUAACACACCAUCAAUGUUAUCCUCCCGCAUUAUCACACACAGGAAGGGGGGACGCAAAUCUGAUCAACCAAUCUAUCUUCUAGAACUUUAAUCUCUCGGGCAGAAAAAAUCCUAAAUCAUCAGGUUCAAAUCCUAUUCAGUGUGCUGAGCGAAAAACACAAACACACACACACACAUAGAGAAACCCCAAUUUUGCAAGAUUAUGAAUAUAACAAAAGAAAGACAAGCAAGAGCGAAAAAUAAAUGAAUAAAAACAUAAAUAACACAGUAACCCUAGAAAAAUCGAGAUUCAUGGGCAAAAUCGUAAGUAUAGAAUCGGAUGGGUGAGGGGAAAGAAAAGCAUUGUAAUGUAAAAGUGAGAGAGGCAGAGAUUGCGAGAGUAACCUUGAAAAGGAUUGGAGGUAGAUUUGAUUUGAGUGAGGAGAGGGGAAAAUGGGGAAGUAAGAAGAAGGGAAGAGGAGGUCUCGGGGGAAACGGAGGAAAUGAUAAUGCUUUGGGUUUUAAUUUAUUAUUGUUUGUUUUAGAGGAUUAAUUUAUAUAUAGAGAGAGAAAGAAGAAGCGCGAAUGGUGUAAAUGUGGAGGCAGGGCCCGCGCUUCCCAUUCAAAAUGUUGCCGCAUUCUCGGUGGCGCGCUUUCCCGGCAUCUCUUCAUCCCCCCCUCCCGCUCCCUUCAAACAUCUUUUCUUUUCCCUUUCCCUUUCCCUUUCCCUUUGCCUCCUCUAUUUCUCUAUUUUUCUCUUCAAUUCUAAACAAUCAUACCCAUCUUUUUUUAUUUAUUCAUGUAUAUAAAUCCUUACAAUUUUAAAUUUCUUUUCAAUUAUGUCCUACAUUUUAAAAUUUUCUAUUUUUAUAUUCGAUCGUCUAAAUUUUUAAAAACAUUGUUUGAAGAGUUUUUGUUCCAAUAAAAAAUAUUUUGGCAUACCAACUAAUGUGUAAAAAAGGUCAAACAUAUUUGAUCAUAAAUUUGAAGACAUUUGCAAGUCUGUCUUUUUUGUAACUUGAUGUGAAACAAAUAUUAUGCAACAUUUUCACAUAAAACAAAAUGGUACAUUCUAAUAUUAAUGAUUUAUGUAUAUUAAGUGACGUAAUUGCAAUUUUAUGUGAAAAGGGACGCAAAUGUAUAUAAUGCUAUAAGUUUAUUUGAUUAACUUAGGUGUGUAUGUCAAUAUGCAUAGUCAUUACAUUUUAAAAAAAUAUAUAAUAGGUUUGAAUUUCUUUUAAAGAAAAUGUUUAAGCAAGACUACUGUUAGAUUUAUUGAGCCAUAAAGCAAUGUUAUAGUAUUUAAUAAAAUGUAUAUCAUUUGAGAGGGGAAUGAGUCCGUGAUCUAUUGUCAAAUCUACCCAAUAUAUAAUUGUAAAUGAUAUCAUACAUGCCUACUAAAUUUUAAACAUCAAACUAUCACCCUUUAAAAAUGAGGUCGUUCAAGUUUAUUCAAUAGCAAUAAGUAUUGUUGAAGAACAAAUGAGGUCAUUCAAUUUCACUUGGUCAAAAACCUAUAUGUGGUCAUGAACAUUGGAAUCAUCUCAAGUCAUGAGCGAUAACAGAAAUGUAAAAACAAGGGUGUGAGACUAAAAGUUAUAUUUUUAUUUUCCUCAACGUAGGAGGAGAAGUUAGGAUUUUAUAUAGCUCGGUGGUAUGUAUGUAUGUAUAUGAAUAGCGUUAGCCUUUCAUCUAAAAUAAGUAAAAGAAAAGGGAAAUAUACAAAAGAAAAAAAAAAACUAUAGAAUAUGUAUUUAGAGGUCGUAGAAGCUAUGUCUUUUGGGUAUUACACAAUCCUCAAACUGUCCUCUUGGAGCCGCACAUGAGUAGCCUUUUCUGAACUUACUGCUUCUAUUUCUCAACUCAACCGCCACCCUAAACUCUCCACAAACUGGCCUGUGAUCUGAAAGCCUCGAUUCCCUUCGAAUAUAACACAGCUGCUCUAUCCCAUUCCCUCGCCACAAUAUUCUAUCACACCUGAACCAAACACCCACACAAAUAUACUACUUACAAUUUCAAUACACACGCAUAUCACAUAUCACAUAUUACAUGUCAAUCACUUAAUUCUCACUACUUACCAAGCUGGUGUUCGUCGUUUCUUCUUCGAUUUCACCGUCUCCCCCGUGUAUGAAUCUGAAUUAUGAGUGUACUUGUAAGUGGGUGCAAAUUGAAUCCUCCCUUCAUUGAACCCACUGAACACUCUUCCUGCUUCUCUUUCUACAUUCAACUGUAAAUACUCCCGCUUAAGUAAAACAAGAAGCAAAACACACAGAAACACAAAGUCGUCGUAGUACUUAAGUUACGUACCUGAUCCUUCUCUAGCAAUUUAUCCCAAUCACCGUCCUCUAAUAACAUUUUGGUAUCCUCGUAGCUCAAUGACACCCGGUAGUUCAAGUCUCCCAACCAUAUUAUCCGACUGCAUUUUCACAAUCACGAAUUAAAUUAAUCAUCACAAAGUCCAUAGCAAAAACGUUAUUAUUUUGAAAAGUAAUCAUAAUAGUUGUAAUUACUCAUGGUCCAUAAUUCUCUCAGGGGCUCUUUUAUUGGGCUUCUUACAAAUCUUGCUGAACUGUGUGCUUUUGAUAAUCUCAGCAGCAUCAGCAUUUCUUUUGAUUUCAUCUCCUUCUUUCUCACCAGAUGCCAAAUGACUGCAAACAAAGCAGAAACUUGUCUCAUGCACUGACAUGCUAAUUGAUAUGCAUCCCUGAAAAAGAAAACCAAUACCCAAUUAUAAAUUCUUCCCCUGUUUUUUCAUUUUCAUAAACAAAUUACCAUUUUUUAAAAAAAAAAAAAACCAAACAACCUUGUUUCCAAGUCGACCCAUUAUCCCUCUUCCAACUGUUGAAACUCUAAGAUGACCAAUAUGUGGAACCAAUUCCUGUCUUGCCCAAACUGAAAGAAACAAACCCACCAUCUGUUUGCUUGAAAUAAGCUUGAAUUUCAUCAUAUCCCCAUUCUCUGCUUUUGACGAAGCAAGCUCUGAGAUCGAAACGAAUUCCUCCAUCAUCAACCUCCCAUAUUGCUCAUUUGUUGAAAUAAUCAUAUUCUCUAAAUCCGAUGUCGCUCCUUCAUUCAAUUUCCUUAGCCUUCUCUCUCUCGAUCCUAAUUCAAUUGGGCAAUUACAAGCCUUCAGUAGACUACUGUCAAGUGGCCUCAGGUUCCUGCUAAGCAUUUUUAAAGAGGGCUUUUGAAAAAAAGGAAGAGUCUUCGAAUCUUUUGAUGAUCCUUUUGUUGACCCAUGAUCUGACCCACCACCAAACAUGGAGUCGCUGUUGUUCCUGGAUGGUUUGUUUAUAGCUUGGUUUAUCAGUGUUAGCCAUUUUACUGCCGGUUCGUUGUCUUCUAUAACAAGCACGUUCCCAGCAUUUAGUGGAACAAUUUCUUGAAACCUAUAAAUUUUUCCCCCACAUUACCAAAACUAAUCUGUUAAAAAAUUUAACUUUUAUAAUUAAUAAGAGAGAAAAACCAAUUCAUUUUUAAAUAUUUUACGCACCCAAUCACAUAAAUGUCUGCUGAGUCUUCUACCAGUAAGAAAUCUUCGAGGUUGAUGCCAUUGUUAGGAGUUUUUCCUCCUACAUUCCAUGUCGCUGUGAAAAUCCUGAACCCCAAACCCAUCUUUUUAAUUAUAAAUUUUCAAAAGAAAAAAUAAAUGAUUAGAUCAAUUUGAAUACGACUACCAUAGGCUUGCACGUACCGGAAAUUCUUGGUCUCAUUUGGUAGAGUCAUGGGUGGUUCAAAGUUGGAGAGGUUUAAGCUUUGGAUAUCUGAACUUGUGUGUCUUUCUGAAGAUUAAUAAACAAAAGUGGUAAAAGUUUAGCUCUUUAAUACAUACCAUGAAAAUUAUUAAUAGUAAUCAAAUCAAACCCUUUGGUAAUUUGAAGUUAGGUGAAGAUGUAGACUUUCCUUUCUUCAUAACAUUUAAGUACAUUGCAAUACAAAUUUCUUUCACUUAGUUCUCCUAUUCAGAAAAAGACAAAAGUAACAUUUACAUCAAACAUGUUUAAUUAUGAACAAGAGUAACACUCUAGAAAGUUCAAGAGCAGUAGUUAAAAAUGGUAUUCGAUGAGUUUCCAUCUUUCACAAAUGGCACUCUUUUUAGCUAAUUAUAAAGUGUUGUAUCGAUCCAAACAAUACGGAUGAGGACUAAAUUUGGCUUAUGAAAUAUAAAUUUUUAAAAUUUGAUUGUUUCCUUUCCUUCUCAAAUUUAAAACUAGGGAAUAUAAGAUAAGUGAUGAAACGAAUCAAUUAUUUCAGAGAAAAAUUGACCUAAACAUAUACUUCUUUUUCUCUCCGUUGUUACUCAGUCAGAUCCUCAUCUUGGAUGAGAUACCCAAGAAAAUCCAAAAAGUUAGUAGUUCAAUGUGCUGAUAAGAGUUUUUAAUUUUGAUCUUAAUAUCAUAAGAAAUGUUUUUGUUUUUGUUUUGGGUGGUAACAGAUGUUCAUUGUAGGAUGAAUUGGAGAGAAUGUGGCUCACAUUUAUAUAGAGACAAUCGUUCUGCCCUACACACACCACAAAGGAUGUAAAACAUCGUUUUCAAUAAUUAAUUAAAACACUGUCUGAUUGGAAGCAAAAUUCUUCAUACUGAUCAAAAUAAUCAUAUUGUUCGGUAAGCUACCAAAAUAGUAUUAACAUUAAUCUCUCUCAAGUCUUUAACUCAUCGCAACGUGUCUUAAAAACCACAACACACAUUAUUUUCAUAUAUUUCAAAUGGUACCUGAAAAACUUUUCUUGAUUGUGGGAGUUGACUCCAUGAAAGCUUGUCUUCUUGAAGCAAUUCCUUUCCCUUUAAAACAAAAAUGAAACGCAUUUUAAUUACCAAAAGGGAACAAAACAUAACAAAAGAAGAAGAGAUUUAUUAGUAUUAUUAUUAUUAUAUAUACGUACCAAUAUCAAUGGCGCCAUCCCCAUAAUCUAACUUAAACAUUUCCUCCUCCGAAUUUACCCUUUCGCUCUUCUUUGAACUGAAGAUCUUUGGAAUAAUAGACUGAUGGUGCAUAAAUGCAGGGGAAGGGAGAAAGAACAAACAGAACACAUCCAAUCAAUGAAAAAAAAGGUGUAUUUGGUGAGAAAUUUAAAAGAAAAAGAAAUGAAUAAAAAUACCCGUUUUUUCUUUUCGUUCUUGACGGAGUUGUCCGGUGAAAGAGCGGGAGAAAGGGGGCCGGGGUUCUUGGAAGUGGUGGCAUAGUUCGACAUUCAUUCAUAGAACCCGAAAUUCCAAUGCAUUCAACUCGCGAACAGAAUCGCGAAAGAAGGCACCAGAAAAUGGCCGGCGAAGUAACGGACUGGAAUUAACCAGCCGGAAAAUCUUAAUAACUCCAAGAUGGGUUAUUAUUGUUAUCUUUUUUUUAAUCUGUGGCUGUUUAUUCAUAUAUAUAUAUAUAUAAUAUAAAUAAAAAGAGAAUAUAUAUUUUUUCUUUUUGGAGGGUGUGUGUUUGAGAAGUGAUUGUGUGUUUGAGGAAAUUGGUUAUGAGUUUGUGUAUUGUGGGGGUGAGAAAAUGGGGGCAAAGCUUUCGGAGAAUAUAAUUAGGAUUGAAGGGAUGAAAAUGGUUAGAAGUUACAGUUCGUAGCAUAAGUCCUGAUCAUCCGCUAAUCUCAAACUCUCCAUCAAUAUAUUUACACCUAAACAAAAUAUACAAGUCUGUCUUUUUGGAACCACUUUUUUUGAAAUUAGUAUAAUGUCGAAGAAGAUUCAUAAAUUCACUAAUACGAUCCCAUCCUAAUCAACCUUUAAUUCGGUUGCAUUUCUGCAACACUAGUGAAUAAAAUAAAUUUUGGCAUGCCUAGUCUAUAAUAUGCAAAUUAAAGGAGAUUAUUUUGUUUCCUUUUUACCCCCACCUUUUUAGUAUAUUCCUAUUUUACUCUUUUUGAAUUAGACACAAUCACUUCAAAAUGGUAUCUGAUUAUUUGAAUGUAUGUGUUGUUGGUUAGGAUCUAGAUAGUGUCUGAAUGAAAGUGAUCGUGUAUCUAAUUGGUGUAUCUUUUUAGAUGUACUACGACUACCAUCUCUGUUAGAUGAACGAAGAGAAUAAUUAAAUUUGAUAGACCUAUUUUCAACCCCAUUUCCUCAUUCUUUUUACAUCAAUUUUAUUUCUUUUCUUGUCUGGAUAAAUUCUUAAACCCUCAUCCAAAUGUGACAAAAUAAAAUUGACUAGAAAUUCUAAAAAUGUACAAAAUUGAUUAAACAAUCACUCACUUUGGAGAUUUUCAUUCAUGAGGCUGCAACGAAGAAAAUAUGUUAUUCAAAAAAACAAUAAUAAUAAUAUAAUGCAAUAUAUAUGUACAUCAAUAGCUUAUCUAUGUGUCCAAUCACAUGACAAACUUUUCUUUUAAAAAAUAAAUUUUGUUUUUUGUUUUUUUUUUCUUUGUGAUAGAAUAAAAUGCAGGGAGAGAAUAUAUAUAUAUAUAUUUUCCUUUUUUGUUGAAGUAUCAAAUGAUUCAAACCUUCACUUCAAUGAAUAGGCUUUGUUAAGAUUGUCCGGAGCAAAAGAUUUAGACUUGGUUGAUAUUUAAAUCAAUUAGAUUUUGUCAAUUGUGUCAUCGUUAAUAAUAGUUUUGUAGUUUUUAAUUGAACGAAUAUUGGCACUAAUCCUGAUUAGAAUAUCGGGCAGAAACUACGAAUAUAAGAGUCAGAUAUUUUAAUCCACAACAUUAAAUAAUUAGCAAAUUGGGUAGUAACUAUCAUAAUUAUACUUCGGUUUCUCUACAACUAAACAGAUAUGAACAAUUACAAUCAAGUGCACGGCGUUCCAGAUGAAUGAAGAAGAAAUUUUGUAUCUGUGGCUUCUGUGAAAUACCUAUUUUUCCUGUUCAAAUGCACCUAGUCCUUUCAGGAAGUGCUUGAGCCAGCUGCAGAUAACCUCAAUAACACUCCAGAAACAGAGAUCACUUCUCCACAUACGAGCAACAAACACUUUGUAAUUAGUAUCAACCGUAUGGUUUUAGAACAAGAAGAAGAAGCAAGCCCCUGUGAGUCCACUGGUUUCCUAUUUCAUUAGCAACAACAAAUAAGCAGAUAUCUUGUUUAUUUCAAAAAAGCUGGAAAACUAUUACUUGAGUAGUUGUAAUCUAACAAGUCAAACUUUCAUACCUGAAUUUUAGGGAGUUCAGCAAGACAUUUCGUCCAACUCUUGCCUGUAAAGUGCUAGACUCUGCACAAAAUAUACCAAGAGACAGAUGUUUAUCAAUCAAGUGAUGGGAUGGAGCAAAACAGACAGAAAAAUGUAGCAGUUCUCUGCCUUUUUCCUUUUAAUUUACUUGAGUUGACACAUAAGACGUUUGUCUAUGCUUCCUAAAGCACCAAUAUGAAUGUCAGCAUUUGAUUAAGGAUCCCCAGUUAUUCCAUGGACAUUUUCCAUAUCAAUAUAUACCACAACAGCAACUAAUUUGUUCUUUUUUCCACUUUGGUCAAUUUUAAUCAAUGAUUAGCAUAGCAAUAUUUGAAAUGAAUACUGAAGUUUUGCAAGCAAAUAUCAAGACGUCAAUUAUUAAACGACAUGAGGUCAAUGGAGAGGUAGAAGAUUCUUGCCUUUGUUAAUGCAUAUACACCAGCUUCUGAAGGACCUACAGGACUUCCUCGCUUCAUAAACGAUCCCUCCUUGUAUAUGUAAAGUAAUGGUACCCCAGUUGAUAGUUCCAAGUUAAUUACCUGUCUCCCAGCAUAUUAAUCAUUCACCAUCGAAAAACUAUACUAGAAGGUAAUAACUAACCACAUGAACACAAGAAUAACGUAUAGGAAAUGGUUUCUAUACCUCGCAGGUAGUCAAUUUUUCUAGAUACAUGAUAAUACACCUUAGCGAAUUAGCAUGGGCUGCAACCAUAACAUGCUUCCCAGAUUGCAGCCGUGGUUCAAUCUACAAUUCCUUCUUGCUUUGUGAGAAUCAUUAAAAUAAUCAGAGCAAUAAUUUGAAAGUGCUUACAUGUUCCUUAAAAUAUCCGACUGCUCUCUGUGAGCACAUCUCCAAGCUCUCACCCUCAGGCGGAGGAAUAUCAUAGCUCCGACGCCAUUCAUGCACUUGCUCUUCACCGUAUCUUUCGGAAAUCUCCUGUUUAUUUAAUCCCUGUAGCUCACCGUACCUGUAUUAUACAUAUGCGUAUCAAAAUAAUUAAUCUAAUAUUCGGACUUCAGAUAGAAGGAAAGUAUAAAUCCCAAUGAAAAGAGAGAGUACAUUCUUUCAUUCAAUUGCCACGCUCUAAUAACAGGAAAUGAUUGCAUUUUAGCCUCAUCACUGUAAAUUUGACUCCAUGCCUCUGCCUGUUUACUACAAUCAUGCAUAAUGAUAGGCACCUGAAAGCAUAAGUUUGUCUAAAUUUGAAACGUCUUUUCUGAAUAAUAAAACAUAAUAAUAAUCAAAACUUUAAAUGUAGCUAUAGAGGUUAAGUCCCUUGUUAUUGUUCUCCUCAGAAUCAGUACUAGAAAGUAUUCUUCCCCUAAAUGAACUAUGAAUUCUAAAAUGGAAAGUAUUUUCAUACAAUGAUAAAAAUGUCUUUGUGGAAGAAAAGAAAAUUUCAUAAGCUUUCUUUCCUCCUAUAAUUAUAUCUUACGACCGUCUUGGGCAACAAGUAUGAAGUUCUGAAUUCAUGAAAAUCAGGUCUAGGCUAAUAAAAAAUUAUCCACUUUUCAAGAUGUAAAGAACACGACAUAAUAUAGAUACCUUUUUGCAGCGAUGUUGAGUCAAAGCAAGCACAGCUGUCAUUUGCGAGCGAAUUAAAGCAGAAGUAUACACAAAGUCUAGUGGUAUGUUGCAAAUCCUCUUACCAGCUUCAAUUGCUUCGUCUACACCUCUCCUUGUUAAAGGUACAUCAACAGAGCCAGUGAAUAAAUUCUUCUCAUUCCACAUUGACUCACCAUGUCGAAUUAAUAUCAGAGCUGUUUCAACUUUAAAAUGGGACAUUUAAUGGACAGCACAAAGAAAUUCAAUCUCCUAGCUAGGCAACUAACAAAAUAUUAGAUGCCAUUGUUCCUGAUAGGUGACCAGACUUACUUGAAGAAGGGUUCUUAGAAUCAUCGAUAUUCAAACGAGAAAUAGGUGCAAAAUGGUCCUUAAUUGAAGCUUGUGGGGUGGUGGCACAAACAACAGAAAGCUUGUAAUUUCUUACACGACAAAACCCUCUUCUAAAGAAAGGAAUGUCAUUAUCAUUACCCCUCCGGACAAAGGGUGGAGAAAAUGCAUAGAUGUUAUGAGGAUUUGAAUCAUUGGCGUGAUUACAAAGCUGCAGUGAUCCAUUGAAGUCGUGAAAUCCAGGAGAAAUCAUGCUGAUAACACAGCACAUAUCAAUGACAGAAUAUUAUUAGAAAUGACAUGAGAGAAAUUUGAUAGUACAGGAACAGGCAGCACAAUACAAUUGGAAAUCGGUACGUAAGAGAUGAAAAACGAAAAAUAUGCGAAAUUGAUAGAAGGACACCAAGAAUAGGCAUAAGAGCGUAGUAAACAUCCAAAAUCAAAGAGAGGGAAGAGUAGGGUUACGUUGAGCUGGCAGUCCGAUUUAGUGGGAGUAGAGAAGCAAGGAGAUGGAAAAUAGAUUUGAUCCAAAAUGAGAGGGCACCAAGUUUUGCAGAUUCUGAACAGCGUAGAAGGACAUUUUUUUACAUAGUCGGGCAACCGAGAACACCGGAACGGAGGAUGCGCUAUCUUUAUUCUUUUUCCUUCUUUUGGUGUAUUGUCUUCUUCUUCUUCCUCUUCUUAUUUUAAAUAAGAUCAAAAUUAAUCAAACCAUUAUCUCUAAAAUUAUUUUUAGGGCUUUCUUUCUAUGUUACUCACCCAAUUAAAUAGGUUAAAUUUUAAAAUUAAUUUCUUUUUAAAUCUAACCUACUUUCAAAAUAUUUAUAAAAAAAAAAAUCGUUUAAAUAAUGAUACUUGACGCUUACCAAGAUUUUAAGCACACCCUAUUAAUUUAUUAUAUAUAUAUCAUUUUAGUUUUGAUUUUAAAAAUAUGUAUCUAUGACUACAUUCCUUUUAGUUUGAAAAUUUACUAUACCAAAUAAUAAAAACAACUAUGACGAUCAAAUAACUAAAAAAUAAUAAAUAUCUAAUAGUAAAAACUCUAACAACCUAGGAGUUUUUAAAACGAGAGACUGUUAAAGUCUGUGGCACAAUGGGAUUUGAUAAAUACGAUCUAUAUUUGAGAAGCUUCUUUACUUAGAUAAAAAAUAUUAUUGAGAUUAACUUAAGUUUAAAGUUACGUUAACAAGCUAUCACCAUAAGAAUUCAACCUUCAAUCUCGUAGGACGAUAUUCCAUAACGUUUCCUAACAUUUACAUUUAGAACUUCUGCUCUUUAAGAAACCAAGAAAUAAUUAUACCAUAAGAAUAUCUUUUAUCUUCUUCAAAGAAGAACUUUUGACUCCUUAUUUGUAAAUGGUCCUAAAUAUAAGGAAUAUAUAUUUUUUUUAUUUAAAUAAAAAAAAUUCAUAUUUGUCAAAUAAUCUCGAUUAAAAUCUUUUAUAUAGUAUUUACUAUGGCUAAACGUUUCAAACAGUCCCGUAAAUUUAUGAGAUAUAACAAACAUAGUUAUAUGUACUAAGUACUGUAUUUGGUAUAUAAACUUUAAACCAAAUAGAGACACUAUUUAGGGUUUACUGGUUAUAUAAUCAAACAGGUAUUAACUUUAUUUCGUAUAAUUGAACUGUAAAUCAAUAAAAGCAUGUAUACAAACGAAUUAAUCAGAGUUAAGUUAGUACUCAAUCUUGGUUAAAUAUCUUUUCUAUUUAUUUAUUUUUAUCAUUUGCAAUUGCAGGGAGUAGGAAUGACGCUAUAUGUGUGUAUUUUUAUUCUUUCACGUGGGCGAGUUGUGGACUUAUAUAUUUUCUUAUUCUUCAAACUUACUUUCUUUCUUUCUUUCUUUCUUUCUUUUCCUUUUAAUUUGAAACGAUGCUUACCUUAGGUAUCUUUCCUUCUCUCAUUUAAUUAUUUGGGAGUAUCUAAAUAUUCAUUAUUUUGCUAUCUUUUUGUUAUUUUUCCUAAACCCCCUCUUUGGUUCUUUUUUCUUCUUUUAUCACCAUAAACAUAUAUAAAAAUGCUUCUAUAGUCGUAUGAAUCAAUACUUUUUGUGAAAUAUGUUCAAAAUCUGCUAAAUUAGUAUCAAAAAAAUUAUUUGAAUUAGAAAAAGUUCAUAUAACAUUGAUGACAACAUUAUUCUUUAGUAACAACACUACUAAUUAAUAUAUGCACGAAUCUUAUCAUCAAAUAUUUUAAUUCUUCAAUAAUUUUAAGAUGUUUUCUUUCAAAAAUGUUGACUUGUACGUGACAUCAUGAUAGUAAAUUAGCGAUACUAAAUCUACGUGUCUAAUUCCUAAAAGAAAAUAAAAGUUAAAAGGAAAUAUUAGAUUGCACUUGAUUUACCUAAAAAAUAUUUAUUUGUUGUAGGUUUGGUUUUUAAUAAGAAAAAAAAUGUGGGUGUUGAGAUGCACCCAUAAUCUUACGGUAAAAUCGGAUUAGCACUAUUAAAAUAUGGCAUAGUGACAUUCUUUAAUAUGUUUUUUUCUUUUGCUUGUGUAAAGUGUGGGUAAAUAUAAGCUACACUUGUUUAAUAAAUAGCUUACAAAGGAAUACACCCUGAAAAAAUGAAAGAUUUGUGUAAAUUGAUUUUGUUUGCUGAAAAAUGAGAUGACAUAUUAUAUGAAGUAAAUAUUUUGUUUAAUAAAAAGAAAAAGAAAAUGUGUUUGGGAAGAUGGAAAGGUAAGUGGAAAAAAUUAUAAUGAAAAAGUGGAGAGCAAUAAUUAGUGGGUAAAGUCCUUUUUCAGCUCCCCAAUGAGGCAGCAGCUGAGUGCACUGCAGUUCCCCAACUUUCCUUUUUAUUUUUCUUUUCUGUGGCCACAUGCAUGCCUUAACUUAGGAUCUCCCUAACCCCCAAAAACUAGGUUAAUUAACAAUUACUACAACAUAAUUAAUUCAAAUUAUUUUCUCAAACACCGCAUUAUUACGCUGAUCAAUGCUAUAUUAUAUGUUAUAUAAUCCAUUAUGUGAUAGUUCACAACAUAAUAUAUAUAUCCAAAAUAAUUGGUAUGAUGUCACCACUUUUAUAUUAAUUAGACUCCAGUUGUAUAUAUCUUGUACCAAUUUUUAAACUAAUUAUACAUCGAAGAAGAUCAUGUCAAUUAUCAUGUAUGGAGCUAAACUUAUUGAAAUAUUGGAAGAGGAGUUGUUUUGUAUAUUUGGAGUAAAGUAAUUGCAAUAACUUUGGUGGGUGUGCUUUGUUGAAGGGGGAUUAAAAUAAUAGGGUUAGUGAAAACUGAUAUCAUUAGUGAUUGUGAUGUAAUCCUAUAUGAAAAUCUAUGGUCUAAUUAAAAAGGAAAAUCUUACCUUCGGCGGAAUCAACAAUUGCCACGUGGAAUCUUGUUGAUAUUUUAUCAACAAGGCCCAAGGGUGAUGUGUGUCUCAUGGGUCCAAAAUUAAAUUCAUUGAUUCGUCUGUUUAUGUCUUCGUCAUUCCUUUUCUCUCCACUUUUAUGAUUUCCCAUUCCUUAAAAUUAAUAAUAAUAAUUUAAGACUGAUGAUAUAAUUAGUAAUUGGGUGUAAUUAAUGUUAUUAUCCACCGUAUAUAUAUCCAUGAGGUAGCGUAAAUGGAAUUUAGAAGAUGAGUCAUGUAGUUGUCGUUUUAAACCAAAACGACACCUAGUGGUCCUAAUUGCGGAAAAUGGCAUAAUGCACAAAAUUGGAUUUUGUUUUUGAAGAAGAAGGAGCCGUGGGAAAUUACGAACACUUCCGAAUUGGUUAAUUAAACAAACAAAAACAAAAAUAUUAAAGUUUCACAUGGAUUAGAUAAUCAGAUAAUCAACUAUCUCCAUCGACAUGAGAUUUUAUUUUCCUAUAUUGUUAUAUUAUUGGUGAAGGUAUGAGUAGGAGACAUGUAAAUGAAGAAGGGAUGUUUUGAAGUUAGUUUUAGGCAAGAAAAGCAUAGGAAAAUAGUAGACUAAAAAGGUAAGAGGUUGCUGUGUCCUCAUUUCCUUCCAUUCAAAGUGGAGAAAUUAAGAAAUCUUUCGGGUGCGUGUCAUUGUGCAGUAAAAAGGAUUAAAAAUGUGUGUGUGUGUGUGUGUUGGGAAAGUGGGUUUAGUGAGAAAGGGGAGAUGUGAUAGAAGGGGGAAAAAAAGGGGAUGAAUGAAUGAAUGAAUGAAUGAAGGGAAAGGCAAACAAUGGUUAAAAGGGGGACGAAGGAAAAGAUGGGGAUGUGCCAUUGCUGUCCCAUUGUCUCUUUAGUAUUAGUAAGUGGGAAUAUGACGUUUUUGUCCAUCCCUUUUCCUUAAUUUUUCAUUUUUCUAAAUAUAAUUUCACUCAUCUCAUUAUGAUGUUUCCCUCUCAUCGCCUAAUCCUUCUUCCACUACACAUCUCAUUAUUUCCUUUUAAUCUCCUAACACAUACACAAGAUCUCAUUCUUUUUCUUCUUCAUUUAUAGACUUAGAUGCUAUAUCAAAUUUGUAGGUCCGAAACUCAAGUACUUCAAUGUUGUAUGUUAUUUUAUUUUUAUUUAAUGUUGAUUUUUACUCGAUAAAUAUCCCUCGUUAAGUUAAACUAUUAAUUUUACUACAUAAUAUAAUUUUCUUGUUUAUAGUAUUUUUAGCAUUUAAUUAAAAGAAAACAUGUAAGAUAAGUGGGCAAAUGAACGAGAAGAUUAAGAAGAAGAAAGGAUAAUUAAGUAUGUAUACCAUUUUUAGCAUUUAAUUAAAAAGAAAAGGAAAAUAUGUAAGAUAAGGUUUGGAAAUGAAUGAAAAAUGAGAAAUGGAUAACGAUAAAUGGCACAAGAUUUGCACCUGAUUAAUGUUAAUAAGAUUAACAUAAGUAGUGUGUGAUUAAUUAAGCAUGGGGGCUGUGAAAAGAAAAUAGAGUAUAACCCACUUUACAUCCUUUUCCGUAAACGUCAAAUAAUUGAAAUAACAAUUUUAACUUUACAGUUAUUGGAGAAAAAGAAAAACUAAAAAAGCGUGACGUGGGAUCUCUUGGGCUACGUGGUGCCCGCAAGCAACGGCCAAGAUUCCCUCUCACUCAUCAUCAAAAUACUAAUUAAUCAAUCUCAGUCUCUCUUUCUCUCUCUAACUCAAAAACACUCUUCCUAUAUAUUUCUUUAUUUGCCCAAUUGGCGUAGUUUCUCACACUCCUCCAACUUCCCCCACUCUCUCUUCUUCCUCCCGCCUCCACCUUCAUUUUUCCGCUUCUUCUUCUUUUAAUAUGCUGCUUGGCAAACGCCCUCGUCUUCCCAUCAAGAGAACUACCAGUAUGACCGGAAUCAGAGGGGAUAUCCCCGACGUCGAAUUUGAAGAACAACCCUCAUCCGAUCAGAUCAUCAACAACCCCGGCGGCGGCUACGAUCUUCACCACCCCAUCCCCCCGGUUUCACUUCCUCAUAAUACCACCGCCAUUAAUUACUCCGCCUUGGUUUCUCCUCGAAAUUUAAGAGAUCAGUCCCCACCUAACGAUCACUUCCUCCGCACGUGCGGUCUCUGCAAACGCCGCCUCGCUCCGGGCCGUGAUAUCUACAUGUACAGGUACAGUACCCUCCUCUCUCUCGAUUUCUUUUUCUUUCCCAAUAUCUUAAGAAAAUUAGAAUUUGUAAUUUAAUUUGGGAGAUGUGACGCGUAUGUGCAGAGGGGACACCGCGUUUUGCAGUUCGGAGUGUAGAGAGAAGCAAAUAAAAGAAGAUGAGAGAAAAGAGUACGGAGGGAAGAAGAAAGAGGAGCGGCAAGCGGCGGGGAUGGGGGUAAGGGGGUCGAGGAAGAAGGAAGCAGAGGGUGGAGGGAGGUAAUUAAUUAAGUAACGAUCGAUUAGAGUGGAAAUAUAAAAGUAAAAAAAAAAAAAAUAUUAUUGUGGGUAGAAGUAGAGCGGAGGGGUUUAUAUGUAUUUUAUAAUUACAUAAUAUAUGAAUGUAAUUCCAGUACCGACUCCGAUUCCGGCUGGGGCGGUGGUUGGUCACACGCCAGCUGGGUGGGGUGUUGGAGUAUGAGGUUACUAUAUGAUGAUGGGUAUAUUUUGGUAACUUUGUACAAAUGGAAUAUUUGGAAAAUCUUGAAAAAAGUAAAAAGGGAAAAUGAAAACAAAAAAACUAAAGGGAAAGGAAAAAUGCUGUGGGGAGAGGGGGAGGGGGAGGGGAAGUAUUAUUUAUUUGAUGUCGAUUUUGUAUUAGAUAUAUUGUAAUUUUAUGAUCUGGAACACUUCUAAGUUCUAACUACCUAGCUCUACAACACCCAUUAGAAAAUUAUUGUUUUUCUUUUUUAAUUAUUUAAAACAUGAAUUAAAUGUAUUUGGUAUCAAAUUAUGAGAUGAGACAUAUGAAUUUGGUAUCAAAUUAUGAUAUAUGUGAAUUUCAAGGAAUGGUCGUUCGAGAAUUGAAAAUAGAUUCAGUACCUUUUAAAUUCUAACUAGUAAUAGUAGUUUUUAGAUCAAAAAUAUCUUUCAUAUAAAUAUACUCUUUUCAUAUAUUUUUAAAUGUAUCUUUUUAUGAGUUUACAUUUCUUAAACCUCUUUCAAACAAAGUUAAUUAAAACUAAUCAUAUAAAAUUUUAAAGAAAAAUAUAUUAUGCUGAAUAUAAAUCCACUGAAAAUAAUUAAAAUUAUAAGCUUAAUUUAGCUUCAUAUAAUUAAAUAAUAUCGAUUUAAAAAAAUUACAAAUUAAAAUUUACCAAACGUCAAUCUUACUUUUUUCCACCGCUAAUUUUAAUAAAACUUUAAAGUAACUAGUCUAGAAGAUAAAAGUAUCUCAAAUUUAAGCUUUCCAAGUCUGCUAACCACGAUUACUAUCUCUACAAAUGAUACCCAAUAUAGAUAGAGAUACCAUUUAUUUAAGAUGUAACUACAAAUUCUUGAAAGCUGCCACUUCAAACAUUAGCCCGAAUAGGCCCAUUAUCCCACUUGGCUAGAGCUGGCUGAUUUGUACUUACAAAACCCAACUAUCGAAAUUAUUCCUUUUAUUAUGCUGAAACAAUCGAUGCAAUCUGCUUGUAACUUUUAUGAGGUGAAUAUUUAUAUAUAGAACAGUGUUUAUCAAGAGAGUGUCUCCAUAGCCUAUUGAGCUUGAAUGUUAUUUCAGUUUAAUAACAUUAGUUAUUCCACAUCACUUGCUUUUUGGAAAUGUGUGUUUACACCGUAAAAAUUGUGAGCGUAGUAACUUUAAAAGAAAAAUCAUUUGUAGCAAACUACAAGCCCAUUUCAGUAAUUUUAAUUGAUAAAAGUAUUGGAAAUUAUCUCUGUGGUACAUCUAAACAUAUGAAUAACUACAUCAUUGUUUAAUACCAUGAUCCAAUCGAAGCUGAGUAUAACUAGAUGUGUUGGCAAUUAUACAAUAUCCAAAAACAACAACCAGACCUUUCACAUUAGCUUUCAACCUUUCAACUUAGCUUUAAUUUCAAGUGCAUGUCAAUUACUAUGGAAGACUUGGCUCAUUUACGUUAUCAUUUAUAUGUGUUAUACGCCCUUAUAUUUGUUAACUAAAGUAUGAUAAUCAAACUUUAAUUCUAUCACUUUCUAUAAGAUUUUUCAUUUAGUAAAUAGUUGCCAGCAUGAGUAUAAUUCACCCUGGAACCACACCUUUAGAAAAAUAUAUUGAACAAUUAUUUCAUGUGGUGCAAAAUGGUCCAUCACAUUUCAUUAACUUCAACCAUUCAUUAAGAAUUUACCAAACUAAAUGCUAAACAUACGUAAUUUUUUGGUGUUUAGAGAUAACGUAAACAGCAGAGCAACUGGUAUAUAGUGUUUAUCAAAGAUUAUGGCUCAUGUCAAAGUUUACCAAUAUCUUCAACUUAUAACUACAAUAUUGUUUUAGUUGUAUUGAAAUGUCCAGAAAUUCAGAUUGAAAAUAUAUACCAUUAAUUUGCAAACUGAACAGUGGCUUACCCUUAACCCACUGAUUAUCUACUCCCAUUGAGGGAUGCUGUUGAAUCAGUCAACACAACAGCCUUCACAAAAGCUUACUUCUCUAGAAACACCCAUAAGAAAGAAAAAGAAAUGAACAUAGCUGAGAGGUUCUCCAAAGAACAAUUACAUCAAACUCAAACUUGUAAAGCAGAAAAAGGCAGAAUCUCUCAAGAUCAGUCUUCCUCCUUCGAUCACUUGUAUUCCAAUAUCAUAUUAUUCUCAGGAGCAAGCCCAACACAGGCCCUCAGAAUGUUCUCUAACAUUGCCCUUUGCUUUGAUAGUGCAUUCACAACUGGUGUGCCUGGGGGAACCUGUUUUUCCAUUACUCUCAAAUUUGUUAGGAGUUCUUUUUCUUUAAGUUCAAGUUAGAGCUCACAACUUAAAGAAGAUCGAAUUUGUACUUACAAGAGGUGCCUUGGUAAGGUAGCUCAGUAUUGUAGCCACUGGGUGGAAAGAAUGAAACUUCCCCUGCAAAAAGGAACAACCAACUGAUCUUCAAUCUUCAUCUUUUGUAAGUUUGAAAAAGAUGCAAUCAAUUCUUAAAUUUCAACCCACCUCUCCUUCAGCCUUGAGUUGGAUGCGAGUGCUUAGCUCAGCAAGUAGAACCAAAUCAAGGAUAAUGGGAGCAGCCAAGAGGGAGUCCUCGCAUGUGUUGUGCAGUACAAUGGUGCUCUUUCCGCCCAUGAAUAUCUCUGACGUGUACUCAUCCAUGGCUCUCUUGCUAUCUCCAACAUAUGGCACAUACUAAAAGAGCCAAACACUUUCAAAUCAGGGAAAAAACAAACAAAACAAAAACUUCAACAGAGAAGCAAAGCCAAAAGAGAAAGCACCUUGAUCACUACAACAUGGUCUGGAUGCUCCCCUGGUUCGUACAAGAUGCCAUUGCUCGAGACCAUGUCGUCGACCACAUUGCUCUUUGAUAUUUCUUUCGAGCGGAAGGUUUGUGGAGCAGAGAGAUUCAUUCCAUCAUUGUUUCCAAGAUGAUUGUAGCUCACAAUUGAAGUUGGCUGAAAUCAGAGAUAAUGAUUUGAUUUCACUAGUUUCCUGAGUUAGUUGAAUACCAAGCCAUUUUUGUGUCAGAGUUUUACCUUAAUACCAGCACCAACUAGAAAAUCUACUAGGACAGAUUUCAUCUUGGUUUGACCACUCUUAAAGUCAUCUCCUCCUAUCAAACUGUUUCUCCUAAUAGCCAAAUCAAUCAACCCUGAAAUUGGAAGAUUUUAACCCAAAGAACUCAUCAUCAAAAUGUUUGAUGCUUAGGAACAUACAAGCAAGAGAGCUAAAAAUGUUAAGCUUAUAUCAUACCUGGGACGAAGGUGUUUUGUGGGCUUCCAUUGAUAAAAGGAACAUUCUCAAGAACACAGGCUAUGGCAUACAGGGUAGAAGGAGAUAUUUCAGCCUCAUUCUUGUCCAAAGAAGCUAAAAGGCUCUCCAUUGUGUCAUUCAGUCCCACAACUACAUUGCUGUAUCUCUCUGUGUUGGCGGUCCAAAGCACAACAACUUCAUCCACUUUACUCUUCUCCUUAAACUCCCUAAGGAUUCAGAGAAUUAAUUACAAGAAAAAAAAGGGCAUGGGCUUCUAAACAAUUGCAACAAACAAAACAGAACUAGAGUAACAUAUUACUUGAUAUCACUUAUGAUUUGUUGGACUUGUUCUCUCUUGGUUCCUUUAAUCACAUUGUUAGCUCGAGAACCUUGAUUAGCAGCAAUGAAAUCAGGGUCGUAGAUCCCAGGAAGUGGGACCAUGGAUUCCAUGUAGGGUCUCAACUGCUUUUGUAGGUCAAUAUCAAACACCUUGGCCCUUGCCAUGGCAUCUGCCAAGUUCAUGUCACUAAUGUCCCAACCUCCAAACACAAUGUCAUCUGGAUUAACCUGUAGAUUAAACAAUAUAAUGGAGGUUAAAAAAACAGAGAUGUAAUUAACAUAGCCCUCCUCCUCCUUUAAACUAAAAGGUCACUACCAUAGGAAGCAGGCUUUUAAAUGGGGCAUAGAUCUCCUCUCCAUUGUAAGAACCCACCCGGAUGGACGAAGCCUGAGUCAAUGACCCAAAAUAAUUGGCUUGUUGUACUUUAUCCUUAGUUGCCCAGGAAAUCCCUCUGAGAAUAUUUAAAUAAAUCCACGUUAAAAAAAAGUAAAGAAGUUACUUCAGCAGAAACUCAAAUACAAAAGAACAAAAGAUGUUGGUGCCCAAAAGGAACAACACCCAUCUCAAAAUUUGCAACAAAAAUACUUUUCUAAGAAAUCUUACUCUCGAUUGGCAAUAACCCCCCCUGUAAGAGUACAACCAUUAUUCCCACCCCAUCCAACAAGCAUAACCCUGCACAACACAAAGUCAUAAGAAAUUUUCUUCUCAUAAAAGAAAUUGUCAAAAUAAAAAAUUGUAAAACAAUCAUAAACAACAAACCCUAGCUUUGGGACAUGAGUUUGAGUUUUGAAUUGGUAUUUGACAGUCUUGGGCUUCACCGUCCAUUGAUAGCUACCAUUCUUAAGCUCAUGAACAAGUUCUGUUGUUUCAUAGUUGUACACAGAAAGAAUCUCAUUCGCAGUGUACUCCACAUUUGGACUCUCAACCUUAAAGCUCUCAAUGAACAUUUUCCUUUUUCUGUUUUAGAAAUGCAAGAAGAAAAAGUAGUGAGAAUUUUACAAUGAACCAAACAAAGGCUGAAUUUUUUUUGUAGCUCAGGCUGCUGUAAUGUAUGUGAUCCAUUGCCUUCUGCUGAUGGUUUCAUUUAUAGACGAAAAUGCACUCAAAUAGUUAACACGUGGCAUGACAUGCAUGGAUUACCAUAUAUACAUACUACUUUGUAGAUUAGCAGAUUUCGUUCCCUAUUUCAUUCCUUAAUUUUGGUAAUUAGUUUUUUUUCUUUCUUAUUCUUCCGUUUCGUCUACAAUUACCUUCUAUUCACUAUUCUAACCCAAUUAUCAAUAAUAUAUCAAUUGUAUUCUAACCCAUUUAUUCUACAUUGGAAGACAUCAAAUUAUCAAUAAUAUAUAUAUAUAUAUAUACUAUGAGGUAAUUCAGAGGAGAGGGGUGUAUGGCCCACUAAAGCUAUUGGCUUUAUAUAUAGUUGAUGAGAAAUUGAUUUGAUAUAUGGAAAUGUGUGAAUUUGAUGGAAAAGGAGAGAGGGGAGGGCGUAAUAUUCCGACACGUGGUCAAUUAUGGUCUCUGUCCAAAGUUGAUGUGACCAUAAUUUAAAUAAUGCAAGCUAUAUAUAUAUACACAAUCCAUCAUCAUUAUUUUAAGACGAAACAUACUUGCUUCUUCAAACUUACUUUUAUGUCUUUGCAUUUUUAUCAAACUUUUUUCUUAUGUAACUUCCUAUUUUGAUUUAGUUGUUUUUUUUUUUUUAUAGGACAAAUAUGAAUGCAUGCACUAUAUAAUUUCUUUAGAACUACAAAAAAAUAUCAAUACUCUUCUAAGAAAGCAUAAGUAAUAAAAAAUAAAUGAAUAUGAUACUAUAAAUUACAUGGAAGAUGUUCAAUCAAACUCAUCAUCAAGAGUGUACAAUGGGCCCUUAUUAUAUUUGGUGGUUUAGUGGGUGGUUGUGAACAUUCUUCUAAAAUAAUGAGAAAGAAAAAGGAAGAGAGAAGAAUAUGGGGUUGCUGGGGGCAUAGAUCAGAUCACGAUAAAGCAAGAGCAGCCUAUGUGGCGGUGUAGGAAAAGGUGGGUCUUCUAAUGCCAUGCAGAGGGAGGCUCGUGACCUUGUAUCACCUUUGUGGCUCUCAUCACCCAGCAAUACCAUUCCCCCUUCUUCAUUGUUCUUAAUUAAUGCAUACAUCCAUAUAUAUCAAUCAAUCAAUCAAUCCAUUGUUUUUCUUAGCUUAUAAUCCAGAAUAGUUUAAUUGAAAAGACAUUAUUUACCUUCUAACAAAAGAACUUUCAAUUUUUUUGUUUAAUAAUUCGAUGAAAUUAGAUAUGAAAUUGUAAAGGGUAAUCUAGAAUGUUCCCUUGUAUCCAAUAGGUGGCGAUGGAGGUCCCAUCCUCAUCCCCAUCAAUGUGCAGGAAACCCACCCCAUUUAUUCACGUGAUAAUAUAUUAUGUAUGAUUUCUGUUUAUUUUUCUCAAUUCAAUAAAACGGUAGUUUUAAUCGGUUAAAGAAGAAUAAAGUAAAUAAGUAAAUGAAUGGAAGGUGGGUGGGUGCCAUAAAGUCCAAAAUGAAACGAAAGAAAACUAGAGGUGUCACAUGGGUUUGUAUAACUAUAAACAGGAAAUUGUGCAAAAGCUGAAACAGAGGCAUGAAACAGUAGAAUUGUAUCACAAUAUAGAACAGAGUUGGUUGGAAACUUGUCAAUUCAAUUCUUUGUAAAUUCCAACAACUGAUCCCAAACCAAUGCAUUUCUGAAACUUCAUAUACAUCCCCACUACUAUUUUGUUUGGGGUUAAAAAUUGGUGUGGCCCUUUUUCUUUACCAAAAGCUCUGUUUGCUUUUCCUUUUUAUCCAACUUUUCCGAAGAGUCUGGUAGUUGUGAAUGUGAUAAAGAAGAGAUCUCGUGAAAUUUGAUCUACUUUUUUAGCUAAAAAAUUAAAAAAAUUGCUGUUUAUAAGCCAUUGAAGGCCCCUUGUUUGGAGGCCCCUUGUCGUCCAUGUCAUUGUGAUAUUUGAGGGGGUAAGGGUAUGGUAGAUUACUUAUGAGAUAAAUAAAUAAAACAUUACAAAAGGAGUACUUACACGUUAUAGUUUUUUAAGGGUGUGUUCAAUUAUUACAAUAUAUGUAUGAAUAAUGAGGAUGUGAAUUAAUUCAAAAGUGGGGCUCUGAAACAUACACCAUCCCUUUUGGAUUUUUGCUAUCAAACUUUAGUUGGAAUCCAAUUGUAGCUUCCUGAUUUGACGUUUAUUUGUUUCCCUCAAAAUUACAACAUUUUCUAAUCUUAUUUAUAAAUAUAACAUAACAUCACAAUUUAUCAACCAUACCUAACUAUGUCAAAUCCAAUAAAAUAUUUUGUUAAUUUUUAAAUAGAGGAGAUUGUUUGAAGUGCUAAGUUGGUUAGUGAUUAUUAUGGUUUGUCAAUUAUAAUAGCUCGUAGAUUAUAGUAAUUUGUGUCUCGUCACAAAGUAUUUUUGAGGAAGAUGAUUUUUAAAUUAUUAUACUAUAGUUAAUUUAUAGGUUAUAGUUAGUUGAAAACAUUAUAAUUAAAUCUAAAAGGUGUAGUAGGGUUGCCACUCCACCACUUGAAGUUUAGAAUAAAAACUUAAGAAAGAAUUGAAGAAAGAAAACUUGUGGGAGGGAUAAAUACUUACAAAUUGACUAGGAGAGUUACAAAUUUUUUUUCAUAUAUUUACUAAUUAAUUGUAGGAUGAAUGAUCAAAUCUUCCACCUCCAGAUUAUGUUAAUUAAUUAACCUAAUUUCAGUUAGAUUUAAAAGUUGAUUUUUUAUUUUUAUCGAACAAGUUUAAUGGACAAAAUUAUAAAUGUGGUCUGUUCCAAGUUUAAAUUUUCUCUUGGUAACAAAUUGAUUUAAAGAAUUCAUGGCAGAGCCAUGAAACUGAGAUUUAAAGCUUUAUGUGUGUAUUUGUAUAUAUUUAACUGUGCUGUUCAAAAUCCAGAUGGUUGGUGAGAGAUGAUUUCAGCCAUGUGUUGUUUUGAAAGAAAGGUUCCAUUUGAAAGGGAAAAGGGUAUAGGAAAUGGACUUGGUUCAUUUUGCAUAAAAUUUGAAGAUGUACUCAUAACUUAAAAACAAAACAGGAUGAAGUAAUGAAAGAAUAAACCAAUGGAUUUCUGGUUAUAUAUUUUCAUAUAUGUACAUGAAAGAAUCCCUCCCAAGAACAAACAAGAAUCACUCUCCAAAAGCACAAGGUACUUUCAUCAAGAAGAUGACAUACCGCUCUUUUACGUCCACACUUCCUGUCCUUCAUAGAAAAUAUAUUGUUGUCUUCCUUUCCAGCUUAUUACAAAACAAUGACAAUUUGGAGUGCAAAGGACAACCAUGUGGUUUCAAGUCACCGUAAUAGCAGUCGAGAAUGUUUAAGUAAGACGUUGAGAUGCUGUUUUCCCUGAGCCAUGUAGAAUAAAUUCUUUACCUUAGCUGUCAUCUGUUUCAAUUCAGCAUAUUUUCAUAAACUGGUUGGGGAAAACAUUUCAUUGAAAUAUAAAGAAAGACCUAUGACUAAACCUUUCCAAUGCCUAAUCCUUCCCUUGAAUAAGGAACUGAUCUCAGUUGAUAUCCCGGUGAUGAUGGAGGAGAUUUUCGACUACUUUCCUCUCUGCAAUUCAGCUUCCCAUUGGCUCUGCUUCGAGUUGUUUUGGUGGAUGAAGUCUUCCACUUCUCUUGCAAUAUGCUUGGGAGGGUCGAUUCCUGGUGGAGAAAUUGUUUUAGAUAACUCAUUUGUCCAAGAAGAGCGGCAUAUGUGGUAGAAAUUUUUGUAUACAUACCAGAAAUAGAACAGUAGCACAAUGUUUGAGAACCUCCAAGUUCAUACGAACAUCGUCGAGGCUCCUGCACAAAAAUACUUUUGUCAGUUUGUGAACUAAGAUGAUACAAGUUAACACAUACAAAGAAGGGAGUCGAUCAAUUGUAUUGAUACCUGUGCUUUUGCUGUCCCAACUGAAAGUAAGAAGCCAAUGAUGCCAUCUAAAUAUAAAACAGUUCAAAAUAUAUGAGAACUAUUUUGCCAAACGUUGUAUGCUAUAUGUUAUGGUUUUCAAGGUUCAAAAGUUCGUUAUUUCUCACCUUCAUGUUCCCGGCUCUCUUGCCAAAUUUGUUCGUUAAGACUCCUAAAGAAUCAACCAUCCCAACUGGGAUAGGAGCAGGCCUGCCAAUCUCUGCAAAUGCCUCCUUAAUACGAACACAGUCGAAUCUUCGAAUGUUGUGACCUGCCCAUAUCCUUCCAUUCAAAAUGCUGAAUAUCUUGUCAGCCACUUCCUCAAACAAUGGUGCAGUUGCAACAGCUGCUCUAGUUAUUCCGUCAGGUCGGCUAGACCUCAACGCAACAGCAGAUAAAUCCGUUGGCCUAAUGAGAGUAGUAAAGCUCUCGAGCUCUACAAGUUUCAUUGGGCAGACAACAAUAGCACCAAAUUCCAAUACUCGAAACCGUUGCCCAACUCUUUUGGGUACGGUAGUUUCCAAGUCGAAAAAUACAAUCUCAGCUGCACCUUCUUUGAAUGAACUUGAAGCCUCCAUAUCCAUUGGCAUUUAUGUCAAAUAGUUUCAAGAUAAAGUUUUGUUUUCUUAAUGUUCAAUGACAUGGGAGAUUGAAGAGGUUAUAAAUGGGCGAAGAAAAGAGAGGAUUAUUCUUGGUGUUGAGGGUUUGAUUGGUUGUCUUGAAAUUAAAGUCAAGAGCUUGGUCCGUGGAUGAAGAAGUCCUUAGCUUCUGGAGGGUGUCAAUUGCAAAACCAGCUCAAAUUGAACGGUAAAUUGAUCAUCAAGAAACGUUAAGAAUGACUUUUGUUGUCACUUUCCUAUUGCUUUCUGCAAUCAAAUACAGUUCAUGCAGCAUCGUUUUGGAAUAUUGAUGGAACCUUUCAAGCCAGGUCUUCUUAACCAAAAAUUAUUCCGUCUCAUCCCUUGUUUUGCCUUCCAUAUUUUAUUACUCUACUCUUAAUUAAUCAACCAAAACAUAAAAUAAAAGUUUGUUUAUACAGUUGUGUAAGUUAGACGAGAAUUAUUUCCUCAAUCUCUGUUUAAUAGGAAAAACAGACUAAAAUAAAAUUACAUGAAUAUUUUCCCUUUGCUAUAAAACUUGCAAUCAGAGUUAACUUUCUCAAUUUAGCUAAUAUAAACUAUUCGAUUCAAUUGUAUAAUAGGAACAAUACAAACAAUUCAGUUUACAAAUCCGAAACCAAAACAAACUAAGAAAUUUUGAUUUACUUGGUAAUUUUAAAUCAAACUGAACAGACACAGCAGUAAAGUUUGAGUUUUUGAUUUGAUUCACGGAUUGGGUUCGAUUUUGGCAUUGGGUUCGAUUCAAUUGUAUCAUCCCUCUAAUUUUAACUUUGGCCCAGAAGAAAUGUAACAAAAAAUUACACUAGCAGAAAUAAAAACCUUCUGAGUAGAGAGAAUUCAUCAAAAGUUUAAAACUUCCCCAUCCUAGUUGUGGAAUAAAAAUUCAAGAAUGGACCAUAGAUGCAAAUUCAGGAAGGAAAGGAGAAACAUCAAAGGGGUUGAACCAGUUUUUGUUUUUGAUGACCCCACACUUUCCUUUUAUCUAUUUCCUCAAGCAGUUCACCCUGUUCCUGAUCAGUAAGCAUGAAGAUAACAGAUAAAGGAUUUGACCGGUUAUGAUGCAUUUUUACGAAUAGAAUUGGAUAUUAGAUUUUGAUAUACCUAAUAUAACAACUAAGAGCAGGCAAUAAAAUCAUUAGAAGUGCAGACAAGUUCAAUCCCUUAGAAGCUUUAGACAACAAGAAACAUCACCCGCAAUUUGGUUAAAGGGAAUGAUGCCAAUUGCAAAGUUCUGCGUUUAUCCAAUCAAAACAAUUUACCAUUUUCAUGGCACUAACAAUUUACCAGACCAUUCUAAAAGGUAACUCAUAAGCUACAACAACUAAUAUAACACGGUAGAAUAAAGAGGCAUUUGAAUGACCACCAGUAGAAUGAUGAACGUGACACCCAAUAAAGAGGAAUAGAUUUUGAUACAAGGGAUAGAACUCGAAACCCACACCGGUUAAAAAUGUGGGGGCACGGAUGCACAAGGUAUUGUAAUACCAAAAUCAUACACACAAACUUAAAUUCUAGUACUCGAAGAAUCAAAAUCAUCAGGAGCAACACGAGCAAUCCAGUUAUUGAGCGUUCUCUUAAUCUCAGAGUGAUUAACAUAAGCCAAUUCAUACAUACUACACAGAUUCACGAUCACUGUUUCAUUGAGAGCCACAGUCGGAACUCUUUCCAGUGCAUUUUCAAGCACCUUAAUCGAAUCUGCUAAAUCCCGCAAGUACAUCAAGCAAAGAGCCUUAUUGUUAAUAGCCACCAUGUCCGAAUUAUCCCUCUCAAUACACUCCUCAUAUUCCCUCACAGCUGAUAGAUAGUCCUUGCCCACCAAAAACACCAACGCCUUGUUCCUAUUCACAAGGUUCUUCAUCUCUACUUCGCUUAACGACCCACUACUUUUCCCCUCUUUAACCAACUCCUCAAUCCGAUUAAACGAACGUUUAGCUCCUUCAAUAUCUCCAGCGUGCAUUUGUAUAUACCCAAGUUUCGAAAUCAGAGCAGGAUCUGAGAAAUCCUCACUUAACAAAUUAUUAAUCAAGGUUAAACAAACCCCAAACUCCUUGUUACUUAAAUGAUGGCCAAUAAUACAAUUAAUCACAAACACUACCCUUUUCUUCCACAAGUUCACAGAGACAUCGAGCUUUUUCUCCUCUUUAUCCUUCAAUUUUGACUGUACAAAAUCCAGAAGUUCGUAGAACCGGUCCAACCCAUGUUGACGCUCGCCCAUUUUGAUGGGGAUUAGCGCUUGCAGCCACCGAAGUGAAAAGGGGACCAUGGAGCCGGUUCGAUUAGGGUACACGCUAGGGUACGAUUCAUACCUGUAUUGAGAGCUAUUGAGAUCUUCAAGAGAAUCAAGUUCUGCCAGGGCUUCGGCGAAACGUCGGAGUUUGACAAGGGCAAGGACAUUGUAGGAUAGGUAAGUGAGGUGGUCAUGGGGCUUCUGAAGCAGGGUGAGAGCUCGGGCUCGGGCAACCUUAUCUAAAAUUGAACGCCAUGAACCGCGAGUGGCGAGAUCUUGAAGAGAGAAAAGAUCGUGAGCAAGAUCGUUGAGGGAUCCAAACUGAGUGGUUAAAGGGUCCGAGGAAAUUGCCAAAUUUUCGAAUCCAGUUGUUAGGGUUUCGGGAUCGGAAGUGCUGUGAGAGUGAGAGUCAGGUGACGGUGACGGUGACUCAGUUUCCAUCUCGAGCGAUGAUGAGUCGUUGGACCGAGAGGAUCCAGUUUCCUACCUCCUCCUCCUUGGGGUCUUCUUCUUCUUCUUCUUCGACAACAGUUUCCUAUUUUCUUGUUACAUCGAUCAACCGUGCUGUACAUUGGACCGAAAGGAUCCAGGCUCAGGCCCAAAACCAAAUGAGCUUCGUAUUGGGCCUAUUAUACAUCAUGGGCCAUUUCAUGAAUUUACUAUGAAAAUCUUCCUGACAAUUUGAAAAAGAAAAAGAAUAAAAAUAAUUUUCAAAUAUACCCACCACAUGGGGGCUCUUAGGACAUUGGGUUUUAUUAAUACGUUGGGGUUUCUCAAUAUGUAUUUGGGGUUGGGGAUGAAGUUUCUAAAUAAAAGUUGUGCAAAAUGUUAGGAUAAAUACUUUAAAUAUAUACAAUAGAGCAUGAAGAAUAAAUUAUGUAUCAAAUUUCAUCUCCAAUAAUUAAUGAUGGCUAUAAAAUGACUAUUGGCUUUUUCAACUAAAAUCUGAUUUUUAUCUUUAUGGAAUAUCAAUUAUCAUUUUCACUAAAUCAUAAUCAAUAUAGAAACAUAGUCAAGUUAGAGAUCUUUUGACCUUAAUUAAAUAGAUCGUACCUAAUUUAAUAAACUAACCAAAUUUAAUAAAUUAUUAAUUCACGUAUAUAAUUCACUUUAAUUAUAUAAUUAUAUAAUUAUAAACAUACUAUUUAAACACGUCUGACACAGAAUAGAUAAACAAAUUAUAAAGUUUACCAGUCACGUAGGUGUUAUAAAAAUAAUUAUUCUUUCAAAGACUACAAAUUUACCCAAAACAAAAAUUAAUAAAGUAUAGGUUGAAAUAUCAUUUUAUUCAUUGUAAUUUGAACCUUUUUCAAUAUGAGUUAAUUAUACCUUUAAAUGUCUAAUAUUAAUACUUGUACUUACCAUCAAUAUUAUAUUAAAACCUUCGAAAAAUUAUUAAAACCUGUUAAAUAAUAACAAUAACUUUCAUAUAAUAUGUAAUAUGUUUUCAAAUUGUAUAUUAAAAUGCUAAUAGAUACGAACAAGAAUUUGAAAAUCCACGAUCCACCCGAAAACACCAAUUAAGACAAAAUUUAAAAUUGGUUUAAAAUUACAAUAAUUAAAAAUGGACGAUUGAAAUGGUAUAGAUUAUAAUUGAAUAACUUUCCAAUAGUGUUUGAACCUAAAUUAAAAUACAAUUAUUUGGUAAUUUGGGUUGAAAUUAAAAAAAAAUCACACAUUCCAAAUCUGGAAAAUGAGUAUUUUGAGAAGUAUGAAAAAUGAGAUUCAAAUGUAUUUGUAGAAGAGCAAGUUAUAUAUCACUGUUAUAGGACAUCAUCGAUCAAAUCUGGAUUUGUGGACUUUGAUUUUGAAGUUAAUAGAAUAGGAACUACAUCAUCGUCCAAUCUCUUAAAUUUGUCAAAAACUUUGAAAUUAAUGAGUUUAAGUAGAUUCUUACAUCGCAGACUUGUUCCAAAUUUUAAAAAUAAAUUAUUGAGAGAAAGGAAAAAAAGAAAUGUAAAAGAAUCCCCACCUUCAAGACUAAUUUAGUGGGUAUAAAUGAAAAUGGAAUAAAUAGUACAAUGUCCAAUUUGCCAAAAGAGUGAAAAAGGGAAAUGAAUACUUUUACCUUUUUCAUUUGAUACCCGAUGUCCGUUAAGGAAUUGAAAUUAAAGGCUUAGGGAGGUAGAUGAAUAUUAGUAAGAAAAAUUAAAUCUUCAUAAAUGUUCUCUUUCUUUUUUCUUUUUACAUAAAUACCCAACGUCCGAUUGUAAAAGGUAGCUAAAAAGUUUUAUGAUAUAUGCGAUUAAUUAAAAUCUUAAUUAUUUCUUAAAGAUCAAAGUCCUCUCAAAUGGAAAUGGUAAUGGAAAUAAAUCGUAUUUUUCAUUUUAUGAAAUGAAUGUAUUUAUUACGAAUUAAUUUCCAUCUUUACAAUUUACAAAAUUCCCUUUAAAUUGGACAGUCCCCAAUUUCAUUUUCCUCACCAACACAAAAACCUCGGAAUAAAAAAAGAAAAGGAAAAUAGUAAUCUGUAGAACACAAUCACAAUGCCUAUCUUCCCCAAGCUUCUUGCUGCCCUUCUUGUCCUCUCUCUCAUUUCCACAGGUAUAACUAUAUGGCAUUUCAACUCCAUUUUGUCCUUUUCUUUAUUUAUCCUAACCAUUAUUCUCUUCCAAGUCAUUCCACUUUUUUCUUUUUCCUUUCCUAUAAAAGCAGUUUUAUGAUUAGGUGUGAACAUACCUUUUCUAUAUUCUUCUUUUCUUAAAAAUAAUUUCGCUUAUAGUACUCCUAAAUAAUGUUUUAAAAAAAUCAUUUUUCCCCUUAUCAUUGAAAAGAGAAACUCUUUAGUGUCUUUUCUGAAAGAUGGAUCGUUAAACAACAAAAACUUGUAUCAUGUUAAAUCAGCAAUUAACUCAUUAGAGUAUGGUUAAACAUUCAAAUAUAAUUGUGUUUAAGUAACUGAAGAUUGAGAUACUGAGAGCUUAUGAUUGGUUUCAGGAAACUGCCAAUGUUUUUUGAACAACAUAAAAAUCAGCCAAAGCAUGACAGGAUUUCAGAUCCAUGGAAUGACAGAAUGGAAAGUAACAAUAACCAACAACUGCAUAUGUUCUCAAUCUGAUUUGAAACUAGACUGCAAAGGCUUUGCAACUACUCUAAGCAUCGAUCCUUCCAUCUUAGCCAUCUCUGAUAGCGAGUGUUUAGUCAACAAUGGCCAACCUAUUUUCAAUUCCAGACCCAUCACCUUCAAGUAUGCACAAAGCCCCAAAUUCAAUUUCAAGCCUCUCUCCUCCCAGAUAUCUUGUUCUUAAAAAUCUUAUUCAUUUUUUACUCGGUUCAAAAUUAGUGUCUUUAGACACUUUUAUAAUAAUAAAAACUUAUCUUUAUUUAUUUUGUUUUGUUAAGUUAUCCAUUAUUACAAUUGUUUCACGAAUUCCCAAUUUGCGCAUAUGACGUUGCUUGAACCACGUUAGAUUAGACCAUGACUUGCAAAUUAAAAUACCUUUGAAUAUAAUACAGAAGGAAGAAGAAUAAUCUAAAUCCAUAAUUUUUUCCAACUUGUAUUCGUCAAGAUAAUGAAAUAUACGAAAAUUCGGAAGGAUCGUUUCUAAGAAAUUUCGAAGAAAUAAUGAAAAAAGCACAGUGGACUUGAAAGUUUCAUUAACUUUUCAAUUGACUAUUAUUAUUAUUAUUAUAUUAACUUCGAUAUUAUCUAAAAUGGUUUUACGCGUAUGGGACGAAAAAGGGUUUAUCACGAUGAAAUGGACACUCCCUUUUUUUCAAAAUGGGAUAUAAGAAUUUCUUAAUCCAAAACGGGAAUAAUUUUCCAUUACUUUUUAAUUAUCAUUUGAUUUGGUUAAUUGUACCUAAAUUAGAAUUAUAUCAGAUUUUGUGUACCCAUGAGGUUGUAGAAGAAGUUGAAUGUCCACCCUACAUGAAAAAAUGUUUUGACUUAUCAUCUCAUUUAAUAAUCAUUUACACACAACGUGUUAAUACCAUGUUUCUAAGAAAAAAAUUUGUUCUUAUUAUUAUUAUUUUUUUCUAAAUGCAUUGUAUUACAAGCCAAUUAAUUAGUUUGGCUGAUGUUGACUAUUAUUAAUUGUUAUAACUUGAUGAUGAAAAUAAAAUUUUAUAUAUGACUAUAAUAACAUACUUGGAACUCCUAAUAUUGUUAUUGUAUGUUUAAACAUGUGGUAAAAAUGUUAAUUUAUUGUUGAAAGAGCUCUACCUAACGUCUUUUAUCAAGCCAUCGUCAUAUUUGCUGGAUUCAACGUAAGAACACCUUUUUCUUUCUUUGAAAAAAAAGAUACAUAUGCUAAUUUGUUCAAUACAAUAAAAUAAUGCUACACUUCUCGAUUAAGUUAACAAAGUUUUUUUUUUUUUUUUUUUUUUUUUUUUUGUAUGGCGGAUUGAAUUUUCUUUAAUGAACAAUUAAUAUUAUUUAGUAGAUUAAUCGAGAAUGAGCCAUUAUUUUAUAGUUUAUAUAUAUCAGUUAUGUUUGUUUUUGGCACUAUCGAGGUAAGUAGAAAAUGUAAAAAAGUUCAAAUGAAAAUGUCGCAGCCGCUGCCUUGGACCAAGAUUUGAUUGGGUCAAAGUCAUGCAGGAUAUUUAUAUAGAACCAAUGCUUUCCCCAAAGCAUCAACCUCAAUGAUUUUUAAGCCUUUUGGGUUUUAGAAGAAGCACUCAAACGAUUCUAACAAUGGCUUCGCCGUUACAAAGUACACGAUACCUCUUAAUUCUUCUCUCCUUUGUCUUCUUCUUACUACAAUCUCAAACUGCAGAAUCAAGAACUCUGAACUAUAAAUGGGAAGUGAAAUCUGAAUUGAAGUCCCCCGAUUGCUUUAAAAAAGUUACCUUGACCAUUAAUGGCCGAUCUCCAGGUCCCACUAUCUACGCCCACCAAGGUGACACCGUCAUCGUUGAGCUCAAGAACAGCCUCUUUACCGAAAACGUGGCUAUCCACUGGCAUGGAAUUCGACAGGUACCCCUAAAUUUUCAUUUCUCUCCAUAUUUUUCUUCGUUAGUUUUAUAGUUCUUCUUUCUGACGUGCUCGUACAUUUGAAGAUCGGAACACCAUGGAGCGAUGGAACAGAAGGUGUCACUCAAUGCCCUAUUUUGCCUGGUGAAACCUUCAGAUAUCAGUUUGUUGUAGACAGAGUAAGAGAUACUUGACUUACUCGUUUUGUUUUGUGUCUCUCAAAAACUCCAUGCUUUAAUUUGAGUUUGACCUUUGUGAAAUUUGAAAUCUGCAGCCAGGAACUUAUCUAUACCAUGCCCAUUAUGGUAUGCAGAGAGAAGAUGGUCUCUAUGGAUCCAUUGUGGUUUGGGUUCCAGAAGGACAAACAGAGCCUUUUUCCUAUGAUCUUGAUCGUAACCUCAUCCUCACAGAUUGGUAUCAUAAAAGCAGCCACGAACACGCCACUGGAUUGGCUACCCCUGGCUCUGGAUUCAACUGGGUGGGAGAGCCUGAUUCACUGUUGAUUCAAGGAAGAGGGAGAUUCAACUGCUCUAUUCUGGGAUCUUCCAGUGGUACCUGCAAUUCAUCGAGCACAGAAUGUGUUCUUCAUCCAUUAACAGUCGUACCGGGAAAAACUUACCGAUUAAGGGUCUCCAGUCUCACUUCUCUUUCAGCUCUCAGUUUCCAAAUUGAGGUAAUUACAAGUUCAUCUACUUGAUUUCAUGUACUCUCCUUGAAAUUCUUCUUAAAUGGCUUAAACUGAUAAACUCUCUGUUUUGGAAACAGGGUCACACCAUGACUGUGGUUGAAGCUGAUGGGCAUUACGUUGAGCCAUUUCAAGUAAACAAUUUGUUCAUUUACUCAGGAGAAACAUAUUCCGUUUUGAUAAAAGCCGAUCAAGACCCUUCUAGAAACUACUGGAUCACAACCAAUGUGGUGAGCCGAUCAAGAACCACCCCCCCUGGAUUAGCCAUUUUCAAUUACUACCCAAAUCACCAGAGUAGACUCCCUCCGACAACUCCUCCAGCACCACCUGCUUGGAACGAUGUUACUCCCCGAUUGGCUCAAAGUCAAGCCAUCAAAGCCCGGCAAGGUUUUAUCCACACGCCGCCCAAAGCCGCCGAUAAAGUGAUCGUGCUUCUCAACACCCAAAACACCGUGAAUGGCCGUCGCCGGUGGUCGUUAAAUAACGUUUCCUUCAAUAUGCCUCAUACCCCAUAUCUUAUUGCUCUAAAGCACAAUCUUCUCCAUACAUUCAGCCAGGAAAAACCACCCACUGGAUACGAUUUCAAGAACUACGACAUUUUUAAUCCGGCGCCCAACCCUGAAGCGACGGUAAGCGACGCCAUAUACCGGUUGGACUUCAAUUCAACUGUGGACAUCAUACUACAGAACGCCAAUAUGAUGAGCCCAAACAACAGCGAAACACAUCCUUGGCAUUUGCACGGACACGAUUUCUGGGUUUUGGGGUACGGAGAAGGGAAAUUCGAUCUUUAUAAGGAUCCAAGCAAGUACAAUUUGGAGAACCCGAUCAUGAAGAACACGGUGCCGUUGCAUCCAUAUGGAUGGACCGCUUUGAGAUUUGUGGCGGAUAAUCCUGGUGUCUGGGCUUUCCACUGUCACAUCGACGCGCAUUUCUUUAUGGGAAUGGGUGUAGUUUUUGAAGAAGGGAUCGAGAGGGUUGGAAAAUUGCCUACUUCCAUUAUGGGAUGCGGGGAGAGCAAGAGGUUCUUGAGACCUUAACUCAUUUCCAUUCCGAUUACUAUUCUUUAGAAAAACACAAAGAAUAUUCUUUUAUGUUUAGCCAAAUUUUUUGUGCUGAUUGAGAGUCACUAUGAGUGUAUAGGUAAAUGUUAUUGCUACUUAAUAAGAAGAAAUCGUAAUAGUUUCUUAAAUGAUUUAAAUAACAAUACCAUUGUUAUGUUGUUUAUUUGGACUACUAUUGGGAUGUUGUGUGUGUGUGACUUUUGUUGAUAUCAACUGCUCCUUUUAUAUAAAAUUUCAGUUAUUCAUUCAAUUAUGACAAUAAAGUUUAUCAUUUUAGAGGUUUAGAUAUCACAUCUCAUUCCACUAAAGAAAAAGUUUUACAAUUCACCUUUGAUUUGUGAACAAUGAUUUAUCAAUUUAGUUCAUUAUUUUGUUCUUUUUACUAAAUAUAUUAUUAAAUGUUAAUAGAACUUUUGACCUGUAGUUAUAGUUAACAAGUGCAUUGAAAACCAAAUUUUUGUUUUUAUAAACUAUAAAGACUACACAUUCAUACGUUUAAGAUUUCACUUAAUUUUGAAAAGAAAUUUUUAUGUAUUUAAUGCCAUAAUUAAAAUUUGAGCCUAAAAAGCGUUAAGGCUUAAACUUCACAUACUAAAUUAUGAGUUCAAUGUUGGAAGCCUUUUUUAAAAUAAAAAAGUUGACCAAAAGAAUAUGACUAAUUUAAAAGAAGUAGAAGAAAACAAUUGGAUGUUUAAUUUAUAUGUAUUUUCAUAUUGAAGUGCAAUUUGCAAAACGUAACUUAAACAGGUUUUUUGCUUCUAAAAGAUGGAAAGUAGUAGGUUUUAAGGAGGGUGACAAUCACAGCCCACAGGAAUGACCAAAUGUUUAAUAUUUAUAAACUAGAGAUGAAAGGCAACAGUAGUGACCAAAUGUUUUAUUUAUUGUUUAUUUCAACUUUAUCCUUUACAGUAAGGGACACUCUUUUCCUAUUUUUUUAUCCUCAAGUUUUUGUAGUAUUAGAUCACUAAUAUUCAUCCCUUUUCAGUAUAUCAUUUGGUCCAAAGUGUAGUAACUCUACCAAUUAAUUGAUAUAUCUAAAUAUCAACCUUUAAUAUUCCACUCUCACAAUUCUCUCUUUUAUUUUUCUUAAUUAUGAUUUUUCUCUUCUUCUAAUUUUAUUUCCACUUCAAUUUCUUUCAUUUUCGCCACAAAUUUGUUAUUUUAUUUUUUCAUUUUCUUUUUAUCUUCUCACAUUUACAUAUUUUCGAUUAUGGAUAUUUCAAUAAUGUUAGUCUUGCUAAACAAUCUUUAAGUAUGUUAGUCGUAUAUCCAUAGUGUAUUAUCAAUUUAAUCCUAAACCAUUAUUUGUUUUUUUUUCCUUCUUAUAUUUUUAACUUAGUCUAACAUCUAACAUGACCAUCUAUAAAUUCAAUUUUGAGGUUGAUUUAAAUAAAGAAAACCCUUUUCUUUCUUCUUCCUCCUCUCUUUUUUCUUCUUGUUGAUUGUGGUUGCAAGCAUACGACGAAGAAUAGGGCAAAGCUUCUAGUAUCGGGUAUGAGAUGAAGCUUUCAACGUUAUUUUUUUAUUGGUCAUUCAUCCAGUUGACAACAUAAGUUUUAGAUGAGAUAAAGAUUGAGAGAGUUCUAGAUAUAAAACCAAUGAAUAAAUGUACAUAUGUAUAAUCGUUUAUUUUAUAUAAACGAUAAUGGUUAUUGUCGUUAACAUUUGCGUAUAUUUUUAAAUAAACAAUAAAAUAUUUUAUAGUCAACUUAAGAAAUGAAAAAUAUAUAUUUAUUUAAAUAUUUUUAAAUAAACAAUCAAACAUUUUAGAGUCAACAUAAAAAAUGAAAUGGAAAAUAAAAUCAUGUUAAAUGUCAUCUUAUCUCUUCAAAUGAAAAUAGAAAAAAAAUUAUAUUAAAUGCCUUUUCACUCAAAAUAAGAAAAUAUUAUACUAAAUACAUUUACUCUCUUUUUAAUAAACCCUUAUAAAUGUAAUUUGUGUCUCAUCACUAAAUAAACAUUGAAAAUAGGAAAACAUAUAUUAAUAAAGUUAUUGUGAAACUAUAAAAUCCUUCCUCGAAGAUUUUGAAACUUAAAAUGAGAUUUUUGGAUUUUUAGGUAAAAUAUCUGAUUAAUUAAUUUAUAUUAUAGAGAAUAAGUAUGAGUCUGUUGGCCCAAAAGCCCAAAAGCCCAAAAGCCCAAAAGCCCAAAAUCUCAAAGGCAAUCUUCUCAAUAGGUGGAGGCUCUUAUCCAAAUCCAAUGGCCCAUAUUUUGCACUUGUGGGGCCCUACAGUUCGCCAUAUCUAUCCUAAGUGCGCAUUCAUUCAAACCACUGCCUCAAACAAACAUCACACUGUUACAACUUACCAUUGCCACCUUCACUUUAUUCAAGCUUCACAUACACCUCAAUCUGAUCAUACUAAAAUGGCACUUUCCCCAUUAACCUUCACAACCCCAAGACCUCAAGCUUCCCAAAUUUUCUCCCCCAAGUUAUCUUCCACUGUUAAACCCACAUCUACUUCUUCUUCUUCUUCUUCUUCUUCUUCUUCAGUUUCUGCUACUAAGAAGGCAAUAUCUAACAUGGGCAUUGGCCUUCUUGCUGCUUCGGUUUUGGCUCUUUCGCCCUUGGAUGCAAACGCUACCAGAAUUGAAUACUAUGCCACUGUUGGAGAACCCCUUUGCGAGUUCAACUAUGUGCCUUCCGGGCUUGGCUAUUGCGACAUCGCCGUCGGAUCCGGUGAGGAAGUUCCUUAUGGUGAGCUUAUCAAUGUCAGUUCCGAUCUUCAAUCAUCCACUUCUUGUUUCUCAUUUUACUUUUCUUCGCAUCAUCAAAUUCUACCCUGCUUUUAUAUGACUGCUUGUUUCCGUCCAACUUCUCCUGCAUUGCUUCGUUGCAGUGGAAUGUGCAAUUCCCGCCAAUAGUAUAUCAAUCUAAUAUGUGUCUCUCGUUUUUUGCUGAGUUUGCAUGUGGGUUAUUUUUCUUAAUAUGUAUAUGUUGUGUCACGUGUUGCAAUGAACUGCAAUUCACUACGUUUAAUUUCCCCAUUCCACGCAUAAGGGAUUUUAUGAUAUGUUUUUGCGUUAUUUUACCGUUCAAAUGCAGGUUCACUACACUGCAAGGUUUGCUGAUGGGAUAGUGUUUGACAGUAGCUACAAGCGUGGUAGAUAUCUCACCAUGCGUAUUGGUGUUGGCAAGGUAUUGAUCAAGUGUUUUGUACAGCUUCUUAAGGUGCAUAUGGGCUUGAAAAGUUUGGCCAAUUUGUUUAAGUGCGAGCGGCUACAGGCUUUGAGAGUAAUGAUACUGUUUAAGAGAAAAGUGAUGAAAAUAUAUGUAUUUUAGGUCAUUGGUAACUUAGUCCAUUUCUGCACUUUCCAGAUCAUGUCGUUUCUUUAGGAAAACGUAGUUGAGCAGAAUUCAAUUGUACUUAUAACUAUGAGAAAAAAAAAAAGCAAAUUUAAUUAGAGUAAAACGGUCAGCAGAAUAGCUUUUCUAGGAUUGAGGAACAUCUCUCUUUGUCCCAUCUUAAUAAAAUACGCACCUUGCUGCAUCAACUUGGUUGACAAUCACCUCCCUAUAUGCAACUAUCUUCUAAGAGACCUUGUGUGGAGUUAGUUCUCCUACAAAUCCCAAUUGUUUGUUGACGAGGAUGUAGAAAGAAAGUGGUGGGUUUCUUUAACGAUUUGACAAGGAAAGAGCUGGAUGAGAGUGGAGGCAAGUCUGUUACCAACAUGGGAGGAUCAGGGUACUGAGAAUUUUCCUUCUCAUGCCUAGAUUAGGAGCAAGAUACUAUUUGUAAAACAAACUUUUAAUUUACUUGCAACCAAUCAAUAGCCAUUAUAUGGAUAAAUAAUUCAUUACCUUAGCCACUAACUAUAACUACAUUCAUUUCACCUUGUGGUGAGUGUGGGACCGUGGGUAACUGGGUGGGUGUAGUUACUUACCACAUUGACUCAUCGGAAAGGGACUAAAGUUGAUAAGAUUGUUGCCAGGUAAUAAGAGGAUUGGAUCAGGGAAUAUUAGGGGGUGAAGGAGUACCACCAAUGCUAGUAGGUAUGUCUACUGACGCAAUGAGUAGAAUUUUGUGGUUUUCUUUUUUUGCUGGUUUGCUUCUAAGAAAUUAUUGCCCCUCUGAUUUUGCCUAGGUGGCAAACGUAAGCUUCAGAUUCCUCCACAUUUAGCGUAUGGACCAGAACCAGCAGGCUGUUUUUCAGGUUGAAUUCUUUGAACUGAACUGCUUUGUUUUGCGUGUUGGCUAUCUAAAUUUUCGUGACAAUGUUGCAAGCUGUCUGUAGUUGCUUCUGUUGGCAAGUUAACGGUAGUUUAUUUUGUGCAAAUGCAUUAUAUGUUAGUGUGUAGUUGCUUUGCUCCAGAUAUCUCUUUUUGAUACUGGUGAAACCCAAGUACCAAUUAACUAAUGGACUCUGUUAAUGCCAUUUGUGUUGCCUUUACAGGUGAUUGCAAUAUACCUGGAAAUGCAACUCUUGUGUAUGAUAUAAAUUUCGUUGGAGUCUACUCAGGAAAUAGGAAGUGAUGGAAACAAUACCCAAUUUCCUACAAAAUUCUUGUAGAUAGACAACACAGAGUAAGUGAUUUUCUGACUUUUCUAAAUGUUCAAUCAUAUCAACCUAUCCUUUGUUUGGUUUCUCUUUUAAGUUGUGUUCACAGCUCAGCUAUCUUAACACACCCAUUUGUUUUUUGGUCCAUCUCAUACAGUAGAAUCACAACAAUUAUCUCAGUAGUGUCUCAGAUUCCAUUUCAUGCUUCCUGCUUCAUCUAUUGUUCAUCAUACACUUUUUCCCUCUUGGUUUCCCAGAACUUAAGUUGAAGCUAAACCACGAGCCAAAAGAAGUGCAUUUCUCUCUGGAUUUUCCAAGUAUGUGGAACUCAAGCUUGACUCUUAAGGCAGAAUACUUGGUUUUCUCCAACUAACCACCAGCAGGACUGGCAAUCCUUUUUAGGUGAAAAUCCAGCUAGGCAUGGUUGAAAUUGCUCAAUUCAAACGUAAUUGACCAAAACUAUGUAUUUGGUUGUUUUACAAGAUUAUGACUGUAUUUCUAUGCACGGAUACUAUUAUACUUUGUAAAAGCACGUCUUGUUUCUGAGUACUUCAGUAACUUUAUGCAAAUGGAAUCUAAUGACCGCAUUUUCUUUGAACACAUUCUUUUUUAAUAUGAUCGAAUUGUCAAUGAACACAAAAUUAUUAAACAUAGAUCACCCUAAUUUUUUCUCACCGCGAUUUUUCUUUAUGCUACCUUUGGAUAUGAGAAAAAGGUUAACGGAAAAAAAAUGUUCCGAAAGCCAAAAGCAAAGAAAGCAGGAUUCUUUCCUCACGUUUGGUGAAGAGAGAGAACCGGAAAGGAAGCCUUGGCUUGGCCUUUUUCUUCGUUUGCUGGGACCAAAUGCCGUUUGAAAUAAUUUGAAUUUUGUGUUCAAAUUUUUAGGCUCUUUUCCAAACCGAAAGUAAGUGCAAAUGUAUAGCCAUACUGCUCCUUCACAAUUCAUUAACUUAAUAAUUUCCAGUCCUUUAAAAUAAAGCGACUUUGGUUUUCUUCUUUUUUCCUUUCCUCUAACAGUUAAUAACCAGGUUGGAAUCUUGUUUUCUUUAGGUGAAAGAACAGCUGUGGGGAAGCCAAAGUCGUCUCACAAACAGAAAAUUACAACAUCAUGAAAUAAAGUAAUCUCUUACAUCAGCUAGUAACAACUAACAACCCCAAAUAUUCUAAUUACUCAUCCAUCUAGUUGACCAUUUCUUCUUCACAAAUGAUUGAACACACAGUAAUAUAUAUCAUUACCAUAAUUAUUGAGGUGUUUGACAAAAAUUUAGCAGAAGAGAGAUAUAUAGAGAGAGGUACAAAACAGGAGACUUGUUUUAGCUGCAAAGAAUUACAUGACAGAGCAAGCAUUUGGGUUGUCAUCACUGAACAUGUUGAUGUAAGGAUCUUCAUAUUUGGUAACAGAAGCAGUAGUGGCAGUUUGCUCCACAUUUCUUACAUACCCCGGUGGUGCCUUCUUAUCAUAAGCCUGAGCAAUGUAAGGCUGUGACACUAAGCUGUAGGGAACAUAUGGCCAUAUCUCAGCCUUUUUCCCUGUAGACUUCGCCUUCUUCAGUAUCUUGCUUGCUUCAACAUACCCCGUAACUGUCACUUUCUGCUGCUUCCUGUUUAUCUCCACAGAUUUUACCCCUUCCAAAGUUCAAAAGCAACUGCAUUUUGUUAGAUAGAGAGAAAAGGAAGAAGUAAAAACACAAAAGGGUUGAGUUUCUUUAGACAUAACAUACCACUGAGUGAAGAGAGGGCAUUCUUGACCUUAAGUUCACAGCCAUCACAGUCCAUUCUGACUUUCAACUCCACGGUUUGAAGCUGUUUCUUCUUCUUGUGUUUAUGGGUGUUACCCACCAAAUCUGACAAGUACUCCAAAGUCCCACCAACACCCAUUUUUCACUCUUUAAUCGAUGUAGUUGAAAAGGGAAAGGGACAACAGAAGCUCACAGAAGCAAAAACCAGAGUUGUAGAAAGAAAUGGAAACGUAAGUUUGGGUAGAAUGAUGGAUCUUUCUCUUUAGUCUUUACCUUCUCUUCAAGCAAACAAGCAAAGAAAAGGGCAUUAGAAACAAAGGCUGCUUUCUCUGGUUUUGAGAUGGUUAUAUGAAAGGAAACAGAGCUCGUUAUAUAGCCAUCUGGGUUACAUUUUAAAACUAAAGGAAAAAGGGUUGUGUUUUGGUUGUGGCCCCCCAAUCACCAAAAAUAAUUUGGCUUAGGAAGCUUGGUUCUUUUUUGUUGCUGUGGACGUUGCAUUUUUACUUUAAAAUGGCAAUUCUUUUAAGAUUAUGAAUAUAUUAAAACAAAUCUAUAUGCUUUUCUUAAUGAAGAGGUACUUUUGGCUCUAUCCUUUGGAAGAUUGAUCGCCUUUAUUCCAGUAAUAAAAUUAAGUUUAAUUUACAAAUACCAAAACAAAAAUAUAGAAAACAAAUUUGCAAUUUAACCUAAAACUAAAACCAAUUGGGCUGUCAUUUAUGGAGUGAAGCUGAAUUCAACAAGUUUUAAAAACCAACGCUAUACCAAAAAUGUCACCGCCAUCUUUACCUUAAUGCAUGAGGAGUCUUCUUAAUUUAGUGGUUUGCAUAAUUUUAAUUUAAUCUCAAUUUUUUCACGUAACUUUUUAAAACUAUUUCAUCUUAAACUCCAUUAUAAGAAGCUUGAAGGUGCAUGGUGGUCGGUAGGUGAUUAGAUCAAUUUCAAUUUUAACCUUAGUUUUUAAUUAAAUGGGUUUGGCUGGCUUAAACAACAAGUAGUAACAACAGACAGAUAUGUUGUUAGGAAGAGAAGUAUGUUAUGUUAUAAUAGUUGAAAAGAAAAAGUAGUGGUCAUGUCGUUUUCUGAACAACAUAACACUAAACAUAUAUAUAAAAAAAUAAAGACUUGGGAUUAUUUUAGUUUUCAUAAACAAUAAUUUUAGUGUUUGUUUGAAAAGUGUUGUGUUGGGGACUUGGGGGUGGAGAGAACCCGAAGGAAGGAAAGUGGGCAGCAGCCUCCUUCCUUGUAUGCAAUUGCAAAACUUAAGUCUUUUUCAAUUGUAUUCUUCUAAAAGUUUUAUAAUAAUCUUUCCCUUUUCAUUUCUGUUUUUAUUGUGUAUAUUUAUUGGUUUUUCACAUGGACAGGUUAAUUGGCUUUGAUUAAAUCUUUAAUACUACUACUAAUCACUGAUUGGAGCCACAAAUGUUGAUUACUUGAGUGAUUUAGAUGAUCAAGAUUUUUCAAAAAUUAAGUCAAAUUAAUUUUGACUUAAUUUGUGAAUCCAGAAAUGUGGUUUGGGAUGUGUGUAAAAAGAUCAUGAUGCUGAUUCUUUAUUCUAAUAGAGGAAGGAAGUAAAAUGGGUGUGGCUAAUCUUACCAUUUCUUCCUCUAUUCCUUUUCCUCCACUUUCUAUUUUGUCUUCAAACUUCUCCCCUAAUAAGCACACAUUUAAUAAAGUCACUCUAUCACACUAUGUACUUUUUUUGGCCACGAAUAUUUUUCAUUUCAUCAUGCAACCUCUUUUUUUAUAUAUAGUAAUUAUAGCUACAUUAAUAACUUUGACGGGACCCCCAACUUAUAAUUAAUUAAUUAGCUUUCUAUCAAAUUAAAAAUAAAAACGGUAUUAGAUUAUAUCUAUCCAUGAAAAAAGAUAAGAAAAUUGUCAUGAUCUUUAAAACAUAAACCGACACUAGAGAUCUAACUUUACAUCUCAUAAAAUCUAAUAAAACUAAAAAUGAUGGUAAUUAUAAUUUGGUGUUUAAUUAACUUAGAAUAAUAAUUUGUCCAAAAAGGUAGACAUGAGAUGGGAUAGGACAAAGGCCUGUGCAAAGGAAAAACUGUUCCAACUCUUACACAAAACUGGGACCUUCAAUGUGAAGAUAAGAAUAUUAUUUCUCAUUAAACUAACCACCAUUCUUAUUCUUCAAAAUAUUUAGUAACCAAAGACAGAGAUUUAAAUUAUUGGUUACAAGUUAUUAUUAAUGCAUAUGUUUAAUAAAGAAAAAAAGAAAGAGGAAAAAGGGGAUUCACAAACAAUCCAUCUUCUUGUAGCUUUUUUAUUUUGGAGGUUUGGUUUUGUUAGACAAAGAGCAUUGUCUUUUUUAUUUAUUCUUUUCAAUGGAACAACAACUUUUUAGAAUUGGGAAAAUAAAGGUGACUUUCUUCUUCACCACCACCACCACCUCUACCUCCCAAACACAAUUAUUGCUAUACAUUUUAGCUCUCAUUCCUAUUCCUAUCUAUACUAUGAUUAAUUAUUCAACCUUCUCACUUUCCUUUUUCUUUUGUAAUAUUUGAAUUUACACAAAUUUGACGAUCUCACAAUCUCAUUCGAUAGUUUUUUCAUUUUUCGUUCUGGUGUACUUUUUUCACUUAAAACGCGUAAAAGAUAAUGAAAAUGGAGGGUUAAAUUUGUAAAAGAAAUUAAAUAUAAAGGAAAAACCCUUUAGUGUAUGAGGUAAGUAUCACAUUGUACUAGUCUUUUCUAAUGAUUUCUUUUUAAGAUGACGACAUAAUUUAAAUGUAUCUAUUCUUAUGAAGCUUAAAUUAGUAACAAAAUCAUUCCAUGGCCUUGUUUUUUUUCUUUGGAAUUGUUCAUUUGUACUUUAGAAUAAUUAUAGAACCGAAUUUAUGUAGUCUAAAUUGAUUUGUGAGAUUAUAUUAUAAAAAUUUAUAUAGUUUAAAGGUCUAAAUUGAUUUGUGAGAUUAUAUUAUAAAAAUUUAUAUAGUUUAAAGGAGAUUUUAUAAUUAUGAUUUUACAACAUAACAUGGCAUAGCUAGAAUUAUAUUAACUUUUAGCAAUGGCUUAAACACAAUAACCAAAGUUGGCUUUGGACAUUAUUUCAUGAAAAAAGAAAGUUUUGUUUCUAAUGUUUGUUUUGACCUCAUGAAUAAGAACAGCACACGACUCCUUUUUAUAACGUUUUGGUUAUAACUUUUUUGUACUUUAAGGGAUUGGGCUUUUUUUCUGCCCUUGAUUUCUUGAUUUAUGUUUUUACUUUUUCAAAAAAAGAUUAGAAUUUAUAUUUGAUGCAGAAAGUCAAAAUUUAAAAAGAAAUUGAAAGCUAUUGUUUUGCUAGAUUGUCUUUUUCUUAAAAAAAAAGAAAAGAAAAGAAGAAGAUUAAGUGAAUUAAUAAACAAAUAUAUUUGAUAUUGAAAAAGAAGAUAGCUGUAUAACACAUGCAAUCAAUUAUUGUAUGGUGAACAGUUUGGGUAUUCAUCUAAAAUGCUUAAUUGUUCUUACUUGAUUUAAAUUAAUAUAUAAAGAAAUUGUAAAAAAAAUAAUUAAGUUAGAAGAUAACAAAAAGGGGAUUAGUAAUAUGGAUGUAGAAAUGAAUUAAAAAGUGGUGUGUUGGGGAAAUGAAUAGAGAAGGAAUUGUUGUGUGAAUGAAAUAAUUAGAAGUACUUUGGUGUACGCGGUGUCAGGUAAUGAAGUUCACUCAUUGAUAUAUAUAAUAAUAAGAUGAGUCCUCUUCCCUACAAUUUCAAACAAUAAUUGAAAUUUGGAAACGAUGUGGCCUUCACGCACACGAAGGAACCAUAAUCUAUAUAUAUAUAUUAAAAUGAAAUAUUGGUUAGUUCUAAAAUUAGUUUGUAUUAUUGGGUUCCUCAACUUUAAAAAUUUAUAAUAAGUCUUUAACAUUGAAAAUCUAAAAUAUCUAUUUGAUUUUUUAGGCAUUGUUAUCUACCUUUAUUAAAAAAAUUAGGCCCCUAUGAUAACUAUACUCAAACUUUAUUACUUUCUUAUCUACAUUUUAUCUAUGGAUUAAAAAUCAAACCAAAAUUUGAAAAUUAAAAAGAAAAAAUAACUGACAAAAAAAAUGUUUUCUGUUCUUCAAAUUUGACUAAGAAUUUUAAUCUUUGUAUUUGAGAAAGAAUGCAAAUUAUUGUAAGAUAGGAAAAGGAAAUAGGUAUAAUUAUAUAUAUAUAAAGCAAAGCCGAAAGAAGAAAUGGUUACGAAGUGAAAUUAAAAUAAAUAACAAAUAAUAAGGUUAGGAGAAAUAAAGAGUAAAGAUUAAGAAGGUAGUAAACUAACGGUAAUAUAUAUCAGAAGAGGAAAACAUAUAGAUAGAAGAAUGUAUAGCUACAUAACCAAAAAUGCAACGACUAUCAUCGACCCCCAUUGGAUGGCUCAUAUAAUGCCCCAAAAAAAAAAAAAAACUAAGAAAAAAGAAAGAAAAGAAGGAAAAUGCCAUUGAUGGAACUUGCAAGGACACAAGAUCUACAUGUCGUCCUUGCUGGGGGGAAGAUAGAUGUAAAGAGACUACCUCCAUUUACAUGUAAAACUUACUUAGAUAAAGCUCAGAAUCUACAUCACACGCAAGAAGAAACAAGGCAGAGUGCUAGAAGAAGCAGGUGCGGCAAUCUGAUUGAAUAAAAUCUGGAUGGGAUGAAGCAUGGGGUAGCAGCUGAUGGUUUAGAAGGGGCCCUUCCAGCUACGGCAGGAGCCACCGCGUGCCCCCCUGAAGCGCUCUGCUGUUCAUCGGCUGGUAAUGGGUUUGGCGGUGUCUCUUUUGCAGGAGUAAGAGGCAUUUUCUUUUCGUUACUGAGAUCUUGACCUUCGACAUGAACAUGGUAGAAAUAUGAAUGGAAGUUCAUGAAACGAGUUUAUAAAACAAUGGAAAAGCCAUACUUUCAUUUAACAAACGAAAAUAAUAUACAAUGAACAAUACAAAAAACCAACCCAUAUGAAACGAAGCAAGAAAAAAAAUGAUGGUUAAGACAGUUCAAACAUUUUCUUUCGGUUUUAUCAUGCACAAGAUGUGGGCAUCAGUUAAGAAGCUGCAAAAUCAUGACAAGUAACUACUAGGAGAUGGAAAUCUUACAAUUUGCGUGUGACCAACCCAACUUCAAAUUAUCCCUAUCAAAUACCAUCCGGUAUCCAGUCAUGUAAUUUUCUGCACAAGACAGCAAUACAAAAUUACCAUUUUCAUUAGACGUACGAUUUACUGCACAUAUCGCAUAUAUCAUAUUAGCAAUCUAAAUUUGAGGAGACAUUGUGAGCUUACGUCCCAAUAUUCCGAUAUCUCCAUCAGCAGGUAGUAUAGCAAAACAAAAUCCAGCUAACCCCUGUAUGCAUAGUACUGUUUAGUAUUAACACAGGCAUUAUUUUCUUGUAUUAGAAGUGAUGCAUAGCAUGUGACUUCUUCAGGAUACUUAAAACAAUUAUAUCAUCUAUUGGAUAGUUAGAACUAGAGACUAACUGCUAGGCUGUAUCAAAGAAGAGGGCCCUACCUCAGCUUGAUAGUUUAAGCACACCUUAUUUUUUUUCUUUUAUUGUUUUAGUUCUUAUUCUUCGUUUCCUUGUAGUCUCUAGUUUCUGGAGUAUCUAAAGCUAUCAACUUCACUACUAUGUUUCACAGUUCGAUUUUUAAGUACUUUUAUGCCCACUAAAAGUCAAAGCUAUUCCAUUAAUGGCUAAUUAUGACAAAUUUCAAAGAUCAAGUCCACAUCUUCACCCAUAUUCACCAAAUCAAAUCAUGCACACUUAAACAUUCUUAGAAGGAAACUUCCAUCUACCUGAUCGCCAUAGAUAGGGAAUACAGGAUCAUGAACCACAAAACUAUUGUUUAGUGGAAACAACAAUGUCACAGAUGGAACCUUUGGCAUUGCGUCUGCACUGUUGGAAAAAACGAUAACAUUAAAGUUAGACAUGCACAAGGGUGGGGUUUAUGAAGGGAAAAGGAUUUUACUGGUUAUCCAUCUCAUCGAUAUCACCUGAUCUUAUAGCAAUACUUCCAUGGAUAUCCUUUAAAGGAGACGGCGCUUGUAGUGUUUAACCUUUUAUCAAACUAUGAAAAGGGGAACUGGUUAAAGGACAAACGAACGAUAAAUUAAGUACAAAGCUGAACUACAAAAUGAAUGUACCUCAAUCACAAUAUUUUCAUAAGCUUCCUCUGGAAGAUAUGUAAACGAUGUCCCACUAUCUAUCAAUGCUUUAAAACUUGUCUGCUUGAGGCACGAAUUCUCAAUACAACAUGCUUCCACCCCAACAAUGUAGGUUUCACUGAAAGAUUCAGGUAUCACAAGGACUUCAGUCGGCAUAUAUAACAAAACAUGAUCAUCAUAAACAUGGAGAUAAUUCAUUAUGGUAAUUACUAUUUCCCGUCUAAUGGCACAAAUGAAGUUGUUUGCUGACUUGCAGGUCCCUCGUCCCCAAAAAAGAUUCUUCCAGAUCCAUCCUCAUUAAAACACAGCGAGAAGGAAUUCUGCACCAAUUCUUCUUUCGCAAGGGAACUAAGAACAGAAAUUUCUCCUAACCCUAAUCCAAAAAGACCAUCUGGAGCGACUCCACUUAGAUAACCGCCGCUUUGUUUCAUACCACACCUGUAUUAGAGAGCAAAAAUGGGUAAUAUAAAUACAGUAUCCUUCCUUAUUGCUGCAGUUUACACACAGCAAACAAUUGGAGGAACAAAAUGUAGGAACAAUGGAUCAUACCCUAAAAUGACAGGAGCCUGAAUCGUACAAUUAGAUGAAUUCUCACAACCGGAUGAAAGAUGCAACACAUCCUGAAUUAGUAGUCCUGAACUUGAAGUAUUUUCAGUAAUGUAGUCAAUAACAUAAGGACAUGACUGCUUCGGACUUUGGCAGCUUUGGCCUGAGUCGCACAAAUUAUGGCUGCAAGAUAUAUGCUUGCUCGUGCUUGAACUGGAUGGACGGUAUUCAUUGAGAUCUUUAUCCUGCAUUAUAAAUAAUGCCCCAAACAUGAGGGAGCAGGAGCACCUGCCAAUCAAUCAUCGGAAAUAAGUGCUAAACUUGCUGUCUUAUUAAAAAGACUUCAUAAUCCACUAAUACAUUCGCGCCAAAAAUGAGUUAGCCAAUCUUUCAUCUCCGUCUCCCCUCGGGCAUUUUUUAUUUCCCAUUGGAACUGGCCAUGCCUUUCUUUUCCGCCAAAAAUCACUACAAGACUUCGAAUUCCAGAACACAAUUUGUCCAAGCAUAACCCUUGAUCUAACGGAAAUAAAAAGGCAAUAUGCUUGGGUAUAAAGCAUAAGUCGUGGAUUAGAAGUAAUUAAUGUUUAUGUGGAAAGAACAGAUUCUGAAAAGCAGGCCUACCAGACUGCCAUAGUAACUUGCAGACAAGGGAGCACAUUGUAUGCAAUUACAAGGAACCCAAAGUAGAUCACUCCCAGCAUCCAAUGCAACCAGAAAAGAAACACUCGGUGUCCCGAUAUCAAUCCAGGUGUAAUGCAACCUAUAAUACGUAAACAACAAGAUGAUUUACAAGUGCAUAAGAUAACAUUUUAUAACACAAAAUUUUCUCAUAAAGGUGCCACUAUGCAAAAAGCUAUUAGAAGAUGGUUUUUUUUCCUUUUUUGGUGUGUGGGGGAGAGAGAUUACUAAAAAAAAAAAAAAAAAAAAAAACAAACAAACAAACAGAAAAGUAAUGCAAAACGGAAGAACAAAAAAUAGCAAGAACAAAAAGGAGAAGGAAGGAAGAGUAACGGUGACCAGCCAAAAUCAUUUCCGAGCGCAAUGGUUUUACUGCCUUCAGACGGGAAAAGCAACUGAAACCGAGAACCAAGCUUCAUCUUCUGCCUCCGAAAGUCACCACUAACAAGCUCCUGAUAAUACUCCAUACUCCCCUUCUCAGGCCAUGAUACUCGUACACUCGUAUUCGUACUCCCUGAAGCCCUAAGGGCCUUCAUCUCCUCAGAGAACCUGUGAAGUAUCCUUGAUGUGAACGUAAUAGACACCACCUGGUGAACAAAAAUCACCAUCAGCAGCAACAAAAGCAGAUUCCGAAGCGACAUUGCAACUCAGUCCUUGAAAGGACGAAGGAAGUAGCUCGAAGACGAGAUCUGGAGGUUCAGAAGAAACCCACGAACAAUUCGGAGCUUUAGUUACCCGCCGGUGAACCAAAAUGAAAAACAGAAACAGAAAGAAUCUGAGGGGUAUGAAGAAACCCAAGUUACGGGACAGAGAUCGGAGAAGAAGGCGAACGAGUUACGACGGAAGUAGGAAAGAAGAAAUGAAGUGAAGUGUAAAGAAGAAGCGAAGUGAAGUGAAGUGAAGUGAAGUGUAAAGAAGAAGCAGAGGGAGGGAGGGGGAGAGAGAGAGAGAGAGAGAGAGAGAUAGAAGAGGGCAAAAGAAGAAAAGGAAGGGGAGGAGGAGGACAGAAGGGAUUUGUAAUACACGGGGAAAAUAGCGCGUGUUAUAAAAUAAUUCCUUUUCAGUGUGUGCGCGCCCGUAAGAGAGGUUGUCGUUUUCUUAAUCACCGUUGGAUACAUUUCUUCUGCCUCUUUACUUUUCUUAUUUUUUCGUUUUCGUAUUUUAUUUUUCAAAAUAUAUCGAUGCUUUUGUAAAUUUUUUAUUUAAAUAAAGAUUAAAUGUGAGCUACUACUUUUAGUUUCGGAUAUUUGGACUUUUCAAAUGAAAUAAAUUAAAAUUCAAAAUAAAGGAUAAAUAAACGAAAUAAAUUAUUUGGAGAUUUUAUAAAAAAAAUAAGUUCAGAUUUAUUUGAUUUCUGUGUUCGAAUUAACCCUUUCCAAUAUAAUAAAAAUUACAAACAUAACAUAAUUUAGAUUUAAUUUUUAAAAUUUAUUAAUACAUUAUUAGAAAGUUAAUAGAUAAUAACAACAUAAUCUAGUGAUUAAAGUAUUUGUUAUUUUUAAGAGUAAAAAAAAAAAAAAAGUUGAAUUUUCUACAUUUACAUUUAUUGGUAAGAAAAGUUUCCUAAAGCAAACAUUCAGAUAGAAAAUGUAUGCCUCAAUUAUUGACAAAAUCAAGAAAAUAAAAAAGGUAUCCCAAUAAAUCCCUUUCAUGAUUAUUGGUGGUCUUGCAUAAGAAAUGUAGUUGGGGAUAAAGUUCUAUUGAAGAUAGGACUCUUAGGUAGAGAGACCAAGACUUACUAAAAUUGUAUUUGGUCAAAAUGUAAACUUUUGGUAGGUACAAAAUCUCCACUCUUCUUAAUUCAAUUGGUCCAAAUUAAAAUGUUUACCCAAAUAUGCAUUGCUCCUACUCCUAACUAGCUAAAAUGUUCAGCUUAAGUGACUGGCACUUAACAUCUAUUUUUGUAGGUGUGAGUAAGGUUAGCCACAUACUCAUGUUCAUUUAGUAUUUAUAUUCCACCUUGGUUCGAACAUUUUACCCUAUAUGUAAAUAGUUUCAAAACUUUUGACAUUAAAAAAUAUAUAUAUUUUUAUAAGAAAAGAAAUGAUAUGUGAAUUAAAAGUGAGGAGACCUAAUUGAAGGGAAACAAAGAAAUUGAAAGAUGAACUUUGUGGAGGCACCACACCAAGAAGGUGGUCCAAGAAUUACUUACGUGUCGAUUAAAACUAAAAAAGCGCAUUCAUUCUCAUUGGGCGGCGGCCCUUCACUUGCGAAUUUAAAUGAUAAAAUUCUUUUAAAUAAUUCAUCGCAUUACGUUUCAAAUUUCAAACCUAUCCUCUAAAUACUACCAACUGCUGGCAGUGGCAACCCACUCAUUGUCAUUCACCUGCAGCACUUUUCACUUCUGAUUUCUGAAUAUGAAAACUCCAAACCAAACCAAACCAUUACUAGAAAGAAAAAUUAUUUAUUUCAGGGUAUCCUAAUAUAUAAUUCACAAGUUCUGAAACGAGAGAAAAACUAAGAAAACAGAGAGAACGUCCAGAACAUGUGUUUAUAAGAGGUUCCUAUGCAUACAUUCUUUUUAUAAUAAUAAAUUCACACAAUGAGAAGUUACAUAAUUACAUUAUACAUUACUUUUCCUCAAAAUUGACAAGCAAUUGAAAUCAAUGAAAUACAAACAAGACCAAACCCAGAAAAACUAGUGAAAGGAAAUUUCCAAUUUUCUAUUUAUAAACUAAAAAAAAAAAAAAAAAAAAAAGAGAAAUCUGGAAAGUAUAUUAUAUACACUAUCAUGAUAAAUGCUCAAAAUUGAAAAAAUAAUUCCGCAAGGGGAAGGGGAUGGUCUCCUACUAAUGCAAUGGUGUAGCUUACUUGUUAGACCACUGAAAUUCUAUUUCCAAAUUCCGAGGACCGCUUUUGCUUUCAGGCAACAGGGUGUACUCGCCGGCAACCGCUCCCAACAUUACAACUUUGUCAAUUUGAAUUGUUACUUUCCCGAAAGAGCUCUGUUUUUGUUUUAGAGUACAUGAAAAGAAAAUUAGUUGUGAAGCUUUCAUAUGGAAACAAAUGAAGAGAAACAAAGGAAACUUAAAUGAAACUCGCCUUCCCCAUUUUGCUUUUGUUCUUGCAAGAAAUAUGAAGCUUCUGGCCUUUCGGUGGACUCUCAAAGGACCAUGCAAAAUUCUCAUCCCAUUCUGGAUUUGGACCGGUUGAUACAACCUGACCAAAAUUUAAAGAGAAGUUACAGUUUAGAAAUCUGAGACAAAUUGGGAAAAGGAUCAAAGAACAAAAGAAGCGAUGAUAAUAUUGGUUAUGAUGGAAUAAAAUAGGACCACAAAUUUUCUCCUAAAACCGUUCUGCCAGUAAAAUUUUAAUAAGAUACGGGGGCAUUUCGUCCAUGAACUGUACAAAAGAAUUAUUCAAACAUGGUGCAUAUGCAGAUGAAAAAUGAUAUAUGGAGAUGGACCACACAUGCGACAAGAGAAAGGAACCACACUACUCCAGCACACAACAGACUAUAGUUCCGAUAAUUAGUUAAACAUAGCCACUAUAAUUGACUAAUAUAUAAAUUAUCUUCCAUGGAAUAUUUACAAGUGUAAAAACUAUGAAUAAAAGGAAGAUGCAGAGAUGGAGUACAUUACCUUUGUUUGCCUCGGUGGAGUAUUGCCAAGGGUGAGCUUACAAAACACGCUGGGGUUUCCUACUGACUGCUUCAUGUUGUUGCCACGUUUGAUUAUAACUAAUAAUGUUCCUGGCAAGCACUGUAACAAAAAUUCAGCCUUCUCCUGGAAACGAGGAGGACCUGACUGAAUUAGAUACUGAAGCAAAGGAAUGGCAUCUGCAGCAGCAACAGACUGAGCUCUUGAAACCUCCGCUGGACAAGCUGACCAAGCUUGCCUCAAAAGAAACAGGGAAUCUAACGCAGCUUCUUGAGUUGCCUCAGUACCAGUCUUUAAGGAUGUUACUAGAUGAGGAAUGCUGAGUGUAGCAGGCUCAGUAGCUCUCAAUCGUGGGAAGUUGCUGAAAAGAGAAUUUAGGGCUUUCAGGUAUUCCUCAUUCACGGUUCCAGUGGCCCACAAGUCCUUUUCAAUGGCAGCUGCAAGACCAAAUUGUUAUGACACUAUAUCUUCCGAGGCAGGUAAGUAAAGUUUAUUAGGCAAGCGUCUAAGAAAUUGUUGUAAAAGCAGAUGAUUAAUUCUAGAAUGCAGUCUCCCAAGGGGAAAAAAUAAAGGAAAACAUUCAAAAAUAUAUUCAAUCGUGUAGCAGAUGUGCGGAGAUGAUUGAAAAGGAAAACCCAAUUCUAUCAAUGUUAUUAUGCAUGUGGAGGGUUUAGGGAAAUUACCAGUGAUGGCCCUAACUGUCUCACUGGAUGCGUAUUCCUGAAUGGUAUGAUUUGAGAAAAGGAGUUUAAUAAACAUUGCAGCCUGCACAGAUGUAUCUGGAUCACUGGAUCCAAUUAGGUCCAAUACCACCUGAACACCACCAGCCUCUGCAACUGCUCUUUUGUUUGAUCGACUGUACAUAACAAGAUUUUGCAAGGCACAUAUUGCUACCACUUUCAUUUCUUCUGUUGGUUGGUCCUCAAGCACAUUGACCAGAGCACGGCAAGCUGAAACAGCAUCCGUGCUUCUAGCAAGAGCUUCAUUCUGGAACAAAUCACCAAGUGCCAAAGUUGCCAGCAACCUUGGCUGUUGAGCUUGAGUUUGAGGAUCCAAGAGAUACUGGGAUAAUGGUACAAUUGCAGAUUUAGUAACCUUGGUUUCUCUGAUCUUCACAUUAUUAAGAAGUACUUCCAGUAGUCUAGCUGCAGUUUCCUCACAUUGAUGGCUUCUCAGAAGUUCCAACAGUGCCUCAAUUGCUCCACUUUCCGCCAUUGCUUCAGCACUCGUUGCAUCAUCACUUUCAAGUACAAGUAAAGCAUUCAGUGCACCAACCACUGUGCUUUCCAAUCCAGAACGAAGCAACCUGACCAACACCGCAACUGGGACUUCCAGAUAAAAUUCAGAACUGAACUGUAGAAUACUCGCUAAUACAGUGGCAGCAGAUUCCCACAAUGAAUGAGGAAGUGAAGGAUCAGCUUGCAGAAUGACUUUGGAUAACUCACUGACACCACCUUCUUUUGCUAUUUCAUUUGGCCACGUUAGUGCAAUACUAACAAGAGCCUUGACAGCUCUCUGCUGCAAGAUUUGAAUACCAGAACCAAGUACUCGUAUUAGAGGACCAAUCACUUGCUGCGUAACUGAGUCCUUUUGCAAAUGUUCUUCCACAAGUAGGUGUGAUAGGAGCUCAGCUGCCAAUUGUUGCACAGCUGGAGCAGGGGAAUCAAGUAAAGGAAUGAGGGGUUCAAUUGCUUGGUGACAGGUCAAUGUAUAGUCAGCACGACACUGAGGAUGCUCUAAUAUAUUAACAAGAACCUGCAGUGCACUAUGCUGUCCAUCAGGUCCAAAUUCUGGUCUUGUCAACAAUAGGAAAAGAGGUUCAACCACUUUUGCAGCAGAUGAUCCCUUAGCAAUGUUAGCAUUAUUAGUCAGUAUACGUAGCAAUUCUGCAAAGGCUGAACAAAGAAAAUCAGGUGCUUCAAGGAGGAUAUCCAAAAUGCUUUCAAUUACUCCAGCUUUUACCAUUUCCAUCUUACAAGCAGGUCUAUCUUUUCCUAACUUUACAAGUGCUCUAGACACUGCUUCGUGAAGCAUGAAAUUUCUACCAUAGAGGAGGCCUACAAGAGGGAUAACAGCUCCAUGUGCAGCAACUAGUUCUGCUAGUUGUUCAUCAUCAACUAGUUUAUCCAAUGCACGGACAACUGAUUGUUGAGCAGGACUAAAUUCAGUCACAAGAAGCGAUACCAAAGGCUCGACACAUCUCGCAGCAGCCAUUGUAGAUCUGAUUCUUGUAUUUCCAAAAAGUACACAGCACAACUCAGCAGCAUCUCCCUUCAAGUCCAUUGUACAAUUUGUUGACAGAAUUUUGCAAAGGACAUCAACUGCAUUCAUUUCAACAUCUGCAACUGCAAGGGCUCUUGAUGGGUUUUCACUUAAUAAACGAACUAAAGCAGCAAUGGCAGCAUGUUGCUCCCUCUCUGAGCCAGUACUGAGAAUCUCAACUAAGGGUUGCACAGCUUGUCUGGACGAUUCAGCAUUCCUAAUAUGGUCAGCAGAAAAGAGGCUCUCCAAUGCUUUAGCAGCACUAUACCUUGCACCCCUUCCACCCAAACGCAGAACUGCUACAAGCUGACUGACAGCACCAAAUGCGGAUUCAUGCCUACGUAUCUCAGAACUGCUGAAAAGAAUUCCUAACAAAUCAGUAGCAGCUUCUUCAGUUGCAUCUUGUGGUCCAAGUGAAAGAUAUUUGGUCAAUGCUUCCAAAGCCCCUGAUUCUACCAUAACAAUCUUAUUUGAUGGGCAGUCUUUCGCUAGCUGGGUCAAAAUUCCAAGAGCUAGAAAAGGUGCUCCUGGGCGAUCAGGAAUUGGUUUUAAUAAAUCAACAAGAGCUGGAAUUGCUUUCCGAGAAGUAGCACCAGUCCUUAUGUCAUCUACCCGAAACAAUCUCUCCAAAGCAACUUGCUCAGGGUAGCGAACCAGCAUGAAUUCUUCUGACAGUUCAAGAAGAUCAUAUAUGUCAGCAUCUGCACACCCAAGUAAAGAUAUUAAUCCCCCUGCUGCACCAGAGUUUGCAACUGACAGCAGGGUACCCCUGCUACCAUUACAAACUAAACUUGCAAUGGCCUGGGCUGCAAAAUAUCUAUUUGCUGGCUCCUCUGCUUUCAGUAAAUUUGCAAUCACUGGUAUAGAUUUCAUGGUUGCAUGUGCUCGUAUUAUAUCCCUGUCUUGAAAUAGAAUUGCAAGCAAUAGAGAAGAUAUCCAUAUGCUGCUGUCUUCUUUAAAAUCAAUCUGUGUAAAAAUUGAAUAAGCAAAAGAAAAUUAAAUGCAAUUAGUUAUGAAACCACAAUGAGUAAAAUAUCAAACAAAGGACCAUAAAUCAUGGAAAAACUAAAGGAAGGUAAGAAGUUGAGCACCUGAGCAUACUGUGAGGAAUAAUUGGAUAUUCCCUCUGUGAGAACUUCAACUGCUCCAGCCUCCAUGAUCACAGUCUUACUUCUUCCGUCGUGGCAGGCAAGAAGACAGAGUAGCCAUAUUGCGAGGUUGACACCAUAAACAACAGCAGUAGCUUUAUUGCAUUCUGUACCACAGCUGCCUUCUUUGGGAAGUCUAUAUAUGCUGAUAAAUUCCUUAUCAGUAUCACUCUGAUUAUCCAGUACAGAACUCUGCGAAGAGCUUAACAUUGCAACAAGAGAUUGAAUCAGUAGACUACAUGAACUUGAUGCGUGAAGAUCUUCCAACAGCCUGUGGUGAUUAACAUUAGCGGCACAUACGAGAAGGGCAGUUCCACCAAUUUUGACCUUAAUGUUUGUGGAAUUGAUCACCCUCGUAGAAACAGAAGCUAUGCAUCCAGAUGCAGUAACUACUUCUUCUCCUAUAACACCAGGUUGAUCCCGGCAAAGUCGUGCUAAUACCUCAAUAGCCUUGUCCUGUAGUAUAGGAGUUGCGUCAGUAAUGGAUGCAACUAUUGGGGAAAUGCUUUGGGGGAAUUCAGCUAAGACUGCCCAUGCAGGCUUCAUGGUCCCGCUAACCCCUUCAGAUCUAGAUAAAAUAGCAAGAGCAUCUAGUGCUUCAGAUGUGGAAACAGUUCUGGUGUCUGCAGAUCCUAGAAAUGAGACUAAUGCGAGAACAGUUCCUGCACUAUUCACACAAUCAGUGAUGCUAUGGUCAAUUUUCCGAGAGCGAAGCAAGCGAGCAAUUCCUGCUGCUGCAUGUGUCUUUCCAGACAUUGUGCCUUCACGCAAAACCCUAGUGGCAGGCAAAAUAAUUUCUUCAGUAACAGCCUUCUCUUGGACUUCACUAUCAAGUAGAAGAUUUGCCAGAGCACAGGUUGACAGUUCUGUAACUUCCAGAACUGCAGACUUUGCAAGCACAACUAAGGGAGAUAAUACAUCUCUAGCAGCAGCAGCCACGUCCCUGUUCUCCUUGAUUGACAGAAAUAUGGCAGCAAGGCACCGGGAAGCCUCUGCCAGAAUACUGUCGGAUUCAACUUUAAGUAGUUUUAUGACUGAUAAGAGAGUCUGAAUAGCAAUGCUACUUUCACGCAAGUCUUUGCGGAUUUCAAAUAUUCCAGCUAAAGCUGAUGCAGAUUUGGCUUGGGUCUCUUCUCUAGUAGAAUUCAAUAUUUUAAUCAUGGUCUCAAUUGCAUCAUUAGCAGCAGUACCUUCACGCACAAUAUCAUUGAGGGGGACCACAGAAAGCAUACUUCUAAGAGCAUCCAAAACAUAGACUUUGGAUUCUGGUAAAUCACUGGUUAAUAAUGCAGUAAGUUGGCUGAUGGUUGCUGUAUCAGAUUUAUGAAUCAAAUGAUUCAAAGUCUUUGCUGCAAUUUCUUUUCCAUUAGAGCUUCCAUUCUUAAGCAACCACAGCAGUGCAGGGACAGCAUCAGCGCUUUCAACACAUGCACGUAUGUCUUCACUGUGAUUGCAUAAGUUUCUAAGAAUUGUUGCAGAAUCUUCUUUUGCCUUUGCAGAACCAGUCUCUAGAAUUUGAACUAGUGGAGGUAUGCCACCAGCAGCCGUUAUAGCCCAUUUACUCUCAUCAUUUUCGUUCGAUAAAAGACAAAGCAAUGCAACCGCACAUUCCUGUUGCUGCUCUGAUGAGAGUCCAAGAAGUGAAAUCAACAGCUGAACCCCCUCACGACCUUGCAGGGCACGCCAUAGACUACCUUCAUUGUUGCAAAGGGUAAGAAGGGCUCUUACAAGCUCUUCCUGAACUUCAUUGGUUGCCAUUGUGAUCAAACCAACUAGUAAACGUUUUGCAUCAGAAUUUGCAAGUUUGACAGCAAGUAUGGGAUUACCAUACAAACUAGCUAAUGCUUCUAUAGUUCGUUCCUGCACAAGAAAGGUUACACGGGAUCCAAACUGCUUUACUAAAGUCUGUUCAAUAAUUAUAGGAUCUGAUGCUCUGGUGGCUUCUUCUUUGCUAUCAUAUAUCAUAAGAGCUGAUGCUAAAGCCCCUAAUGUGUCGGCAGUUUGAGCAGCUGAUGAGCAUGCCUCAAGGCUUUGUCCAAGGCUUGAGAUAACAUAAGACAAACCACCUGAAAUGUUUGCUAAAGCACACAUAGCAUUCUCCUGCAAUGCCUGAGCAUACUCACCUUGCAUGAACUCUUUCGAGGGAGCUAUUGUUGCAUUUAUCAAGGCAGGGAUACCAUUUGAACUUGCUACCUCACGCCGUGCUUCUUUGCACUGAGCAGAAAGAGAUUUAAGAGCACCUGCAGCUUCUGCUCUAACAGAGGCUUCAUUUCCAGGUCCUAUUAAUUUGAGGAGCUUUUUCGUAGCCUCUGCAGCCAAAACCUUGGAGCAAAAAGAUGCAUCUUCCAUCAUCACAUGUGCCAGGAGAAAGCACACAUUUGCUUGUGUAUUUGGCUCUCCUGUUGCCAAUAAAUUCACAAGUAUGUCUACACCGCCUGCAUUUAUAGUUGCAGACCAAAAUCCCUCAGUGCUGCUUGAGAGGUUUCUUAAAGCUCCAGUCAGUAAGCCAACAACAUUUCCAGAUUUGAGCCCAUUGUGUAGCUGCUCCCAAAGUACCGGAACAACUCCCUCAGUAGAAAAUAUUUUGGAUCCAACGUGAUCCCUAGCACCACCUUGGGAAACAGCAUAAAUGGUCUUUGCAGCAGCAAUUUGACCCUCUGACGAACUUGAUUUGAGGAGACCAAGCAAUGGGGGGAUGCAUCCUCCAAGUAGAACCUUUACCCUUAAUUCAUUUUCCUUGCACAAGGAACCUAAAACAGUAGCAGCUUGUAUUUUCACCCCAAGGGAACCUGAACGGAGAAGAGAAACUAGUACUGGAACUGCUUGAGAGUGAGAUCCAACAGCACUGAAUGCACUCUCACGUGUAUCAAUAAGUUCCAGCAAUUGCCUCAAAGAAAAUUCUUUCUCCUGCACAGAGGAGGAACUCUGCCGCAGCUGCUCAAUGCAUUGAGCAACACUUGCGAGUGUCCCAUCUGGAUCUUCCAUGCUAUUGCGAUCUCUGCAAGACAUAUGAUCAAAGUAAGUCAUCUGAUCUGGGUAUUAUUGUUCAGCGAUACACAAAUUGAACAAUAACACUUGUAUUUUACUACUUGGAUCGACUCACACAAAACAAGACUGAAUUAUAUGCUAUCCUCAUUUACUAUUGGACUCAUUCAUCAUAUGCUGUCCUUUAAGGAGGCUUGGGCUCUGGAAAGAUGGGGAAAAUGAAGUUCAAACUGAAGGAGAAGUGGACAGCCAACUAAAAUUUAUUAGGUCCAUUCACAUCCGUGUUCUUAAAACAAGACAACACACACACAUACCUAUGUCAAAAAUUAAAUGAAAAAAAUGUGGAUAUGGUAAAACCUCUAAAAUAAAAUAAUGCAUGCAAGUGAAGUGUAUACAUAAAAGCAUAUUGGUUAUCAAACAAAAAUGAGUCUUUCAUAAAUGCCAUGAAAUGACAAAAGGAACAAAAAUUAUACAUACAAGGACAGCCAAUAAAUAAAACCAUAUGGAUUAUCCUUAGAAGUCAGAAUACACAUCUUCCAAAUAUAACAUGAACUUGUUAAAAAAAAUGAAAUAAAUAAACAUUCAACUUUGAUUUUACCUGGAGCCCAUCUUCAUAAUAGAAUGCGGAGUAGGAGGCUCUGAAUCUUGAAUUUUUCCAUCCAUGUUUUUCUCCUACAACAAUUGAACACAGAAAUGAUUAGUACAUAACUAACAUAACAUGUACCACAAAAUCGAGAAAGUAGAAUACUUUAAAGAAAGCAUAGAACUAUCUUAAGCAGCUUAUUUUGUUUUUCCCAAUACAUAAACACUAAACAGGGUACAUACUAAACCACUCGUAUCAAAUUGAAGAUGACAUCCCAAAGAAAACUGCAUUGACUAAGAUUAUCUUUGAAAUUCAGUUAACCAGUCCAUCCGUCUGUCCCCUCUUAAACCUCAAACAAUAUUGAGCUUAGACAACCAAAUAAUUAAAAUAAGCAUACUCAUGAGUCCAUAACCCAAUUUUCUUGAUAUGCAUCAGAAUCACACUCACACAUGCUCACAUUUAAAACAACUAUUGUUUUCAUAAGCACUCCAUGCAAGAAUUGGUAAAGGGAAAAUUAAUUUACAAAUCUAAUGACAACAUUUAAAUAGAGGCCACAAAAUACCAGAUCAUUAGUAGGAUGACUGCUACCGUUGCUGGCAGCUAGUCUCCAAGUUAGUGUCGCCGCCAGUUUCUCUUCCUUUUAAGUUACAAUGAAGAUGAAACAGAACGUCAGAAUUCUACAGAUCUAUGAAAGAAAGGCAAUUAAUAGCAUAGCAUUCUCCUGCAAAACAAUCAUGAAAAAACCAGAUCAGAGACAAUGAUUAAAAUGCCGCGAAUCCAAAUAUUUUAUAACACUUGAACCGUUUCCAUACAACUAACAAAUAAAUAACAAAACCAGAAAAACAGCGAUGCUGCUGAAGUAGCGGUUCUAAGACUAAUUGAGCCAAUUAAAGUUCUUCAGGACUAAUGUGAAAUUAAUUUCACAUCACGCAAGGACACAUAUAAACUGUCUAUACUCCCGACACCGCCUCUCUCCAGUAAAUCAAAUUCCAUCAACAAUUAAAGACGGAAAUGAAAUCAAACCAAGCAACGAAAAUCCACAGAUUUACAUAAACACCGACCAACUAAAAUAAAAAUGACGCAGAUCCAGCAACAAAGAAUCAAAGUACAACUGAUUUAGUGAUCAGUCAAACAAGUCUAUAAAUGCACAACACAAAUAAAGUAAAUUAUAAUAGCAUUUGGCUAAGGCAAAAUCGACAAAUCGAAAACAGGAAUUUCAGUGAAUUUUUUACAUCGUGGCCAAUGCAAGCAGCUCAAAUCCAUUUCAUGCAUCAGAAAGAAAAUGAUAGAGAGAAAAAACCAACCUAAGAAGAGACUGGAAUGAAGAGCAAGUUUCUUACAAGAGAAGCGAGCAUAAAGAGAGAGUGAGAGAGCUUAGCCUCUGAUUUUCCUUUUUUUCUUUCUGGUGCUGUUGCUCUCUCUCUCUCCUCUUUUUUCCUCUUUCUCUCUCUAAAAAAUGGGAAUUACGUCUCCGAAUAUACAGAGAUUGGAACGGAACCAAGCAGGAGACAGCGAUGAAGCUUUAUGAGCUUUUUCCACAUCCACACUCUCACUAAUACACCACCGACAAGCUAAGCCGCCGCUUUCCCGGCUAACCUCGGCUCGGCUCACAUAUUCCUCCAUUUUUUUCUUCAUUUAUUUUACAAAUUAUAAUUGUCAACCAUUAAUUAAUUUUUCUAACUCUCUCUCGUCUUAAAAAUAAUAUAUAAUAAUACUAAUUAUUAAUUAUUAUUAUUAUUAUAUAACUCUCUUUCUCUGUCUACAAUUUAUCUCGUGGUGACUUUACAAUUAAUUGAGUUGAGAAUUUCUUCUUUAAAAAAAAAUUUGGCUUGAAUUAUUAAAAAGUAGAAAAAGAAAAUUAAAAUCAAGAGGAUGAAUUGAAAUGAAAUGAUACCUUAUCUCUCUCUAGAAAUGUUUUAUUAUUAUUUUAUCAUAUAAUAGACAGGUAUUGUGGACAGUGAGAUACACCUAAUAAAGCUAAAAUAGAUUAUAUAAGAUUUGUCUAAUAGUCCCUCUCACUUAACUGAAUUUGAUUUUCACUCCCUAAUCAAAAUGCAUUACGCAUCCCAAAAUUGAACCCAGAAAAUAUAUAUAUAUAUAGAAUUCCCCUUUUGUAAUUAAAGGUUAUACGUCUGAAAUAUUUUACCCUCGAUGAUAAGUCAAUUUUUAGUUUUACAUAUUGGUGAAGCACAUGAGUUUAAUGAAAUUGUGAGUAAGAUUAUUGGGGAAGAAUGAGAAAUUUGGGAGGCAGAUAAGAAAUAGAAAAGACUUGAGGGAGGAGAGUUUGUUGGUAAUUGUGAUGAGAAUGAAAUGAUUGGGACUGUGUAGCAGCCGGUAUGAUGUUAUGAACAAUAUUCUCUGGUGAUUUAUAGCGACAUUAUUUGUAGUUUUGUAUUUAGCUGUGCUGUCACCUCCCACGUUCUUUCUCUUCAUUCAGCUAAAACUAAAACUCUCUCUCCCUCUCCAUAGCCAUGCCCCAUGUUCCGUCAUCUAAUCUCUUCUAUGUCUAAUCUCUCUCUUUAUAUAAUACAUUAUAUAGCUGUUGAUUUGGCAACAAUUGUGAUUAGGGAUAUAAGACCUCCAUUAUGUGAUAACAGUUGAUUAAGACUGUAAUUUGGAGCCAACUAAAGCAAUUACACGAUGAUUUGGUUCGCUGUCACUUUUUAUAUUAUUAUAUCCAAAGAAAUGUGCACUCUUUUUGCACAUCAACGGGCAAUCUUAUUUGAAAAGUAAUAGUAAUAAUAAAAACAAAAACAACACAAUCCAAGGACUGCCUAAAGCUGAUGACGGUAAUUUCAUGAUUAAUUACAAACCACGAUGGGAGAAAAAAGAUAUUUAUUAAUUCUUAAUCCAUCAAACUUGGAUUUGAAGAAUCCGAAAGGACACUUUAUUAAUUGGUCAUCUUCUAUUGGUGCAAAUAUGGAUGAAAUUGCCAGCUAAAGGGGCCGGCUUUGGUUGGUAUGUUUAGAAUUUUUUGCAGUACUUUUAAAGCAAUAUCGAAUUUUAGAAAAUCACAACUUCAACUUCACCUUACCCUUUUAAAAAGAGAGAAAAAAAGAACAGAAAAAAGAAAAAACUUGGUCUUGCCCAAUCCCAUCAUUUCCACCAUACAAAUUAGAUUGGGCCAAAAUGGAGAGAUUACACACCUACUAGUAUUAGUACUAAUUAGAUAUCAAAUAAAAAUUAUGAGUAAUUAACUAACAAACUUAAUCAUCCUAGCACAAUUUUGUCACAUUUCAUUUUUAUAUAUAAAGUAGGUUGUUAUAGCACUCUCAGAAGGUUAUCUUGGAUGAGGAUUUUUAGGUAAGGGUGGAUUUGACUAAAGAUGUUGAACAGAAGCAACAUGGAUUUAUGAAGUCCGAAUUUAUUGGAAAUAUCCAUAGGUUUCCUACCACAUCAAAAUUACUGUUAACAAGCUCCAAAGUGUUAUUAUAACUGAGGUUUUCUAGAUUCACUAUUUAAACCCCACAACAUACUAGACUUGAUGCCAAACUCAUGCCUCAAAGGGCCCCUCAAAUAGUAUCCUAUAUUAAGAAUAUUUUCCUCCCCCUAAUUUUGAAAAAAAGGGUCCGACAAGAAUCAUCUAUUUCUAAGUAAGACGAUUUCUUCAACGAUUUCUUCAACAAUUUCUAAUAGCAGAUCUCCGACAUGAGAAAUGUAUAUCCUUUGAGAAUAACUAUUCAUAAACGUAAGUGCUGAAAGCAAAAUACUACCGCCAAGGUCCCUUCAACCAGAUCUGGGAUAACCACCAAACAUGCUUAUAAUCAAACAUGUUAAUGAAAAGCAAUGCCUUUCGAAGCAAAGUAAUAAAAGUGCCUCUCAAGUGAAAACAAGAACCAGGUAUUUGCAACUAACCCACUUUGACAAAAGGUUGCAAUAUGAGUUUGGCAUUGGCCUGAGAAGUGCCCGAAUGGCUGCAGUUGCUGUUCUUGGCGCUGCAGCAGAAGUAAAAUCCGUUACAAAAUUUUUUAUCAAGGUCAAUACAGAAAGAAUGGUGCUAUCCAAGAAUCGUGCGUUCCUCUUGCCUGAAAACUUGUGAUCUUUCUGUUCCCUGGGUAAACAUAGAAUUUUAGAUGCUCUGUAGAUAGAACCCUCAACUAAGAGGUGCGACAUGAAGCUAAUAAAUAUGUACUACAAAAAAAAGCACACAACCAGUGCCUGUAUACCGGAGACAGAGAUGGCAAAUUACUUUGAGGUGUUAGGUAAGGCUUAUUGAUGAGGCAUAUAGUUGAAGCAGGGUCAGGGCUUGCUCCGUAAUGGCUCGAUUUCUUGCUUGCCUUACCCAAUCAUGAACUACCUCUUCUGCUUUUGUGCCUUUAACACCUUCUUCAAGAGAAUGUGCUGCUUCAGCCAAGUUUCCUUCAGCCAGGCAGGACUCCACUCGGUUGAUGAUAGAUUCGAUCCCAGUACCAGAUUGGUCAGCCUCCUUCACCUAAAGAAGGUCAAGGAAAUUUCAGAAACUACAGCAAUAGGGGAGAGUAAAUGGGAGAUUUAAAGUUCUCUCUAAUUUACCUUAAUCCAGGAUGCUACACGAGCUAAAGAAUGUGCCAAAAUGCCACCACCGCCUGGUGGGAUAAAGCUCAAGUGCCGUAACGGUGCUUUUAAUGCAUCAAACUGCAUGCAAGGAGAUGAAUAAGUUAUAAGCCAGAUACUUUCACCAUCAAAGAUGAACUAGACUACCAAACAGUCAAUAUUGUACAACAAUAUUCCAGAACGAGUCAGAUUUGAUAAAAUCAAAGAAUUACGACGGUUUGAUAACAUUCAAUACAUUUUUGGGGGAAAGAACAAAGGUAAAAGAUAAUAUCUGAUUUCCUCCCCAUAAAGUAAUUCAUGUUGACAGAUAUGGUUGAAAGUAGUAAGAAUUUCUUCGAAAUCAACAACAUUGCUAUUCAAGAACUUUUUUUUUUCUUUAGUUGCCUUUUCUCGUACUUCCAAAUUCCAUCUGACCUACACCAAACUUAAACAGCUAUUCAAUCACGUUUUCACUAAACUUUUGUUUUAAAAAAACAAAUAAUAACUCUUACCAAUGCCAAACAGCCCCACGGUUUUUCAGUAAAGGAAAUGACACUGAUUAUAAUUAGGUAACCUUUUGAGAGAGAAGUAUGCUACAAUUUAUCUUCAAACCAGGGAGAACUUAAUGUACCUUUUGUGUCAUCUGUAACAACGUAUCUGAGCCAUGAUUCAAUAUUUCUUUAGGAAUGGAUGAAAGGAUCAGCUCUAAGUUAGAAUCUUUGUCAAUGCCUUGAAGAUUAACACGUAAUGCUUUUAUUUCAGCCUGGAUCGGUAACCCUCUGGAAAGAGCAUCUUCAAGUGCCAGUGCCCCCUAUAAGAUCGAUGACUUAUAGUUGAUUAAACACUUUGAGAUAAAUUGGAUUGGCUAUGCGCUAGCAAAAUAUAAAAAGGAAAAAAUAUGAUUUACAACCAUGAAAGUUCCUGAGACACCUUGUACUUGAGCACAAUGCUCGUUGAUGGAUUUAUACAUAUAUAAACUUUCUUGACAAAUGAAAUACAAAAGCAAGGGUUUAAAAAUCCUUAGAAAAUGCCAAGUUUAUAAAAAAUACUCUACUGCAGAUUCAAGGGAAGUUUUGGAGAAUUUCCUCACUCUUAAGUACAAUUCUCUCACAAGAUAACUGAGCAAAAACGUACUUCCCUGGCACUUUCUUACUUACAGACUAUAUAUUGCUCAAACCAAAGCUCAUUCUCACUAUAUUCUCAGGGGCCCAUCCCUCUAACUAACUAAUAACAAUUUAAUAUUCCUCAACUGCCUACACUUAUACACAUGCUUAAUGGGGGGGUCUAUCAUAGACUCAUAGUCAGCACAAAUAACCAAAAGAGGCUAAUUACAGAAACCUCGACUAAGGAAUCUCCAAUUGAAUCUUACAGGCUAGAACAUCCACCCUUGACAAAAGAAGAGAAUGAGAUUAUUCAAGCAAGAAUACUAUGACAAGCAAUUUUACAAUGUCAAAACCUGUCUUCAUUCUAAGAACAACCUCGGAUCUUAUUUUCAAAAGAAGCCUCACAAAACGUAACUAAAAAAAAAAAAACAAAUACCGUUUCCAAAUUUCAGCGUACACCCUAAUUUUAUGUUUUUUAUGGAAACAUACUGGUUUCAAACUUUCUAAAAUGCCUACAAAUAUGUAUGUUGUUGCGGAGAGACCUAGAACUAUUUUAACCUGGAAGAUUUUAAACGUAGUUUAAUCCCAAUGUUCAUCAGUUUCCCUGUUCACAUGCAAAUGAUGUAAAUCUGAUAGAAGAAUGAUCACCUUCAAUAGUACCCAAACUACUAAUAUUAGAUGCACAAACGUGCACCAGUAUGUAGGAAGACAAAUCUUUCUCCAAAAGUAAGUUUAACUUCAGUUUCUUCUAUACUACAAGUAAGAAAUGAAAACAUCAAUAAGUAGAAGUGCGAACUUACCAAUGCAAGUUUCUGAGCAGAGUGACUUUGACGAGCUUCUUCAGACCUUGCAUAGAAUGCCAUGCAAAGGGCAUUAAUCUGCAAAAAGAAGUUUCACACAUAAACAGAUUAUUGGUGGUAGAUUGAUUGCCUGGAUUCAGGCCAAAGGACAUGGAGCUAUAUUGGAACAUGCACAUCAUUGACAAGAAAAUAAACUAUUAUAGCAACAAAAGAAUUGCCAAAUUGAUGUACAGUUGACGUGUUUCUUCAUUAUAGUGUAAAAUUUUCAUCAAGCAAUGUCCAUAAAAAUCGGUGAGCAUCUUUCAUCCUAUGAAGGAAAAACUUCCCCCCGAAUGGUGAUAUCGUAAAUGAAGAACUAAACAUUUUUUUUCAACUUUUUUUUUCUUGUUAUGAAUGUCAUUUUUUAAGGAGGCAUGUUAGGUCCUAAUAUUAUCUAUAACUUCCACUUUGAAUAUGCAUGAUGUUUUUAGCUCAGGUAAAUCAAUAGCUUGUGCUAUAUUGCUUACAUGAAGAUUUGCUUCAGCCAUUUUUUCUAUCUGGGCAGCCUUCUCACUUGCAAUUGCUGCAGCUAACUCUGCUUUUGCCAGAUCUUGAAGUUUUCUCAACUUUGAUUCUAACUCAUUUUCCUGCAAUGAAAUCAUUUUUAAAAGUAUUGGUAAAGGGUCAGCAACUUGAGCUUGUUUGUCAUUUAAGAAACACUCCUACCUUCUGUUCAAGUUCCUUCUGAAAUUUAUCUUCCAAAUUCUCUUGUAGUGACAUCAGAGCAGCAGCUGCUUUUGUUUUCUCUCGUUUUAACUCCUGAAAAUAGUUAAAAUCCCAAGAAGCCAAUUAUAAGAAUGAGAGAAACACAACAACAGUGUACAGAUGUACGCUCUCUGUUCAGAUGAUACAUCUAUAAGAGACUCCACGUGCGUAAUUCAAAAAUUGAGAAUUCAACCUUGUCCAACAUAGCAGCCUUUUCUGCAUGCAUAAAUUCCCUAACCCGAGCAUCCCUCAAUGCUUCGUCCAUCUUGUUCUGUACAGAACAGAAACAUAAAUCACAGUCAAUAAUAGUCGCAUUUCAUAAAAAUUACAAUCGUUUCACGUACGAUAUAAAAAAUAUCUAUCGAUCCAUACCCACAGUGCUGUCUUUUCAUCAGCAAAACGACGAUAAUCCAGCUCAGCUUGCCGCUUUUCAGCAGCAUGAAUAGCUUCUAAGAAAUCAAUGACCAAUUUCCCAUCCUUGGAUAUGAAGCCAUCAUUCAACUCCUCAAUUUCAGCAAUUAAAGCCUGGCAUCUUGGAAACAAAACUUUAGAUCUUGUCUAAGACUCCUUUACUCAAUUCCAGAAAAAUGGACAUCCAUCAAGAAGAAGGAAAAAGUAAAUGACCUCUGUUCCUUUGUAAAACUUGUCAGUUCCAUCUUUGCUACCACCACCCAAGGAAGUCAUGCCAGCCUCACCCUUCAAAUGGUAGGCCUCGAGAAGAGAACUUGGCUCCCCUGUAUCUUCACUUGUAUCAUUCAACUCCUGGAUAGAAUACGAGCAGAGACAGAUUCACUUUAAGUUACACAUCUUUACUAGAAAUGAAUAUAUUUGGAUAAGAGAUUAAUAUAUUUAAGAAACAAAAGUUCAGAGAUGAUAUCCUGUGAAUCUAGAAUGUCUAAUUCUAAUGAACCAAUCAUCCUCAUCAAACUUCAUUUCUGGCCCGAAUACUAUUAGGCAAGGGAUUCUAGGUACCUGGUAUUUUUUCUAACUUGCCUCCUGUAAUAAACGUUUCAGUAAUCCCUUUCUGACACUGGAGUGGACGAAUAAUAAGUUGGAAUAGACCAAAUAGGUUCGUCUGCUGUAUGAUGAGAGGCUAGUCAUCUUCUUCAACACCCUAUGCAAUAUUUACAAAUUUUAACCUUCUUAUUAAUCCAUAAGGAUUAUAGACCUAUAAUCUGGUCUCUCCUUCUGCAAAGUCCUCAUCAUAUUUGAGAAGAUUUUUAUCAUGAGAGAUGAUGACUUGGUUUUGCCACUAUCUUGCUAACACGUGUUUCAGUUUCACCCACGUAUCAAAGAUAAGGGGGUUUGGACAUUUGAUUGUUCCAAGUCUUUCUCUUGUGAGCUGGUUUCUGGAAGGUUACACUCAUGAAGAAAACUAAAUUUUGCACGCUUGAUGCCUGGUGAUUUAUAGGAGGAUUAAUCCCAAAUCUCCACAGGUGUUCCUAUUUUACCAGUUAAUUGAAGAUUAAGAGGAUCUACACAUUUUUUUACUUUUCCCUUUUCCCAUAAUGAUUUGGUUUAGGUUUUGCAAUUGUUUGGCAUUAUUUUGGCCCCAUUUUGUAAUUUUCAUUCUAUGAUUGAAGAAGUUCUAGUAGAUCCUUCAGUUCAGGAAAGAGAAAUAGACAAUUGUGGUGGCAGGUUUUUAAUCAACAUAAGAUAUAUUUGGUAGAGAGAAACGUGAGGAUGUUUCAAUUAAGGGUCCUCAGAUAAAGUGUAGCCAGACUCAAAAUUAAGUUCCUCAUAGAGGAUUUUUUGUUGAAACAUUUUUAGUGAUUUUACUCUCAUUUCAAUUACCAAUAAUUAUACCAAUUUUUUCUAACUGUUUUCCUUCUCAUAACCCUUUUAUCUUGGCGUGGGCUUUUUUAUAUACAGCCUCUGUUUACUUUCUUCCCUGCCUCUUAAUAUAAGCUGGUUCACUAUUAAAAAGAAUUUGCAUUGAGCACGUGCAUUGUAUUGUAUGACUUAAACCUUCAAGCUACCAUUACAUCAACAUUUGAUCUGAAUGGAUAAAUUGAAGUUACCUUCAGUUUCUCUUCUGCAACUGUAUCUUCUUGUGGUGGUAUUCUGAUAUCAAUCUGUGCGGGUUCUGCAUCUGUCUUGCUAGAUAUUGGUGAAGUUUGAACUUCAUCGUGAGGCCAAUCCCUAGUACAAGACUCUGCGCUUUGCAUGUUCAAGUUUUCAUCUGUGGAUAUUUUAGAUCCAAGAUUCUCAUCCUCUACUUGACUGCCACUUUGAGUAAAUUCUGGCAAGUUUUCCUCCUCGAUCUUUUCAUGUGGCAGUGUCCUGGAACUGUCUUCAAACUGACCAUCAUCUUUCUCUUUUCCCCAAUCUUCAAGAUGAGGAAGGUGGGUAUCUGUCUCAACUUUCUGCUCAGUAGACUCCACAAUGGGAUUUGAGCUCUCGGUUUCUUCUCUAACACUAUUCGAUUUUUCGGUUUCCUCACUACUCGGUAAAUCAAAUUUCUGCACCACCAAAGGUUGGACAUUGUCUGAAUCACUUUUCUGAACUGUUUUAGUUGACUCUACAGAAGAAUUCUGCUCUAUAUCAACAGUUCGUUGGUCUAGAUAGCCGGCUUGGUAAGCUGCAAAAACAGCAGCACCAAUAACAACACUGCCAAAGACAACUUUUGGGAUGGAAUUUCCAGAAUUAGGUGGCACAUUUGUAGGUUGUGGUUUCAGAUUUUGUUUGGGCGCAGAUGAAAAUUCCCUUAUCUUAGAAAUACAUUGGGGUGUAUGCCAACAUUGCACCUGCAACAAAAACCUGUCAAAGAAUCAGAAAAUAUUUGAAAAAGUACACCAUUAAACCACAAAAAAUAUCAGGAUUGCAUAGUUUGGUCCCUAUAUUUUAUUAUAGACUAGUUUUGCAACACACUCUGUUCGUCCUCCCAUUUCAUUUGUCUCACAGCUUUUGGGCACAGUAAAAUUAAACAUAAGAAUAGAAACAUGUCAAUGGGUUUAACAUUUCUUAACACUGUCAAUUAAUUACAACAGCAGAAGAAAGAAUGGUAUAAAUAGAAAGUUCGUGUAUGUUAUAUGAGAAGGCUUCAAGUAGUCAGUUAAUAAAGACAGCACAACUGCAUCACAAGCACGUAGCAGGCAGAUGAAAAACUAUAUGCAUGUCUUUGCUCCCAAGUCAAAAAUAAAUUUCCAAGCAUUUAUUUUGCAGAUGCUCGUACUACCAAGAAAGAAUAGCAUAAAUAGCAAUUUAGUGUAUGUUAAAAGAUCCCAAUGUUGUACAUUUCCACCCAACUGCAUCUACGAUAACAUAUGUGAAGAACCAAGCAUGUGGAUUUAUAUGCUUAUAAGUCGAAUACACACUUCUCCAAAUAUCUGUUUGUAAAUUAUCUCAGCGUUUGGAUUGUACAAAACGAAUUCUGAUCGCAAAAAUGGGAAAGUCUUAUUUACGAAAUUCUACUUGCCUGGGGUGAACUCUGCCUCGGAGUCCUUCCACCAGAUUGACGAGAUGAUAAUUUCAGAAUUGACCUGCAGACAACAAUGCGAUAAAAAUACUAUCUAUAAGCAUCACCCGCUGUAACCGAACCCAGCGAGAUCCAAAUUCAUACAUAACAUGGCCAUUGACAUUGAGAUUUAUUAUCAUUUAUUAGUAGAAAAUUCCUAUUGCUGAGAAUGCCAAAUUAACCCUCGGGAGAUUAAAGAAUAAGAAUCUGGCAAUUUUCAACCAUUCAAGAAAACACUGCACUCGAAGGACAAUCGAAAUGACUAAUUAACGAAGAACAUCAACAUCACGAGCAAAAUAAAACAUAGUUGAAACAUAGUUCAAGAACAUUUCCGUACCUCCGCCACAUAGCGUAUACCUAUUCAGUGAAAACGGCGAGCGACGAAGAUAUUUGAGCGAAUAACCAAGUAAGCGAUUAAAUGCAAGUUGGGCAGUGGGUGAUGGAAAGUCCGGCCUGGUAGGAGGGUGGAACAACGGGUUCGAAAACUCAAAUUAACAAUCGGUUUACCGGAGGAAGAUCGCCGGAGACGAAGGAAAACAUCCGAUGACACCGGAAUUUUACCGCCUAAUUAGAUGUGUCCGACCAUCCGCAAGGAAUUAUUCCGCGAGUUGCAAUAGAUUCUACAAGGCCCAUUUAUAAAGUUGGGCCUUGAGCCCAAUAGAUUUGUAGGAGGUUGAUGAGCUGGGCUGAACGAAUCUGACAAGACUGCCCUUAUUCGGGUCCAUUGUGAUUCUAAAGGUAUGACUCGAUCAAUACUUUGUAGAUGUAAAUUUGAUAGACGAGCUAGUUUUUUUUGCAACAACAAAUACAGCCUUCUUUUUAAAUCUCAAUUGAAGCAAGGUAAUCUUUUAUGAUAUAACAUACGUGUAGACUUGAUUAAAGAAACAAACAAAAAAUUAGGGGAAAAAACUAAAGAGAUUGUAUUUUCUUCAACUCAAAGUUUCCCCAACUAAUAAUACUGUUGUUGCUAGUUAGGUUUCUCCCACCACAAGAACUGAUAAUGAAUUUAAUAACUGUAAAAAAAUAAAAUUUGGGAUAAUUCUUCUGUAAUAGUAUUUCAAGUGACCGAUACCGUUUUAGGCUAUUUUUAAACAUAGCAUAAUGAAUAAACAUAUAUAUUACACCAACACAAAUUACUAUUUUGUAUUUAUCAUGAUAGCAGUUUAUCUUGGUAUAUCACAUGUAAACAGUUAUAUUUUUUUAUAUUCAUAAAUAUUAUAAAAAAAACGUGCAUUAAAAACACUUUAUCCUUUUUCAAAAGUAACAAUAAUAAAUAUUUUUCUCUAAUAAUAUUCGAAAUUAUUUCACAACCUUUAAAGAUUGUGUGGAUUGCCCAUGUGUUCAAGCAUCUUUAUGUCUAAAAUAGAUUCGACUUAGUUAAACUAUAAUUGACCAAUCAUUUCUCUCUAACAGUCAAUGAUUUGAUUUUUCAUUCUAUGAAUGUUGAAAACAUAUACAAGGGUGUAAAAAUUUGUUUAAAUGAUAAAACGAUUGAAAUAUUUACAAACAUAACAAAAUUUAAUAGUUUAUAAAUUUAUCCGCAUCCAUUUGACAUUUAUUAGAUAAAUGAUAAUAAUCUAUCAACAUUUAUUAUUGAUAUUUUACUAUAUUUAUAAUUUUUUUUUGGUUCAUAUCACUUUAUAGGAAGUGGUUAUAUAUAUAUAUACAUACACUUAAAAGCAUCAAAGUGGAGUGGUAGGGGCCAUGUCACAUGGGAAGAACAAAGAGGCAUCCCAAAUUCAAAGAGUGAACCAUGCAUGUCAUGUCACAUAAAGCAUUAAUUUUCUUUUAUAAUAUUUUGUUUCCUGUUUUUAGUUAAAAAGAGAUAUUUGAGAUAAAAUCCCACAAAAGUGAUAUCUAAUGAAUUUCACUAUCAUAUCCAAAAACUCAAUUAUUAGUUUUCAAAACGCACACACACACAAUUAUCAAAAUGUUUCUAAACAUAUAGAAAAAAUCUACUCACGUUUUUAUACUAAAAUUUCUUUUGAACAUUACUGAGGUUGUCUGUCUCUAAUGGGUGAAUUUCUUUGACAUACUUAUUUCAUUCUUUCAGCAAUCCUUCAAUUUAGAAAUCUAAACACUUUCUCAGAGCUAGAGAUGCAUCAAUCAAAGACUAAUCUUGACAUUUUUCUAAUUCUUUAUUACAAAUUACCAUAUUUUUCACCAAAUAUAGAAUCUAUAACCCAACUAUUUUUUGCUAUUCAAAAAUCGUUUAGAGAGAAAUUGCACAAUUAAGUCCUUGAGGAAAAUCGGCAAAUGGUACAUAACAGCCAUGAGGGUGGAAUAGCUUCCAUAUGAGAACCAAGGCGAUGGCUUCGUUUUAAGAACAGCGGCGACUGUCUUCUCGGCAAACUCGGCAGUAGGGGUGGCGUUAGAGCCCUGCGAGGCAUUGGCCCUGGCUAACAUUGCAGCUUCAAAGGGCUUGAAUAGCUUCAACUCAGGCAUCUGAUUAAAGUUGGCAAUGGCAGAGUUUCCAAUGUUUGAUUUAAUGGCUCCAGGGACAACGUUGAUAACGUCGAUUCCAAAGGGCUUCAGCUCCAUCCUUCAAUGAUGAAAAUAUCGAUCAAGUCAACCAACAUCACAGUGUGAAAUAAAUGCGAAAAUCAAAUGAAAUAUGUCAGCAAAUUGAAUUGGAUAUUCAUUGCGUUUAUUCAAGUUUCUAUCAUGGGCCGUGGCCCCCUAAAAAGCAAAAAGAAAAAAGAAAGUUUUAGAUUUUGAACUUUAAUGUCUUGGAAUAACUUUUCUAAGCAUUGAAAAAAAGAAAGUUUUUUUGGAGGGGUAUUUUUUUGCACAAGAGUUGAGAGUAACAACAUAGAAACAGAAGUAGAAGUGUGGAAUGGUAAACUUCCCCUCUUUAUUUAAACUAAAAAAUUUGUAGGCUUUCACAACUAAAAAACAUCAAUAACCCGUACAUUUUACUCCCAUCAGUUUACAAGUUUCUAGUUUUCAUAACUCACAACUUCACUCUUUGCCUCAAAGAUCGUCUUAUAAAACAAUGUUCUAUAAAGUCAUUUCAAACCGACUUUCAUGAAGAAAUAAGUUGUCUUGAAUCAACAAUAAGUAACCCAUAAAAAUAAACCCAGCAGAAAAAGAAAUAUUUGCUUACCCAUCAGACUUUUGUGGGUUGUUUCUGUUUCUACAGUUCUACUUCAGUGCAUUGUAACUUAAUAUAUUCUAUACAUAUCUUUGAGAUCUUUGAGCUGCUAAAAAGAUACACUAGAAAUUCAAUAGGACCCCGGCACUUAUUUUUCUCAUAUGAAUACUCAAUUUAAACUUUAAGCAUAAAGGUCUCGAACCCACUACAUAAUCAAACAAGCAAAAACAUCAAAAUUUCAAAUCCAACUAAAAAUUAUUCAAAGAUAGAUAAACAAAGUGGAAUGAUGCUCAUCCACUCACAAGAAUGGCUACAAGAAUCGGAACUCAAAUCCAUAGAAAUAUUAAUUUAAUCCCUUGAUUUAAGGUAAGAAUUGCGGUUGAAAGUUAAACUCCACCAACGAGCUUUAUUUGAAUUUUGGUUCUUUAUUUUUAAAAAUUAAUAUUUAUAAACCCUAUUUUCACCUCUAAUUUUCUUCCUAACUCGUUUCUAAAAAAUCUAAACCACUCAAAAACCAAAAAAAUAGUUUUAAAGUAUGUCUGAAAACUUUUUAGUUCUUUUGUUUUUGGUCCUCGAACAAUGGAUUUGUUCUUUUAACAACUUCCCUGUCAUACUAUUUAUCAAGAAAGACCAAAUUUUCUUAGUAAAUUUUCAAAUUGCAAAAACUAUCUUUCUUUACUUUUCAAAAUUUAGUCUUGGUUUUUAGAAUUGCAAAUUGCAAAAACUUUCUCUACCUUUCAAAACUUAGUAUUGGAUUUUAGAAUUAAUGAUAAAAGGUGGAUAACUAAAUAAAAAAACCAAUAGAUGAAAAGUAGAGAGUUUGUAAACUUAAUUUUUAAAAAGCAAAUUGCUAUCAAAUAGCUUUAGUAGUCAACUUUCAUCCCAGAAAAAGACUAGUGAGGUUCAAAUUAACUUAAUAAACUAUCACUAGCGAGGGUCUGGAAGAUCGAGAUAAUUAACUAAGGCAAGGCAAAACAUUUCGUGCAUGAUCAGGAACACAAAACAAUUGUUAAUUAUACCAUUAGAUGAGAAUCAGAGAGGUAUAUACGAACCUCAGACAGUCAGAAAUGGAAUGAAUAGCAGCUUUGGAUGCAGUAUAAGCACCAGCCCAUGGAAGAGGCGCCAAUACGGUGACACUUCCCAAAUUCACAAUCUUCCCCUUUCUUCGUGAUGCCAUGUGAGGAACCACGGUUUGAAUCAAUCUCAUAGUCCCUGCAAAUGCAAUUCUCCAAUUCAUAAAUACUAAUUUAACAUAAUACAAUAAUCCACUCCUUUCCAUAUUGGAGUGUUCAUGUUCAAAUUUUCCCCACCUCUAACUCUGCUUUCUACAUUUCACAUACCAAACAAACAGCUUUGUUUCUAACCAGUGGCGAAUCAGAAAUUUUAUUGACUAAGGCUUUAUAGACUAUUAAAAAUAAUUUGGAAGAAAAUAUAACUAAUAGGACUUGAACCUGAGUAUAGAGGGACUAAAUAAUUUCAUUGUUCACCAACUUCUUAAAUUGGUACUAUUUCAGUUUUCUAUAUAUAUAUAUUGUAAUAUAAAGAUCUUAAGUUGAUGGAAGAAAAUAUAACUAAUAGGACUUGAACUUGAGUAUAGAGGGACUAAAUAAUUUCAUUGUUCACUAACUUCUUAAAUUGGUACUAUUUCAGUUUUCUAUAUAUAUAUAUUGUAAUAUAAAGAUCUUAAGUUGAUGGGACUCGAGCUCCUGUACCUAUGCUAAAUCCACCCGUGUUUGCCAGGAAUACAAUUAUAUACAGUAGCAGAAGCUGACGAACACAGUAGAGCAGAAGAUAGGAUGAUAAAGUCUUCAGCGUUUAUUUCUAACCGACCACUGGAUCAAAUGUUAAUCACAAAACAAUAUCAAACUCAAAUCAAUUCGAAAUCUAAAUAAGCGGCUCAGUCAAUUCACAGUUUCUAAUCCCUAGAUUCGAUAUCAUUCAAUUCUGAAGGAAGAAAAAUGAAAUGGCGAAUCUGAAUAUUGAAAUACAAUUAAUUUCGCUGAUGGAUAAUUUGUUAGAGACCGAAGCUCACCGAAAACAUUGGUAUUGAAGGCGUUCUGCAUAGCGGAAAGUUGAACCUCGGCAAUAGGUCCAAUACAUUGAACGCCAGCGUUGUUCACCAAAAUAUCGAUUCGACCGAAUUUUUCGAUGACAAGAGACGUUAAUCGCUCGACGCUUUGGUCGGACAGGACAUCGAGUUCUUGUAAGAAAAAUCUGGGAUCGUGCUCCAGGUCCGCCAUUGAGGAGCGGGACCUGCUGGUUGCGACUACCAAACAGCCCUGGUCGGCGAAGGCUCGGGCGAGAGAGUGGCCUAUGCCUCCGUCGGAACAGCCGGAGAUGACAACUACUUCUUUUCCGGCAAAUUCCAUAUCCUUUUUAUCUUCUUGAAAAGUGAACGAACCCCGCCCUCCUCCAAAUUAAACCGAUUGAUAAAUCGGAGAUUGAAGUGUUGGGUAGCUCCAAGUACAUCAAUAAGAGCAAUUGCUCACUCGUCUGCACCUAGGCCCUGAAGACUUCCACAUGGCCGGUCUUUGUGGUGCCACUUGGCAACCCCACAUGGACGCUUUCCCUUUUUUCCCUCCUUCAUUUACGGUUAUUGUAUUUCUUGGGUGAUUUUAAAAAAAAAUUGGGAUUUUGGUUUUAAAUUUAUACAUAUAUAUAUGCUCAAUCUCUUCUCUCAUUUAUACAACACUCUUUAUUUUUAAUUAAUCAAUUAAAAAGUAAUAUUUUUAAAAAAUUGAAAUUAUUCUUACCAUGUUUUUUUAUUUAUGUUGCUAAUUCAUUUUCGUUAACUUGUGUUAAAUUGUUUAUGAAUUGUUGAUAUAAGUGGUUGAAGUUUCUACGAGUUACGUGCUGGUUUAUAGGAGUUGAAUGAGUGAGCAUAUGUGAGUUUUGAUUUGAAAGUAUCUGUUGAUAUAUAAAAUCCUAAUAAAUUUUAAACCUUUACUAAAAGUAAAAAUUAGAUUCCUUUGUUGAAGUCCAUCGAUAAUAGACUAUUUUAGUGAGGAGUAUCUAUAAGUAGUAGAUAUGGUAGAAGUCUUUUGGUAACAAAGUUUAACACUUGAUUUUAUUUAAAUUGCAAUUUUGGUUUCUUAAAUUCAAACCAUAGUUGGCAUUGGCUCACCGUUGGAAGGACGAGUAAAUGUUUAACUACAACAUUUAUUGCAUCCUUUUAUUUUAUUUUUCAGUAUCCAUUGUUUGUUUUAUUUGUAAAUUGUGAAUAAAACUAUGGCAAGAGGUAAUUGAAAUGAAACCAUAGCAAAUUUUAUAGAAUUAAAAGCCGUGGCACAAUGCAUGCAUUCAUUUAUCUAAAUAAUUCAAUUACAUGAGUACAAAAAAUAAUACAUUUUUUAAACGUAAAUGUUGAUAGAUUUUCAUUAGUGGAUAGAUUCUCAUGUCACAUCAUACUCUAUAUCGUUCAUAUCAAUAAUAUAAAUUUUUCGUUGAUAGAUUUUGUUAUAUUUUCUAUUUUUUAAAAAUAUUAUUAUACAAUUGUAUACCAUCUCUAAUAUUAUUAUGCCCUCGAUCAUAUCAAUCACUUUUAUAGAUUAAAUAAGUAUACAUCAUUAUAAUAGAAAUAAAAGUUCACUUUGUAUAAAAUUGUUUUAAAUUUCAUAAUACUAUGCAUAGUUUAUAUAUAGUUUAGAGAAUGUGUUCAUGAUACAUUCACAAAUAUUUAAUUGAAAAGAAUGUUAUUAAAAAAUAUAUAAUAUUUGACAAACACUCAAAAUUAGUCUUAAAACAACAUAAUCCAAACAUAACCUAAAUGGUUUUACUAAUUGAUAAUUUGUUUGCAUUUACUUGCUCAAGAAGGCCAUAAGUUUAGAAAUCAUCCCUAGGAACAAAAAAACGAAAAGUUAGAAAUUAUCCAAAGAACUAUUUUCCAUAUUGUUUGUUGGUUCUCAAAAAAAUAUUGAUUAGGUUAUUACAUUUUGGGACAGCAUACAUCUAAACUGACAAACUAAAUUUAGUAGUUUAUUAGUCAAUAAUUGAGUAAUAUAUCAUUAUUGACCACAACAAAUAAUGGCCUACCUCUUCAAAACAAUACUUCAAAUACAAAGUUUCCCCGACAAACAAUUACAUCGAAAAUUACAUCGAACAAAUCCAUAUUUAAUCUCCAUUUUUUUCAAGACUUUAGGAAAUGACAAUGCUAUUCCCCCCAUAAAUUGACCUAUAUAGAUAUAGAUAGAUAGUAUUUAAUUCUAAACCCUCUUAUUUCUAUCUAAACACUGGUACCAACAAGAAGAUGCUGUCUCCUUAUUUCGAGAAAAAAAAAAAGAUAUUGUCGAUAUUGUCUAAAGUCUUCCCUAAACGUGAAUUGAAGAUAAAAAGACGAAAUUUAUCACUAUAAUUGAAGGGAAAUUAAUUUAGUUUCUAUUGUUUCAUAAGUUUAGAUUUAGUCUCUUUUAAGUGCAGAAAGUCUAAGAGAAAUCCUUAUAAUUGAAUGAAGCUAUCACAAAUAAUCCUUGUUAUUGAGACUAAAUUAUAGUUUUCUUAAGUUAAAGUGACCAGUUUUACAAUUUAGAAUAGGAUUAGAAUGUUGGAUCUCAUUACACCAUGGUUGUACUAAAAAAUUACAACUUUGUUUUCAAGAUAUAGGGACAAAUUCUACAAUUGAAUGCAUAAUUACUACGAAUUAAUUAACCAGUUCUCCCAUGUUCAGAAGUAUCAGAAUCAUUUUUUGACUUGUUAACGUGUUUUAAUGAACUAGAACUAUAUUUCAACAACGCUCCAAAAUUCACACCAAAAAUGGAGACGAAGAGAGAAAGAAGAAGAUAUAACCCAUAAUUUGUACCUUCCUUAGUUUGAUUUCUAGCCAGAUCACAUCACCGAAGGAAGUUCAAAAAUUUACACAAGACGUAGAAAAAGAAAAGAAAAGAAAAAAAGCACUAAAAGCUUCGACUCUGGCAUGAAAUUUCUAUUGAGAAAGUAAAAGCCAGAGGAGGCCUGUUUUCAGGAAUUAGAGGUGGCCUGAAGCCCAAAUAGGGUACCCGGAUGGACUUUUUUACUGGAUUUUCCGGCAAUUCCGCCGGCGGCGUGAUGGGAAGUUUUUGGAGGUUUGACGGAAUCUUCUCUCCUGCCAGAUCUCUCCUGCUCCAUCCUCUGCAGUUUUUCCUCUGCUUUCUUUUUCAUUACAUAAACCCUAGCGCAGCUAGCUCCCAUGGAGGACAUGGUUUAUACAGAAGAAAAGGAAAUGAAAUGAAGAAAUUUCUACAAAUGUUUCAGUGGGCUUUUAAUUUGUUCAAUCGGUGGGUAUUGAAUGGCUUAAACCCUUGUUGUAUUUAUAGUGGAAAACGUGUUUGGUGGCCUUGGUGUUUCGUUGGCCCCUAG
rnacentral:lncRNA from 1 species